UCCAGAUAAUUUUCUAUAUAAAAACUGUUUUAAAUAUCAAACAAAUCUAUUUUUCAAGUUUACAAUAAUUAUAACUAAUCAUAUGUUAAUUGUUUUUUCAUUUUACGUGAUCUUACUACAACAUCAUUGUUUCACCUAUUCUUAUACUUAUUUGUAUCGCUUAUUGUAAAUAAAAAAUAAUCUAUAGCAUGUUCUUAACGGUAAAAGGCAAAUGUUAUAAAAUACUAUUUAUAAGUGUGUUAAUCUUCGUCUUCAUCUGACCAAGUUCAAAUGGGACCUGUGUCUCGCGGUUUCGUGGUACUAGUUAAGAUCCUACACGGAGCAUUCGGUGCAUAUAUAGUGACUUGGUAGUCAUAUCAUGUGGGUGAGAUUUCUCCGUGGAAUUACGUGAUCUACCACAGGACUUUAAGUGAGUAGUUGUGUGUGUGGGGUAUGAGAUUGCGUUGCACCGUCCAUGAGCUCAAGGCUGCACCAUAGGUCAAGAGUUUGAAUUCUGUUCCUACCUGAAUGUGAAAUAGAAGGAUAAAAAGAGCAGGUUUGUACAUUUUCUCAAAGAAAUUGUCAGGUUUUCGAUCACUUGGAAAAUACCAUAAAAUUAAUGGCUAGGAUUACUCGAGAUUCGUGGAUACAAUAACUUUAUCCCCUCAUAUUCUUCCCCGCAAGCUCGUCCGCUCGUUCUCAUUUCAUUUGACGCCUUACAGAUUGAAGCGCUUGCCGUCGUCUCCCCUGCCCGACUGCAACGCCCCUCCCCGGUCUCACCGACUAACCGAAAAGCGUGAAAGUUAUUAGUAAGGCCCAACGCACCAGUCGGCCUCCUCCCUUUCCUCCUCUCUCCUUCUCGUCCUCCCUAAGUUGGGUGGCGACACUAUUCCCCACCCCUGCCUUGCCUCACCUCCUUUGAGCUGGAUACAUCGUCAACCCCACCCACCGCUAUCCUUCAUCCAUGUGACUUCAGUGACACCCCCCGUCCACUGCCGUCACCCAAAGCCAUCCCUCUAAACCCCAGGGAAUCCCCUCCCACCUCUGCCCCCACCCCAGCGCUAAACUCUAACCUCAUAGCCAUCUCAUUAUUGUCAUCGAAGAAGAGCACAUCAUCGCCGGGAAGUCACCAUCACAAGUGGGUCGUAUUUUUUCUCCCCACCCUACCCCAGCACACAAAUCAACUCUUGAAGACAACUCCCUAUCGGUCAGGGAGCAUGUGAGGUCUCACCUUAUAACUAGCAAAUCGCUUUGUCAAAUUACAUCUUACAUUUUACAUUUUAUAUAGAGGAAAGGCACAUACCUGACUGUUUUUAUAUAGAGGAAAGGCACAUACAUGACUGUGUUUCCUAAAUUCUGAUCAUUUUUAUAUCAACUAUAGAUAGACAAUUUUACUCCAAUUAAUUUGUCUUGUCCAAUGAACAUGGACACUUGUUCAGGUUCUUAUCCAGGUUCAUUGUUUUAGUGUUUUAGGACAUGUCACAUUCUAUCCAGUUUUUUUUUAACCGAGGAGUAAUUUAAACGUAACUUGUGCAGUGAAGCAAGCGGUCAGUGCUGCAAUCGGCUGAGCAGCAGGUCUCUUCCCUGAUAGCACGAAUUUCAAAGCAUAUCGGAUGGCAAAAAAAAUAAAAAAAAUCUAGCCCUAUUUACAGUAGGUACAAUAGCAGACUAUAAGCCAUCUAUAAAUAAAUUUCGAGGAGAUAAAAGAAAAGAGUGAAGAGCAGCGAGCGAGCUACAAAUUUGUAGCCAGCUGUAGCACGGACUCCAAGAUGCAAUGUGUAUAUGACAGGUGAGAGUAGAUAUCUAUUAACUUAUUAAAGGAAUAGAAAAAUGAGCCUCUACGUUCGCUCUCACGGCCUAGAAAUUAUCAUAUUAAUCGGAAAAAAAGAAAAAUAGAGUCCAUAUAGAAAUACAAUUUAGAAAUAGUUGAAAUUCGGAAUUAAAAAAUAAAGAAUAUUGGAAGAGGUGACUACAGUCCAUAUAGAAAUACAAUUUAGAAAUAACUGAAAUUCGGAAUUAAAAAAAAAGAAUAUUAGAAGAAGAGUAUAGAGUCCAUAUAGAAAUACAAUUAAGAAAUAAUAGAAAUUCGGAAUUAAAAAUAAUGAAUAUUAGAAGUAGAGUAUAGAGUACAUAUAGGAAUAUAAAACUAACUAAAAUUCAUAAUAAACAUAAUAAAAUUAAAAGUAGAGUUUAGAGUCCGUAUAAAAAUGCAAUUUACAAAUAAAUAAAAUUCAAAAUAAAAAAACAUGGGAAGAAGAGUUUAAAAUCAAUAUAGGAAUAGUAACUAGAAUUUGAAAUCAAAAAUUAAAGAAUAUUGAAAGAUAAGUUUAGAGUUAACUUAGAAAUACAAUUAAAAAUAAUAAAAAUUUAGAAUUAAAAAUAAGUAAUAUUGGAAGAAGAGCCUAGAGUCUAUAUAGAAAUACAAUUCACAGAUAACAAAAAUUCGGAAUUAAAAAAAAGAAAUAUUGAAAGAAAAGUCUAGAGUCCAUAUAGGAAUAUAAUUUAGAAAUAAAUAAAAUUUUAUAUUAAAAAUAAUUAAUAACUAACACGUAUAUAAAAUACAAUAUAAACAUUACACAUUAAUAGUUUCGUAAAGUUAGUACAAAAUUUUAAAUUAUGUUAUAAUUUUAAUAUAUUUUAAUAAUAAAUUCAGAAAACAUAUAUGCUAUUAUAUGAGAUAAAAUAUAAUUAUAUUAGCUGCGCAAUCUACGCGGCCACUAUGCUAGUUAAUAGUGUAGUAUAUGUUUAUAGGUAACUAUCAUAUAAAUUGGCCAUUAAUUUGUCUAUAGAUAAUUUGAAGCUAGUAGCGAGCUAUACUAUUAAACUUGCACUUAGGUUGUGUUUAGAUCCAAGGUUGAAAAUUUUUACUGUGUCACAUCGGAUAUACGGACAUACAUUGUCUAAUAACAAAAUAAAUUACAGAAUUCAUCAAUAAACCGCGAGACGAAUUUAUUAAGCCUAAUUAAUCUAUCAUUAGCAAAUAUUUACUGCAACACCACAUUGUCAAAUUAUAGAGCAAUUAGGCUUAAAAGAUUCGUCUCGCAAAUUAGUCACAAUUUGUGUAAUUAGUUAUUUUUAGCCAAUAUUUAAUAUUUAAUGCAGAUGUUCUGUGACAGGGUGGAAAAUUUUAGGGUGGAUCUAAAACAGGGUUUUAUUCUCGACGGUACAAUACCAAAUCCGUCUAUUAUAUUCGCGCGAAUAUGCUCGGCCAGUCCACCUGUCACGCGAGGCAUGAGAAGGGCGACCGAGCCGGGUGGAGCUGAGCGAGUGGUGGUGCUGCUGCAGCCGCCGCCGCCGCCGCCUGCAGGCGUGCUGAAAACAAGUCCAUGCCAUGGUGGACGAGAACACUGUGGACGUGGUCAGCCAUGGAUGGUGGCGAUUUGGACAGCCUCGCGACCACGACAUAUACUAGUAGUACUCACAUAUAUACGACGACUAGCCAAAGGUGAUUGCUUUAAUCAAACACCGGCGAUGUUCGCGUUCCUCUGGAAGUUGGUGCAGUUUCUCUCCUCCUCCUCCUCUUCUUUUUUAAUUUUUCGUCCCUAAAGAACAGAAGAAGUCUCAUGUCUAAAGUGAUACUCUUCGAGUCUUGACGGCCAGAAUUGUCAGACUGUGUGAUCCAGAAGCAAGCUAAAGAAAGGGAGUAUACGGUCCAGAAACACGUUAAUAAAGGGAAAGGAAAAGGGUUGUCUAUUCUUGCUUCAGUCUGACUGUGCUUGCCGUGUCCGUCGCAUUGCCGUCGUGGUCAAACAAACGCCCCAAUGGAAGCUGUAAACCUCAUUCAGUCAACAAAUAAUGUGAGAUCAGAACUGGCUCACCUGAUUCGGGAGAUAUGAGUUGAUCUCAGGAAACAGGGAAAUAACUAUUAAGAAAGUGUUGCAAUGCCAGAAUACUGUUAGUCACUUCCUAGCUAAUAGGGGUCGGACUGUGUCUCGAUCUGAGUUUUGGCCAGACAACACUUGUAACCUCAUAACACACCUUGUGUGUGAGGAUUCUUUGAUUGAUUAAUGAAAUUUCCCUUUUUCCCCGGAAAAAAAAAACAAACGCCCCAAUGGAAACAUCUCCCGUUGCUAACGCGUGAAUAGACAUGUGUUCCCAACUCUCAAGUUUUCCAGGUAGGACCUGCUCUCUAUGGUUCGGGGCCAUAUAUCGCCUUUUGAUCGAUAACCACGAAAUCUGUGAAUUUCAGGCAGAUUAAUUAUUUAUCCAAAAUAAAAUAAAAUAAAAUUUAGUAUGAUUUUUUAUGAAUUUAGUGAAAUUAUUAAAUGGCUUUCGAUGUGUAAGCACUAUGACAGUGUUUCUCUCCACUUGUCUGCCACUCCGUCUAAAAAAACAUAACCUUAGUGAGUUUUUUUUUUUUCGAAUGGAGUACUUUCAUUACUUGGUCAUCGAGCGGGCAAAAAUGCAAACUACUCCAAAUUCCAAAAUGGGAGUGGCAGCCGAUACAAAGACAAGCGGUGGACUUGUGGGCCUGUGGCUUGUGGGUGAUCAGCCCGGAUGGCUUGCUUUUCUGUUAGUGGGCUGGGAGGUGAAGGCGAUAAGCUUAGGUGGGCUGGCUUGCUGCUACGCUCGACAGAAAGCGGGCUGGGCAAGAUGGGGAGGCAGGCCGUGGCUAACGCUUGAUCUCUUUUUGUGGCCUCUUGCCUCAUGGGUGGCUUUUAGUGUGAGAAAUGAACAAGGCUACGAAGCAGUACUUUGUUGCCCUCUUUAGCCGAUCCUUCCAUCGAUUUCAACUGUCAAUAGUGUCAUUCGCUACAGAUCUCGACGCCAAACCAAAAAAAAAUAAAGUUUCGAGCCAAUGUUGGAACCUCUGGAAGGUAGACUUUUCGAAAUGGAGGACGAUCAGAUGCGUAAUGGAAGGGGAAAACAGAGUAUAAGAUCGCACCACUGAGCAGUGAGCAUGAGGGUUCGGCUUUCCGUGACAGGUACUAUUGGUGCACGCGUUGGAGGGGACGAGAGUUGCAAAAUGCCGGAUGAAAGAGCUUCACGACUUCACGUGUGGUUUGGUUUUUAUUUACUCGACGGGUCCCUACACGAUGCUACUGCUACACAUGAACGUGAUGCGCGUGUCAUCCGCCUCGUACAGUCGUACCUCCAAUGUACCGCCAGGCGGUGCGCGCGCCGGCAAAAUCCUUUCGGUCACAGGAUCACGGCCGGUAACACUCGUACACGGUCACACGGAUACGUACAUCUCGGAACAAUUUGAUGCGUUCGGGUCAUCUGAAAUUAAUAAGUGCAGUGCUUCAUCCUCGUUGUAACUUGUAACCCAUAAUUGUGCUUCUUACUAGUGUUUUUUGUUCCCUUCCUGGAGCAACAAUGCCCAUCAGAGAGAGGGGAGACUGCAGUUCACAGCCGUGCGCCAGACAUUCCCAGUGUCCCAGCACCGUGUACCCUCUUUCUCGUUAACGAUCGAUUGAGCAAAAUUAAUGGGACUCGGUGUUGGGCUGGAGACUGGAAGACAGGCACUUCCAAGUAUGUAAACGUAACACUUAUCAAAGCAUCCUGCUUUAAGCUAGCCUCUAACCCGGCCUCAUUAAGUUAGCCCAAUUUCCUGGCCCAUGUACGCAGAUAGGCUAGAUCUAUUAUAUUAUUAAGACAGCUCGAAAAGAAGACAUCACGUUUACCGUGGAGGCUAGAAAUUCUCACGUUAAUCGAAGAAAAUAUAAAUUAUUUACACCGUUGGAUUGUAAGAGGCAUAGAUUUCAAUGUCUGAGAUUUAACACAAACUUAGCAUGUUAACUGAAUUAGAAUCAAUCUCUAACUAGGAUCUUUACAUGCAAACGGACUCAAAAUAGUUUUGUCCGAUUUUCUAAACUUAAGUUAGGUUCUAGAAUAGUUAGGCUAUAAUGUAUAGUAGCAACGGAAAUCCACAGCAGCAGGUCGAGCCGCGCGGCUGCACGAUGAGCAAGAAUUGGACGAUGCACGUCAACAAACAGAAGGAACGAUGGCAUGUGCACAGCAGCUAGCCAGGUGCACACCUUAAGCGAUACAAUUAAAAAGUUUUCCUUUGAAAAUAUAGGUUCCAAAAUAAACUUAAAAAUAAAAUUUGGAAUAAAAAUAUAAUACCAAUAAUAAAUAUGUAAAUAUUCUUUGCCAAAUAUGUACAUUUAUCUAUAUAUAUAUUAUUAAGAUAGCUUUAGAAAAAUCAUCAGAGACAUAAAAAAAACGUAGAAAUCUUUAUUAUUAAGACAACUCGAAAAGAAUGUGCCAUAUUUAUUCUAAAAGAUAUAAAUUAUCACAUUAAUCGAAGAAUAAAUUCCAAGCCAUUAGACUGUGGUAGAACCAAAUUAGAACGGUGAAGAUUGAUAACAGAAAUAUAUGUAAUAUAAUUAUAUCUUUAGAACUAAACAAUGGUAUAUAGAAGAGUACAGUGACAGCAUUUGAUGAGACUUCUAAAUAUUAUAAAAAUGAAACGAAACAAGAUAAUAAACUCUAAAAAGUACAAGGUCCAAUUUUUAAAGGUUCGGGACUUUUAAAAAGUAAAAAGAACAAUGAAAAUAAUGUUCCAAUUUAAAAUCUCAAUGAAAUAAAGAGAGGAGGGAGCAUGCGAGCCAUAGAAUAGUACAAUGGCAAAGCCGAUAAUUGUUUGGUGGGACUUUUAGAAAGUAAAAAAAUGAACUCAAACAAUAAUUAUGUUUGAUUUUUAGAAUCCCAAUGACAAUAAAGAGAGGAGGCAGCAGACGGGUUAUAGAAGAGUAUAGUGGUAGUGUUUGAUGAGACUUCUAAAAAUAUAAAAAUGAAACUCAACGAAAAUAAACUCUAAAAAUUACCAGGUCCUAUUUUUAAAGAUUCGGAACUUCUAAAAAGUAAAAAAAAUGAUAAUAAUGUUCGAUUUUAAAAUCUCAACGACAAUAAAGAGGGGAGGCAGCGGACGGGCCGUAGAAGAGUACAGUGGCAAAGCCGCUAACGGUUUGGCGGGAGUUCUAUAAAGUAAAAAAUAAACCCAAACAAUAAUUAUGUUCGAUUUUAAAAAUCCCAAUAACAAUAAAGAAAUGAGGCAACGGAUGGGCAAUAUAGGAGUAGAGUGGCAGUGUUUGAUGGGAUUUCUAAAAAUUAUAAAAACGAAACCCUAAGAGACAAUAAACUCUAAAAAUUAUAAGAUCAAAAUUUUAAAGUUUCCAAGGAGAAUGAAUAGGAAUAGUGAUAGAUCGAGCAAGCAAAUAAAAAAUAGGGUAACUUUUAAAAACUAUAAAAUUAAACACGAGGAUGAUAUGGUUUGAUUUUUAAAAGUUUUAAAAUAAUGAGAUAACUAUUUAUUCAAUAAAAUUUAAGUAAAAUCAUAUUAAAAAUAGAUAAUUUUAUAUGGAUGCUAGCCGCGCAAUUGCGCGGGCCACCCAGCUAGUUCUUAUUAUCCCAGACAGGCAGCAUCAUGCAGAAAGUGGGGUAUCCUACCACUUUACAGUAGAUCCACAGUACACGGUAUACUGAGUUGAGUUCAAAAAGGAGGUGUACCCAGUUAGCGCUCGCAAGUACGAGUACAAGAACGAAAGGCAAAUUAUAUCAAACACUUAUCAUUUCGAUGAUACAUUAGGGCGAUCCAUAACGUACAUUCACAAUACACACACUUGCAUCAUCAUCAUCAUCGUACUCCAUACACGGUACACGUACGCACACGUACACACGGCUCCCUCGUUUCGUACAAUCUGAAGGAGAGUCGACCACGCACGCGUGCAGGCACUCUACCUUGGUUACAAUUUGUACUAACGUAAACCCGCCCAGUACCCUGCACGGCUGCACCCGUCGUACCGUGUACUACACGGCCACGUCCCCGUACGCGAAAAAACACCAAACACGUAUACCGUUACGCACCCCGGGCUCCACCUUACGUGGCAGCAUCAGCUCGCCGGCGGUGAUGGAUGGAUGGAUGCUCACGAUUGGUGGCACCCGCCGAGCGGGGCGCCGCCGGCGCACUGGUUGUGCUCGUACGGCUUGCAGCCGUGGCGGAUGACGCCGUGCAGCCUCGGGAGCGGGCCGCAGAGGCGGUUGUAGCUGAGGUCCAGCGUCUGCAGCGUGGAGAGCGCGGCGAGGGAGCGUGGCACGGUGCCCCUGAUGCGGUUGUGGCUGAGGUCCAGGUAGGUGAGCUCCGGCGGGAAGACGAGCUUGCUGAGGUCGAAGUCGAGGUCGUUCCACGAGAGGUCCACCUUGCCGAUGGGCCGGCCGGCGGCGAAGAGGAAGGAGGCGUCGCCGGUGAGGCGGUUGUGCGAGAGGUCGACGGUGUUGAUCUCGUCCUGCGCGUCGUCGCGCGGGAUCGGGCCGGUGAGCUGGUUGUAGGAGAGGAUCAGCGACCUGAACUGCCCCUGCACGAGCCCCGCCGGGAUGCAACCCGUCAGCUUGUUGCUGCGGAGGUCAAGCGACCGGAGGUUCGGGAGGUCGGAGAAGGAGUUCGGGAUGGGGCCGGUCAGGCUGUUGUGGGAGAGGUCGACGGAGUCGAGGCUGCGGAUCCGCGCGAGCGAGUCCGGGAUGACGCCGGAGACGUUGGUGUGGGAGAUGGUGAGGAACUGGAGGUUGGAGAGCGCGGUGAGGCACGCCGGGAUGGGGCCGGAGAGGCCCGGGAGGCGGAACAGCGACAGCGACAUGAGCGCCGUCAGCCCCGCCACGGCGGACGGGAUCUGGCCGCGGACGUCGUUGGCGCCGUCGAUGAAGACGUUGUUCACGCGCCCGGCCUCGUCGCACCGGACGUGGUCCCACUCGCAGCAGUCCGCCGACGCCAGGGACCACGUCGACAGCGUCGCCGGGUUUCCCAGCGACUGCUUCACUCUCAUCAGCGCCUGCUUGUCGCUCGGCGGGCAUCGCACCGCCCUCGCCGGCGCCGCCGCGACGGCCACCGCCAGCAAGACGGCGAGCAUGAAAGAGGCGGUGGACGCCAUUGUAUCUACCUGAACUAGGCUCGUGUGGCUGGAGCUGGCUUGAGUGUGUGUGAGUGAGUGCGGGAGUGAUGAGCUCUCGAGGGUGGUAUAAAAAGAGCCGCGCGUGGAGGCGUCAGGAUCAGUGUGCAUGCAUGAUGGGAUAAACGAUACAUUUUCCUCCCAUUUUUUUUCUCUCUCCCUCUCAUAUCCUUUUUUUGACCACCCAUCGAACCGGGACAUGCUUGGGCUCGGGGCCUCGGACACCGAGACGGCCAGCGGUGCGGUGGUACUACGAGCGGACACGAGAAGGAUUCGCGGUGAAUGAUGAGUGAAAACGAAUCAAUCCCUGACACCGCAACAUGCCAAACGCACACACACGCACAGGCACAGAGAUAGGUGGUGCCGUGGUGGUGAUAACCGGGAAGCAUCGCCGUGGGUUCGGCCACGGCCGGCGCGUGAUUGGUGCGUGCAUGAUUAGCAAUGGCAUGUGGGAUGGGAACGAACUGGGGCUUUCGCCCGCUCCGUGCUCCGGCCAGCGCCCACAUUGCUGGGUGCAGAAGCAGAAAGCAGAAGCCGCUCGCUCCGCCCGCCCGGCCGGCCGGGCGGCACGGCACGCACUCGUAUUAACUCGCGGACAUGUGCGCUCGGAUCUCCCGGAGCCUCAAGACGGGGGCGUCGCGUAGCUAAGCUAGCACCUGUUCUGGAUACGCUUGUCUCGGUUAUGAUCGGCAAAGGGCCGCAAAUGGACGGGAAGACAGCUCGUUUUCCGUGUAAGUCAACAUGAUAGGAGUACUAGCAAUGAGGAGGUUAUUUAAAUCCACAUGAAACAAUUAUACGCAGUUUGCAAAUUGCAGCCCCCUCUGAUUGAAUUCGCAUAUAAUGAGUAUCCCGCACUAAUUAUUUCGGAUGAGAAAAGGUCGAAGUGCAUGUUCUACUGUUCGAUUUCGUAGAGAUAUGCAUUGCAUUAUCGUGUCGCAGGGAUUAGAUCGAUCACAUAUAGCACAGGCCCACGAGAGACAAUCAAGGAGACGUCGUCACGUCGCUCGCACUGUCGCAGGCGGUGGUGCAUGCAUGAAUGCAAACUGAGUAGCUGACCAGGUCCAUCACUCCACCAGCCCGUGAAAAAACGUACUAGUAGCAGGAGGACGGACACAGCAGCAGCGAGAGCCACCGUCGCCGCGCCACGUACUCGCACAAGCCGCGGCCCACCACACCGCCACCCAUGCACGCGACGUCUCUGUCCGAUCCCCUGAACUGAAACGCUGUCACGCUGGAGCGCGCACAAGCCAAAGGUGCUCCCUGUCCGACUCGGCGCGCGCUUGCCCGUAUCACGUCUUCAGCGAGCGAGACGAGAGGAGGAGGCACGCAGCGGCGGCCAUGUGGGGGCUAAAUAAUGCGGCAUGGACGUGGUCCGACAGGGUUCAGGCCGGCACGAGAGCGCAUGUGGAGGCUUGGGCGGCGAGGGGAAAAGAAAGGAUUCUUUCGGCUUUCUGGGCUGGCUGCCCGGGCCGCUUGCAGCUUUGCGUUAAACCUCCCCCUUGUAGAAAAUGCAGUAGAGAUUUCGGAGGUUUGGAAUCUCAUUAUGAUGCUUUAGAACCAAGAAAUGACUCCCCUAUCAUGUUUCACAUAUUUAUGUAGAUCUAGUUUAUAUAGGAUUUAACAAAGAUAAUUCAAUCUUGCGUUGCAAUUUGCAGAGCUGCCUUGACGCUUGACGCUUUUGCUCUGUGCUCUGCGGUUCGGCCUGGCCGUCCAGCUACGCACCCACAUGCAUCGACCGAACUGGAGAUAGAUGUACCCCGCCUGGGCGCUGCUCUGUCCAGUCUCUGCCUCUGCUCGCACCGGGCACACCAGUUUCACCAGCGAGCGUGCGGUACGCCAGCACCACCAGACCAGAUAGCACCGUCGUCUCUGCGAUUUCUUUACGCGAAAAGCAGGGCGGGUUGGUUGGAUCGCGAAACCGAUCAGCCGAGGCGACGCCGCGACGGAGAGAUUGUGCCAGCGUCAAGUUGCAUGCCGACGUAACACACUUGAUUUUCUUUAGUACUGAGAUUUGUGCGAGGUACUAGUAGUAGUCGUAGCUUUGGCUCUCCAUGCGAUUCUUGGCUGCCAAAGCGGUGGCUGAUGCCUCCGUGGUUUGUUUUGGUGCGUCGUGGUGUUCAUCGCAGGAUCUCUCACGUGUUGACUGAAAAUUGUUGUAUUAGGUGUAGUCUCCAGGUUGCAGCUUUUUAACGACGGGGAAUUAUAAUCAGCCUAUAUGGGUGGUGUAUCCUUUUGAAUUUUAGUACGUACGAGCACAUCACACGACAAAUACUCUAUUACUGCUACAGUCACCAGCGCAAACAUUUCUUAACAGAGAUAUUAUUGUACUAUCGGCCAGCUAGCACUUGUAUACUUUUCAUUUUGGAUCGGUUCCGCCCUGAACGGCAUUCAUCUCUCUCUUUUUCUCAGUGUAUACUACAGACCGAGUGAAAAAUAGUUGCACCGUGCGCGUGGGACAGCUCGCAGUAAUUCUUCUUCAAAACUAGUACUGCUGUUCAUUCAUCAGAUGACAAAAUGACAACCAGCAACUAGCUGGCGGCCUGGCGCUGCAGCACUUGGUGGCACACCCAUCACGUGCCUGUAACGAGAAGAAAAAAAAACUUACUACUACCACAGUACUAUUCUCUCUAAAAAGAAUCCAAUUGGUGGCUAGGAUUGAGUUUUCUUAGACGAAGAGGUUAGCUGGCUGCUACUCCUUCCGUCCUAUAAUAUAAAGGAUUUUGAUAUUUUACUUGUACUGUUUGACUAUUCAUCUUAUUAAAAAAAAUUUAGAAUUAUUAUUUAUUUUUUGUGUGACUUACUUUAUUAUCUAAAGUACUAUAAGCAUAACUUUUUGUUUUUUAUAUUUACAUAAAUUUUUUAAAUAAGAUAAGUAAUUAAACAGUACAUGUAAAAUAUUAAAAUCUCUUGUAUUAGAGGACAGAGGGAGUAGUAGUUAUAGUACUCCACGCUCCACAGGCAACAACAGUGAAUACUCUCCCUCACGCAUGGAUAAGUUCAAUCGCUAACGUUCGUAGCCCUCUGCCCCCUCCCGUCCCUAGCUGCCCUACCCGGCCAGAAUAACCAGAUGACAGCCAAGCCGUGGAGGGCGAUCCGUCCUUUGCCCAGUUGCCCCCGUGCGAUCAUUACCUCCCCAGAUCCGAGCUGCUCCCACCCUCCCACCGUGUCACGAUCGAAGAACUGCAUGCACCAUGCAUCCGCGACCGCGACGGCGCGGCGGCACCGCAACCGGCCGCGGCCCAUGCAUAUCCCCCACGCGCGGUUUUGACGAGCCGCACGCAAGCCACGCGCACCGGCAGGUUGCCGGCUACCGACGAGCGCUCCCUCGCGGUCGCGGGCGGGCGGGGCGCGGUGUGCCGGUGUCGCGGCGGAGGCAUGGGCACUUGUCGCGGAUGGGAUGCGCAUGCGCGGAUCUGGGGAGACGCACAUGCCGCGGCGGGGAGAGGAGAGACGUGACGCGCGGUGCGGGUUUCUUGGGGGGCGGAAAUGAAUUGGGGGAGGACGUGGACGCUGCCCAAGAUCUGCGUAGCACGCCUGAAGUGCCGUUCCCAUCGGCGAAACGCGAAAUGAUCGUUCGUUUCUUCUCAUCGCCGCGUCAGCGCUUCGAUGAGAAAUACUUCUACAAUACUGGCAUGCUGCUGCUACGACUAACCUAGGCUCGAUUCGGCAAGGCUAUGUAGGAGAUGAUAUUUUGUGGUGGUAUGAACGAGCCACUCGCUCGGGUCACGGCACAUGAGGUGUAUGGUUGUUGGACUGCAGCUCUGCACGCAUCGAGGAGAGAAAAAAAAGGCUGAGAGCAUGUUCUUCGCUCAGAUAAACUAAUCUCUUUAUGUACGAGACUCGCUCUUAAAAAAGGGAUACGAUCCACAUGCGAACAGAAUAAGCAACGGGGAAUUAAUGAUCUAGCAUAAAAAGACCAAGUAAAGACGGGAAAUACAUGGGUGGGGUUUGACGUCGGGUCAAAGAUCGAUCAACCUGUCCGUGUACCACAUGUGCUAAAUCAGGGUUCCUUGUUUAUCACCCUGACGAAACAGGACACAAACCAAAAUGCACUAUAACUACGACUCAGAAAUCAGAAUCCUGCUCAGGGGAAAACGAAAGCGAAUGAUAAAGCUGGACGACGUGUCGACGUUUACGGGAACUUCAAAAGAGAGAGAGAUAGAGAACGCUAACUUUACAGAUCUGAACGAGAUAAUCCAAAGCGGCGAGAAAAAGAAAGCGAAAAAAAAAACAGAAGAGCCAAAUAAACAGACAAGCUGAAAAGGCUAAACCAGUACAGUACUCCAUUAGCGACACAGUAGAAGAUCGUAGAGCUCUGGACCGCUACCACACCAGAGCAGCUCUGUGCUGCUUCUCUUCUCCCCUCUCACACGGCCAUUGUCGACAGCGCAUUCAAGCUCUGCGUUUAUGACACCCAGGAUGUUUACUGCAUACAGUGGCACUUCAGAAUUCCUAUCCUUCAGAGGGAAAGUAGAGUGCAUUUACAGCCGACCUUAUCAUCAUCUCCUGAUAUAUGCAUCUGUACAUCUGCUGUAUUUGAUGUGUGGUCCAGGGUUGCCAAUGUUCAAUUUUCUUACAUGUGCCGUGUUUGAUCACCAAGAUGCCCAAGUCUCUGACCAAAAUGUAUUUUGAUAAAAAAAGAGGAGAAAUUUUCACCCUUUCUGCUAAAAGCUAGGCAGAAACUGGAUACACCUGCAAGUCCCAUACAGCCAUAACCUUCCAGGAGAUAGCGUCAAAAGACCAUACAGGCAUGUGCAAAACGUCCUACUAUUAUUGAAUUCCCAGAGCCAACAAAAUGAUUCAUUUAGAACGUAUGGGUGCUAAAUACAAAAAGAAGAUAUGGUUGAAUACACAUGAAUCAUGAUCUAUUUUACUAGCAUAUCAUAUCACUUCUUGCUAUAACAAAUUUAUAUGCCUAGUCUAGAAGCUACUUGAAUUGCUGGUCUGCUGGAUUAACCAUAGGCACCCUCUCAAUUCUUACAGGCUGAUCGACGCCGUCCACGGAAGGUUUGAUGUAAAGAUUGAACACAACGUUGGUGAAUAUCGUGAGGAUAACAAGUGCAAGUGUUGAGAAUGUUACAUACGUUGGAGAAAAUUCAGGAAGUUCAUCUUUUGAUCCCCGCCCAGUUAUCAUAUCUCGGUCCAUGUAAGGGUCUGUUUCAAGCAAAUCACAGUUAGAUCGGAGUCCAUCUCACUGUGAUGUUAACAUUGUUAAGAACAACUGAUCAAUAAACCAUGAUGCUGAUGCAACGUGGUAGCUCUCCUAAAGACAACUGGAUGGGUUUUCAGAGCAAUAGAGACUCAAGAUGCAAACAUUAUUACUGUGUUUCAAAGCUCUGUCUGCCACUUUUGGAUGGCUUCAUCCCCACUGAACUGUUGCUGUUGUCCUUAGGUUCUUCAUAAAUGACAAUAUGGCAUGUUGUGCUACUGCAUACAGAAGCAAUGAAGCAUUUGUCCAAGUCAUGGGUGAGGCCCCUAUAAACGUUGCAUACUUGCAUAAUGUCAGAGGUUUCAUUAAUUGAGUAGUUUCAGUACAGAGGACUGAUCCAUCUCCACCAAACACUUUAUAAAAAAUAUUUAUAUUUGUUGCUGAGAGAUCUGUCCUGCCGACCUUUUAAAGCUCUUGAUCUGAUCAUUGACAAAGUUAGUAUGAGUGAGCCUAGUAUGUUGCAUAAUGCAUUGAGGUCUCCACGAACAGUUUCAGCCGAUUGAAUGAUCCAUCUCUUCUAUUUUAAACAUAUAUUCCAUCUCCAAAUAUAUAGGUCAUUGCAGGAUAACUAUGGACAACAUCUUAAAACUUUGAUCAAUAGUAUAUGUAAAAGUAGAACACUAUACAUAUAAUUUUGACUACUUAAUCAAUCAUAAUCUCAUUAGAUUUUUUGGGUUAACGAGCUUGAGAAAACGAAGAUGCUUGCACGCACAAACUAGUGUAAGUUUACCACUAAAAGUUUUCAGUUGAUAUCAAUUACUGACCCUGAUGAACAUAGUGAAUUGUUGAUGAAAUGGACACAGCGCACAUGUAAACUGGAAAAGCAAUUUGCCAUGAGCCCAUGAGAGGAGGGACGAGGUAGGCAAAAGCCCAACGGGACGUACCCGGUGGAAGAGGCGGCGCCGGCGGCCGUUCCCUGGGCUCGGAAAGCCCCUCCAGCUGCGAGUCGAGCUCCGCCAGCCGCCGCAGCGCCUCCUCAGCCCGCGGCUCGCGCUCCUCCCCCGACCCCGGCCCCGGCCCCUUCUCCGACGACGAGAAGGCGACCACGUCGGAGCACCGCCUCCUCCCGCUUCCGCCCACUGCACGUGUGUUAUCGGCGAGGAAUCUCAAGCUCGCUCCGCCGACGGCGAUCGCCGGGAACGGGACGAAGCGGAGAUGCAUCCUCGCCGCCGCGCACAGCCGCGAUGUGGAUAACGUACUGAAGGAUUUCUUUUCGAUUUUAGCGAGAUAAUAACUGGGCUGGAUCUAAGCCCAAUAAGGCCCAUUAUUAUCUCACGAUGGGCUUAGCCCAAAAUGGGCCCAGUUUUAGCGGUCGGCGUGGGGGCCCAUAAGAUGGGAUCUCGUGUUCCCCACCGGCCACGGCCAUCAGAUUCGUCGUGUGUAGCGAAGCACUCGACGGAAUCCGGAAGCGAAGCGAGCGGAGAACGCCGACGAGCACACCACCGCCGCCGCCGCCGGCUCACGGUCUACCCACGCGCGUGGAAGCGGGGCGAUGGAGGCGUCGGGAUCCGAGCCGGGGCGGCCAUGGACGGUGUCCGCCACCUGGGCUCCGGCUGGCGGCGCGGCCGUGGAGGACGCCGUCUCGUUCGAGACGUCCGCCGACGACGCGGAGGCCGUCCCCUCCGCCGUCUUCCUUGAACGCCCUUCCCCUGAUGGCGACGGCGACGCUCCUCCCUGCGAGGUCACUGGUGAGUCGUCGUUUUUGACUUGGGGGGUAGCUUAGCUCUCUGGGCUUGUCAGAAUUUUGCGAGUUUGCCGCGGGAUCGCGGUGUUUGCGUUGGUCCGAUCGGAUGCAGGUGCACUCACUGUUGUGAAUUUUAGUUUUGCAGCAUCUAGUCUAGCUUAUGGUCGGAUAAACCCUAGUAGGCUGGUAGAACCAACCGAACCUAGUAGGCUGGUAGAAUCAACCGAAGUGGUUAUCGCUGUUCGAGUUCUAGUGCGUGAAUCAUUCAUAGUUAUCGUUAAAAUGUUCUAAUGCGUAGAGUCCAUGGAUUGGAGGUAUCUGUUUUAGAGAUCCUUUCGUAACUUGAGGAAUCGUUUCGACUUUCGACUAAUACCUUAAGAUAAAAAUUAUGACAGGUUAGUAUGUCAUAUAACGGAUUCAUUUGCUACUGUCUACUGGUUAUUGUUUGCGUGAUACUCUUAAACUUAAGCUUCUUAUGCUUCCAUGACCAGAGCAUUCUUAAUUGAUAACUGAUAGUUUGCGUUACUAUUUAGGAAAAUAUCUGGCUAAGUUUUUACUACUUUAGAUUUGAUUUUUCCAUCAGUGGUAAGCGGUAAGUGUAGAUACCUAGUCUUGUAGUGAAGCUGUUGCACUGUGAACAGUCCAAGCAUCAUCGAUCAUACUGAAGUCUCAAUGAUGUAUUUGUUCAAUUCCUUUGUACUGUCAAUUUGCAGAAAUUGGAGCUACCUGAUAUUAGGAAUUCAAACAAUUUAUUGAAUUGGUGGCAUUUCUUUUUGGAAGAUGAGGAUUGGGUGAUAUUACCACAGAAAGCUCUAAGCACUGUAUACUUGCAGAAAUUGUAGAGUUGCUAAUAUUAGGAAAGUAUCUGUACUAUAGUUUCGUCAUCCUCAUCAAACUACUACUAGUAUUUCUUUUAUGAAAGUAAAAGGAACUGGCAGUAUUCCAUUGAAAGUUGAAACCUUUACAUGGAAUUCUGUAUAAACUACAAAGCCCAUCGUGCCGAAUUUAGAGUCGAUUUUCUUUUCAUUGAUUCAUUGUAUAAAUUUCAAGUCAGUGUCUCACAUCUCAUAGCAUAUACAGCACAGUACCUAGCAUGAUGAAAAUCUAAGCUAUUUUUCCAUUUCAGUAUGCAUAUAUCUGAUUCACAGCUGUUCAUCAGUUCAUUUCAGGGGAAAGUAUGAGAUUCACAGGGUGUAUGUGCGAAGCACAGCUCGGAUUUAUGAAAUAUACUAUACAACUGACCCCAAGGAUAGCUCUAAGGAUUAUCUAUGCACUGUGCGUUGUGGACCUGCAGUUAAAGAGCCACUCCCCUCUGCUGAAGAAAGUAUGCCCCAAUGGAGUAGUGAUGCCUCAACUAGUGAAAAGCAUGAGCAUGAAACCAAAAGCGUAAGCAGUAGUAUUGAUGAAGAUAGCUGGGUUGAUGUCAAAAUCCCAGAGUUACAUGUGGAAAAGAACAGAUCUAAAUCUCAAGAACCUAAUGCAAUUGGAGUCAAACAGGAAACCACUCUGGUAAAGCCUUAUUUCUUGGUUUGUAUCAUGAAAGAUUGUUAAAUACUCAACCAUAAACUUCUGCUGGGAGUGCUCCUAUUGUGAUAUUAGCUUCUAAAAUUUUUCUGUAACUUUGUUUCGCUAUGUGGAAUGCAGGCACACUAUGAAGCAACUGCUGAGAUAACUGAUGCAAGCCCAUGUGUAUCUCUAACUGUUCGCCUCCUUUCACUUCAGUCAAAAACAUCAGUGCACAUCGAGGAGAUUUACAUAUUUGCUGAUCCUGUUGAGCCAACCAAUGAUGAAUCAGAAACACGUCCUGGAAACAUGGGAGGUAGUUCUUUGUUGGCUAUGCUUGUCCCUAGCCUCAUGCAAAUGUCCAAAUCAAGGAACCAGAAAACGGACAAUAAAUAUUUUUCUGAUGCCUCAAGGACUCAGCUUUCCCAAGGUUGUGCAAUGGCAGUGAAUAAUAGUCCAUGUGAAAAUGUAGUGCGAGAUGCAGAGCCGUGUAGCACAGAUGAUUUAAAUUUCAAGUCAGCAGGGAUGGAAAGCAAACUAAAUGCUAUAGAUGGCGAUACAAUAACUUAUGAAAAAGGCAACCAUUAUGAGCUAAAGGAUUCCAAGUCUAUUCUAUUGCCUAUACAAACAACAGAAAAUACACAAGCUCCUUUGACAAAGAACCAGAGUGUGUCAAAUACAGAUCAGCCUGUUACUCCUCUCAUGGAUGAAAAUCCAAAUCCUUACAGUCGCAUUGAGGGAAAGCUGGAUACUCUUCUCUCUAAGAUGGAGAAGAUGGAACUAUACUGCUCCAGGUUUGACGAUGGUAUGAUGAGGCCUAUCUGUAGCAUCGAGUCAAGGCUUCAGCGAUUGGAACAACAGUUUGAUGUGUUCUCUAUGGAGAUUAAGACUUUACAAGCUUCUUCUGCAAGAAUGACAGCCCCAGAUGGUUUAUCUGAUAUGAUUAAUCCACAGGAUAAAACAGAUAAUGAUGGUAAGGCUGAAAAUUCUGCUUCCACAACCAACAGGCAGCCAGGUCUGGUUGUCAGAGCACCAGAGUUUUCUUUAGAAGAAUCCUUCAGUUGCGAUAAGUCCAAUGAAAAUGCAGUUACCUUACGUGGACCGAGCAUGGUGCCAAGGCUUCUUGUUAAGGCUCCUGAUUUUGUUUCUGAAUCUGAGUUUGCUUGUGAGAAGCUUCAUGAUGGGUCUUUCUCACCAGUUGAUUUUGCUCUGUCUUCUGAGAAAGAACCUAAAACUUCCCCAGGUUUAGUUGUCAAGGUUCCAGAAUUUCCAAAUGAUUCAGAUGAUGAAUUGGAGGAAGAGAAAGAAACAGAAGUUGGUGAUCAUGAUGAUGGUCAUACAAAAUCUGAUGCUGCUUUGAGUGAAAGCACUGUUGACAGCUUCAAAAGCAAAUCUCAUGUAUCUGUCGAUGGUGCUCUAGCAUCAGCCUUGGAGGCACUUCUUGGUUCAACCAAGAAAACACCAUCUUCGCAAUCUGCUGCUUGCCCUGCCAGUAAUUCAACUGCUGAAAAUACUACUGAUUCUUCUACCUGCCCAUUUUCUUCUGAACAAGUUGAUGAGACAUCCACUAAUGAUGGCUCGGCUGGCCAAUUAUCUGGUACAUUCGUUGAUGCAAAUAAGGUCAAUACCUUCAUAUCUUGUGAGGAAGCAGAUGCAGUUCCACAAACUUAUAUCUCUAAGGCAAACUUGAAGGCUGAGGUAAACGAUCUGAAUAAUGUUCUCGAUUUGAACAUGAUGGCAUUUGCUGAAAGCACAGAACCCUUGUGUGUUCCACAGCUUCACACAGUUGAGGAAUCUAAAGAUGUUGGAAGCCAAGCAAAUCUAAAGAAUAAUGGCUCUAGUUCAUACAUGAUGCAAUCCAUUGCAAACACUGAGCACAUCAUCGCUCCUUCUCAGCUUCCUACUGUCUUGGAAUCUAUUAAUGAUGGACAACAGUUGAAUGGCAACAGAUCUACCUUGUCCUUGGCAGAGUUUCUUGUGGCAAGAAAUGCUAACUUUAGUAAGAAUGUGAUUUCUGAAGCAUUAUCUAGUAAUGGUGGUGCUGAAAUGCAUACCUUCAAGAGAACAUCGAUGGAAUCUGCUAAGAAUAUAAAGGAUAUCAAUCAACUUCUGCUGCAGAAAGCUCUAGAGGUUAAUGAGGAUGACAGUGCUAAGUUUUCUGUUUCUGGUGGGAUGAACUCUUGUUGUCUUAGAGCCUUUACUGAUUCCAAGAAAAGAUGCAUUGAGAGCAGCGGCUUGGAGGCAAGCCUCAAUGAUAGCUUUACAAAAUCAGAGGUAGAGCACUCCUUGUCAGAUUUGUGUAGUAUGGAAUCAUUUAGUGCAGAACCUGCUAGAGAAGCUGUCGGCUCAGGUGGUGUCACAGCUGGAAAUUGUGUUGAUGAUCCUUUUACAGGUAGUUCUACUGUAAACCCAACUGCAGGCGAAGAGCUGCAAAAGGUGUGUGACUUGCUUUACGAGUACAAUGAUGAUGUUUUAGGCAUGGCUUUCGUGGCAAAGAAAACAAGUAAGAGCAGCCCUUCUCUCGAAGUCCUACUUGCUGAAUCAUCUGAUUCGGAAGCGGAAAUUUCUGAUGCGAAGGACACUGACAAUGAUGCUGGCUUAAGUUCAGCUAGGUUGUUUAGUACAUUCUCGUCUUCAGAUGAUGAAGCUCCUCGCACUGAUGAACCUAUAAUUGAUGUAGUUGAUCUGCCAACACCAUUGGAUGCAUAUGCUUCUUCCAAGAACGAGCUGGUUGAUGAUGAGUCUUUGCUUGAUAUGGAUGAUCCGCCAAUUCCUCCAGAGUCGUAUGCUUCUGUCCUAAGCGACAUGCAUCAUGCAUGUCUAAAUGAUCAAUCAAAACCUUCAGGGACAUUCGCUGGAGAGGGCAAUGGAGAGUAUCCUGACAGCCUUAUAUAGGUUCAAUCAACAUUGUCCCACUUGUUAGAAAUAAGUCGAACAUACUCAAAAAGCCUCAGCUGCACUACUUUUUUUGUUGGUUUUACUGUACAUAUAUCAACGUUUGCUUCCACGCCCAUGCGGUUUUCUGUACAUAUAAGACUUACUGUGAGUAAACAAUUUACCUUUUGGUAUUACCUGUGUACACUUAUCACCUGUCCUUUCACAGUUUCACUGCUGGCCAUUCAACCUUAAGCAGUCAGCAAGUAAGCAUCACAAGAAAAGGCUGAAAAGCGCCCAGAUUUCCACUCUAUACAGUUACCAUCUUGUGACUUCGUCUUUUCACGUGGUUGACGAAUAUCCUGAACUACCAGAGACCGACUCAUCAUUCCAAACCAGGUAUGACUUAUUAUGAGGUAAAUUAUGUUCACCACCGUAGAGUUGGAUUGCCCGAUUUACUGCAACUGUUUCAUUCAUACCUUCUCUGAUCCACUGUAACUGCUAGGAAAUUUCUUUCUUUCUUUCUCUAAUCAUGCAACCAGGUAUGUCUAAUGUUCACCGUAGAGUUGGAUUGCACGAUUUACUCGAUUGUUUCAUACCUUCUCUGAUCCUUGUGAUCCACUGUAACUGUUAGGAUCUUUCUUUCUUUUUUUCCCCUCUAAUCAUGCAUUCAUGCAGCCACUUAUUUCUAGCAGGUCAGUUUCUGGAACACGCCAUGUUACGUGAUGAAACACAAGAACAGGGCUACAUAAUGUACACAUGUGAGCUUGCUUGGCGCCCCAGCGGUCUGCACCACAUGGACUAAUCCUUAAUUCCUCAUGCCAUGGGCCAGGUGAAAUCGUCGUCCCACACGGUACAGCUACAGCAUUAACACUGCAGCCGGCCAGCCUUCGCCAUGGCGUCCAAGUUCAAGGAAAGCAUGGAUUCGUAUCAAUUUGCGGCUCAACUGAAAAGGCGCGGACGUACAGAAAUUUCAGGUAUGGUCGGAUCCAAACUUAUUAGGAUUGGUCGCUUUCUUAUUGGAUGAUACUGUGCGAGAUUUUCCCACAAGAAUCUGUGCGUAUACGGACUUUGGAAUAGAGUCAAUGCACCGCGAUCACACCAUCACUUGUCUAGGAGCACUUUCACUGUGUGACCAUAUCCAAUCUAAACAGAAAUAUAGCCACAAGAAAAUGUAGGGGGGUGCUGUUUGUCGGAAAACACCCUUAUCAAAAACAUUGGUAUUAUCAAACUUUGGUACGAUAACAAAUUGAACAAUGAAACAGCUCCAACUAUCAUAGCGCUACCAAAAUUUGAUAAUUUUUGGAACCUUACACUAAAUCUGGUAAGACCUCAAACCAAACAUCACCAUCCCUAUCGUUACCUUACCAAGUAAAGCAAAACUUGUUAAGAUUAUUUUGGCAUUUCUGCCCUUUCGUCCGUCGCUCUUCUCAUGCGGCAUAUUCGACUCUUAAUUACUCGGCCCAGACCCAACGCUGGCCUUACAAAUCUCUCGUUUAUCAACCAUCAUCAAUAACCUUAUCAAAUUUGGAUAAUUAUAGAACUUUGCAUUCUACAUCAAAAUCUGAUAAGGCCUCGAACCAGAUGUCACCAUCACAUCUUUAACAUAUUAAAAUUUGGUAAGGUUUAUUUUUAUUACAAACCAAACAUGCGCAUAAAUCUCAUCACUCUCUUCACUGUGCCCAAUUUAAACGGAAUAUUUUAGUAAGAAGAAACAUCUUAAUCUUACCGCACAAUGGAAUCUGAAUACGGCUUCAGUUUAACUAAGUUAUCUGAAUACGGCUUCAGUUUAACUAAGUUAAAAAAAAACUCGAAUACUCCAUAUUAAAAACUGCUAUAAAAAUCCAGAGAUCAGUUUUUUUUUUAAAAAAGCAGAGAUGCAGAUGAUGGGAUAAUCCAACUGUCGACUGGAUUGCAAAUGGCACUUUCAGAUAUACUGGUACCAUAAUAGUACUGUUUAAUAACUGCAGUUCCUCUCGAAGUCUCACCUUUGUUAGUGUGAGAGCGAGCUGAUGUGACAUUUGACAAACAACUCAAUCCUCAAUUCAGGCACUUUGUCCUCGAUGUGUUAUUUACAGCUACGCAGUAAACUCGUCAGGACAAUAUGAAAGAUCAACACACGUUCUAAUGCUCAAACUCAAUUAUUCAAAGUGAAACCGCCAAACCGGUGGGUCACAUGCCGGAAUCAAGGCGGUAGGGUUCAGUACUCUAUGCUCAAGUCCUCUUCCUAAAUGGUGCAUUCAUGUCCUUUUGUCAAAAUAUUGUUAAGCACUUAUGAAGCCAUAAAAGAAGCAGGACAAGGUGCCGGACUGCAGAGAAACUUCACUCGUACUCCUACAUAGAAUGAAGUGAAGGAAGCCACUGAAAUGGUGGUCAAGCAAUUACACAAAACAGGUAGCUCCAUAUCUUGUUCAUAUUGACAUACACAAUCCUUGAUGAUGACAAAAAACAAAUUACAGGCAGCUCUUGUCCCCCUCACCAUAAGCUAUAAGGGGCAGAGCACCAUCCAACUUAUGCUAUUUACUUGUUCUGUCUGUCCCUCCCAACUUUGCAAUACCCUUAUCAAGCACAAGAAAGUAAAGAGAACAAGAAAAAAAGAAAAAAAAGAGAGGAUAUGAUGACAGUACAUCAUACAUGUGGAUACAACACUAAAACGAGAGUUCCACACAGCAACCACAUCACAGCACUGAUCCCUGCGUGUGAAGCGAAGCGGUGAACGAUCAGCCGCCGGCGCCGGCGACGACGACGACGGCGACGGCGGCGAGCAAAGCAGAGAGGAGGAGGAGGAGGGGAAGAGGGUGGCGCGGUCGCUCAGAAGAAGGAGCGCUUGGAUGGCGCCCUCCCCACGGCCCUCAUGAAGUUGGCGAGCUCCAGCACGCGCGCCACCUUGGUGCCCCUCUUCGCCUCCGCCGACGCCCGCUUCUCCUCCGCCUUCCGCCGCGCCUUCGCCACCUCGUUCUGCGCCUUCUCCAUCGCCUUGGCCCUCUUCUCCUCCAGCUUCCUCUGCAACACACCCCCAAUUCCAUCAGAAUCCAGAGCUCGAUUGGUAGAAAUCAAUGGCGAUUAGAUGAUGGAUUUCGUUUUGGUUUCUUGUUUUACCUCGUACUUCUUGAGCCAGGCGUUGGCCUUCUCGACCUGGUCGCCCUCCCAGCCAUUGAUGACGACCUCCUCGCGCUUGAAGCGGUUGUUGACCUUGGCGACCUCGGCGAUCUGCCACGCGGCGAUCUUGGACUCCACCUCCUCCUUCUUCACCUGCCCCACCGACACCUCGUCGCCGUGGCCGCCGCCCGCCGACGACACGUCGCCGGGGGCGGGGAGCGCGAGGUGGGCGCGGCGAGGGGACGGGAUGGGGUUGCUGUCCGGGACGAUGGCGAGCGGGUUCGUCUCCUCGAGCUCAUCCUCCCCGAUCCUCCCCAGCGCGUCGUCCACCCCGGCGCGGCUGGAGUCGCCGCCGUUCGCGGCUGCGGCGGCGGCGGCGUUGGCGUUGGCUGCUGCGGCGACCAUGGCCGAGAACUCCCUGCUCAUAGUAGGGAAGAGCUCACUUGGGGCGGUGUCGCUCCCCACGGAGCGGAUCGACGUGUGCCUGCUCCCCGCCGCGGACUCCCACGACUCCCUCCUCCGCCGGUGGUACGACGACGACGGCUGGCUCGGCGUCGGCGUCGGCGGCGGGCUCAGCGCGUGGAUGUCCCUGAACUCCGGCUCCUCGAGCUCCUCCUCCACCACCACCUCCUCCUCCCUCUCCUCACCCCCGCUGCUUCUGACGACGAUCUCCCGGCCGGUGCUGAUGACAAUCUCCCGGUCGUCGGCGCCGCGGCUGCUGCUGCUGCUACCACUAGCCGCCGUUUGUUCACUCAACAUGUGUCGCCGCCGUGGGUGAGGUCGUCGUCGCCGUCGCCGCCGCCGCCGCCGCUAGUGCUCAGCCACUAGCACACACGCGUAACCAUCGGCGUCUUGCUCUUCUUCCUCCUCUUCGCUUCUCCGAGCUGAGCUGUGGUGGUGAGUGGUGAGUAGGAUCGGAUGCCUAGCUUGGUUAAAUAGGCGGGAGAAGAGGGGGAGGUGGGCCCGGGCGUGUCAGUGUCGCUGAGCCAGUGCCCGCCAUUGGAGGGGCAGUUUGGGUAUUUCCGUUUCGAUCCCCAUUUCGUGUGCCUUUUGGGCGGCUUCGUCUCGCUUUCUGAUUUUGGAGGGGUCUGUGUGUGUGUGUUUAUUUUUGGGGGGUAAGGUUUAGAGGUUAGAGUGUGCAAAGUGCGCUGACUCACACAAUCAUAUAGUUUUAACAUUAACAAGCGCCGUAUGAUUAUUUUUUCCCUUUGAUUAGUAGUACAGGUUUGGAUUGGAUACGUCACCCAUUUUUUAGGGCAAAGAGCGUGAAGGUUCUAGCCUUCUCUCUUCCUACAUGUUUAGUUACGUACUUCCACUGUACGAUCAUGCGUCGCCGUAAAAUAUUUUAAAAUGGAUCGAUAAAUAUUACUCACUCCGUCCCAAUAAAAAUCAGGAAAUCAAUCUAUGUUGAUUUUUAUUAGGACGCUAAGUUACUUUUUAUCGAGACGGAGGGAUUAGUUGUUUUUUAAUGGACUAGAUUGAUGUUCUAAAUAGAUUAAUUAAUAUAAUACUCCAUUUAGGGGCGGGACAUACGAUAGAUUAUCUAAUUUUGUGAUGAUAAUCGACUAUACAAACGAAUGAAUUAAUUGUGAAAAAAUAGAUAAGUUGUUCUAAAAUAUUAUUCUAAACAGUUUAUAUAUAGAAAGUUUUUAAAAUACCAUGUUUCUAAACUUGUAAAACGUGUCUACGAUAAUCUAUAAUUUAUUGAGGAAAAGAACCAGCCUCAAACCAAUUGCUACAUGCUAUAGUGGUUUGGGUCAGGCGGUGAUGAGGACAUCCUCCACUAUUAUCCGCUGGCAGAGACGCUAAAGUCGGGCGGCGACCGUGUGAGCCUCUGAAUAAUCCCACCUUGCUUAGCUAAUCCCACCUUACUUAGCUUAGAAGGAGGAAGCCACCUUAAAAAGGAGAGCCACCCUUCCCCUACCGGACUAGUCUUUUAGGGAGAUUGGGCCUUUCCCUGAGUGGGUGUGCUAAAGAACUGUUGGGGUCCGGACAACCUUAAGUUAUUGGGCCUCGGCCGACCCCACCUGGGCCGGAUUGUUAUCAGGCGGCCGCAAUGACCUUACACAAAAUAUAUGGUUAAAUGAAUAUAACAUCAUUGGCUUCGACAUAAAUGGUACUCCGUUUCAGGUCAUAAGAUGUCUCCGUUUCAGGUUAUAAGAUGUUUUGACUUUAGUUAAAAUUAAAUUGCUCUAAGUUUGGCUAAGUUUAUAAAAAAUAAUAUUUUUUACAAAGAUAAAUUUAUUAUAAAAAUAUAUUUAAUUAUUAAUUUAAUAAAACUAAUUUGGUAAUAUAAAUAUUACUAUAUUUACCUAUAAGGGCCCCUUUGAAUCGCAGGGUAGAAAAAACGGAGGAAUAGAAAAAACGCAGGAUUCUGAUAGGAAUUGAAGUGUAAAACAGAGGAUUGCAAAACACAGGAAAAACACAGGAAUGGUCGUUUGAUUGGAGCGCAGGAAAAACGCAGGAAUCGGAUGAGAAAGAUAGACUCAAAGGAAAUUUUCCAAGAGGUUGGAGCUCUUGCUAAAUUUUCUUCAAAAUCCACAUGCAAUGUGCCAUUCCAUAGGAAUUUCAUAGGAUUUGGAAAGUUUCAAUCCUUUGAAUCAAAGGGCCAAAUAGAAAAAUUUCCUAUAGGAUUUGAAUCCUAUGAAAUUCCUACAUAAAUCCUUUAAUUCAAAGGGGCCCUAAACCUAGUUAAACUUAAAGCUGUUUAACUUUGAUUAAAAUUAAAACAUCUUAUAACCUGAAAGCCACGGAGUACUACUCAUAUGAUGUCAGCGACUCAGCGUAUCAAAUAUACACAUAUAUACCCACCCCUACCGAACGAACUACAAGUCGGUAUAACCGGCGAACCUUCGAGUGAUUCUGCCGCCGCAUGCAAACGAAGGGCCUGUUUAGAUGGGAUUAAAACUUUUAAGUCCCUAUCACAUCGGAUGUUUGAAUAUUAAUUAUAAAUAUUAAACGUAUACUAUUAAUAAAACCCAUCCAUAAUCUUGGACUAAUUCGCGAGACGAAUCUAUUGAGCCUAACUAAUCUAUGAUUAGCCUAUAUGAUGCUACAGUAAACAUUCUCUAAUUAUGGAUUAAUUAGGCUUAAAAAAUUUGUCUCGUGAAUUAGCUUUCAUUUAUAUAAUUAGUUUUGUAAGUAGUCUAUAUUUAAUACUCUAAAUUAGUGUAUAAAGACAGGGACUAAAGUUAAAUCUCUGGAUCCAAACACCACCGAAGUCUCGUGCACUCCUGUCCCGAGAGAGUUCAGUCAAACGCAUUCCCAGCGGAUAAAAUAAAUGAAGAUUUGGUGAUUAGGCCGUGUCAACUUCACCCCCCCCCCCCACCCCCACCAAAAAAAAAGAAGAUUUACGAUUCAAAUGUCAUCACCGAAUUGUUUACUGGUUACUUCGCGAGCAGGGAGGCGGUGAGUUACCUACGUAGUACGUGUGUGCUGGUUUAGAGCAACGUUGACAGCGACGUUUUAUUAAUUCUUACACACACGUAAGAGGUACUACUACCACGUCUCAUAAUAAUUCUUACACUGUUUGACCACUCGUUUUAUUUAAGAAAAUUUAGAAUUAUUAUUUAUUAUUUAUUGACUUACUUUAUUAUCCAAAGUAUUUUAAGCAUAAUUUUUUAUUUUUUUAUAUUUGCAUAAAUGUUUUUGAAUAAGAUAAGUGAUCAAACAGUGCAAACAAAAACUCAAAAUUUCUCAUAUUACUCCAAUUUAACAGAAGGAGUAGUAAUUAUCAUCGUUUGCAUGGAGGCGAUGGGUAAUCAAAAGACGUGGUCGGCCGCGGUUAACCCCGUCUCGCUGUCACGGAGUUAAAGCGGGUGUGUGUUAGCGAAAGGGGGUUAGGAUUAUUUUGAGGCCGUUGCGAAUUAGCGGCGGAGCCGUGUGGGGCCCAGCCCGCUUGCAUUAUCCUACUACUCUAUUAUACACCGGGUUAGGCGCAGACAAGGUGGGCCCGGGGGUGUCUCCGCGGGUGGGCCCCACGGGUGGAGAUCGACGGCGGAGAUGCGUUUGGUGUGGUGCCUGUCAGAGAUCAGAACGAACAAACCCGUCAGGUGAGGCGUUGGCCGUUGGCCCGACUAGAUAGAUAGGGGGUGUGCCACUAUGGGGGUGUUUGGGAGAGAGGGGCUAAACUUUAGCCCCUCUCUCAAAACCAUAAGUCUCUAGGAGAGGGACUUAUGGUUUUGAGAGAGGGGCUAAAGUUUAGCCCCUCUCUCCCAAACACCCCCUAUAUCUACCAGUAUGCCGGUAUGGUCGUCUACUCGUCUCAUGUUUCAUGCUGCGAGCCUGCAAAAAUAGUAGUGGCCUUUUUUACUAGCACGUUUCUACAUCGACGACACACCACGUGGCCAUGCCUGCAACAGUGCUUAGAUGGAGAUUAGCCAUGAUCAUUGUUACUAUGGUGUUCAAGUGAAUAGGGGCAGGGGUGAAAACGAGAGGGGGAAACACCGGAGCAAGUUACCGAAUGUUACUAGUUACUACUUACUAUUUCCUCCGUUUCACAAUGUAAGUCAUUCUAGCAUUUCUCACAUUCGUAUUGAUGUUAAUGAAUCUAGACACGAAUGUGAAAAAUACUAGAAUGACUUACAUUGUGAAACGGAGGGAGUACUCGUGUAUUACUUUCGUCCACAAAUAUUUUUUUAGCUACAUACAUUCACAAAGUAACGAGAGCUACAUUAGGUUUCAUGUGGUGAAACCUAUUCAUCUAAGUUAAAGUUCUAAAUUUAAUAUAGACAAGAAAAAACUACCCAUACGUUACAAUAAGUGAAGGCUAUUUUAAUAUAUUAUUGUUAGAAUUUUUGUCUAAAAAAUAUAUGGGAUUUUUAUUUUGAUAGUAUUGAUAUCUAAUUUGGAACCCUUAUUAAGAUGAUGGUCAUAUCAUGUACGCCUGACGAGAAUUCUAAAGCAAUUAAGAAUCAGACUCCCAUCCUAGGUUUGCAUGUGAGUUUUUUUAAAAAAGAUUUCUUAUAUGACUCCUUAUAUAUUUUCAAAAGCGAACAAACUUAGAAACCAAGUCAAAUACGAAUAACAUGCUAAAGUAUCAGCGAAAAUAUUUUUAAUUUUUAUAAUAAUGGAGAAGAGAUAGAGAUACCAAUACCGAAAGAGAAAAUGAGGGGAAAAGAGAAGAGAUUGAAAGAAGAGGGAGAGAAUUAGGAUUAUCGGGAAAAAGAAAAAGAGAAAAGAGUAAAAAAAAAGACAGUCAAGGGAAGAGCACAUGACUUCGAGUGGAUGCACGCGGGAUGGUACGGGUCGAUUGGGUUGUGUUGGGCUAGGAGAGGGAUGGGUGGGAUUAGGCUGGGGAGGAGGUGUACAGUACUCCAUCCAUCUACUUUUGAUAGGUAUAUUUCCAAAUCUGAAAAAUUUACUUUUGAAAUGCAUAUUUUAAUCCAACCACCUAUCAUCUUAAUGACUUUCUCGGAUUUAAUGCGUGACUUUCCAUUCUUUCACAUAAGACUGGUUACAUGGGCAUCAAGAAAUAUAAAUAUUAAUGAAUCGAUUGUUUACGAUGAAUAACUAGUAACAUGUUUAAAUGGAUGAUAAGUAGAAUUACUUAUCCUUGGUCAUUGUGUGAAAUAUGACUAUAAAAAGUAGAUGGAUGGAGUAGUUAUUUUAGGCUCGAGCUGAACUGGAUGCGGACGACGUACAACCUAGACACCGAUAACGAAAUAAAAUUCCGACAAAAACAUCUUCAAAUUUUAUAAUAGUAGAUAUAUGAUAUGCUCUCAUUUACACAUAAACUUUUAAGUAAUUUUAAGUUUAGAUAACAUAUCUGUUAAUAUCUGUUAACAGUGAGGUGUUUAUGGUAAUUUCGUCAAAUUUAAAAUAUAUCCAUUUAGUUUCUUACAAGUGCUAAUAAUGUGUCCCUGUAUUCACAGGGGAUUAGUAUGCACACAUGUAUAUGAAUUUGAAUAUCUAUUGUAUUGUGCUUGUAUGAGAAAAAGACGCAUGGUCGUGUCGCUUGUAUGAGUAUACGUCUUUUACCCUUUCCACGCGCGGAGCUUCGCUAGCUGUAUUCCGGCUGUACAACGUUGGACGCACGGCCAGGGGAAGAAGAGUGUAGAACACGCGGUGCAUGCGAUGCGAUGCGAUGAGCUCACUCGAACCGCGACCGAUCGAAACGACCGCGCGCAUGACGAUGACGUGCACGCACGUAGCAAUCAGUCAAACACAGCCACCAAAAAAAAUCACAGCAUAAUCCAAAAUUCGUCUUGCUUAAUUUAUGCCUCUACUUUGCAUUACUUUACAGCCUGUGAAAGUGAGAACGAAUGUUUUUGUCACCUGCAUGCCGCUGAUAUUUGACGCGGCCAAAACACACCCGUCUGCCAAAAUAAAACCACACGUUUUUCCCUCUACGAAAUACUACAACCGUCCAAAAAUACUCAACUUAAAAGAGGAUGUAACCUCUUCUGAUACAAUGUAUUUAGACAAAAAGCUAUCCAGAUUCAUUAUACUAAGAGCAAGUUUAAUAGUAUAGCCAACUAAUAGCUCCAAUUUAUCUAUAGCUAAUCUAGUAGCUCAUUUAUACAAUAGUUACGUACUACACUAUUAAUACCUGGUCUCACCUGUCAUACACAUAUUGCGUCUCGAAGUCCGUGCUAUAGCUGGCUACAAAUGUAUAGCCCGCUGCUCUUCUCUCUCCUUAUUUAUCUUAUUAAAAUAUGUUUGCAGCUGGUUUAUAAUCUGCUAUUGUACCUGCUUAAAAGACGUGGUUGAGUUUUUUUAAGAACGAAAAGAGUACUAAUCAGGAAAUUUGAAUUUGGUUGUGACAAGAAAAGGAUCUUGUUAUCAAGGGUAGACGUCAUGAGAUUGAGAAGGAUCACGACAUGUAAACUCCAUGUCAGUGACUCGGUCGCAAUUUCGCAGUGCUUAGGUGGUCUUUGAAUUUAGGGAUUUAACUUUAGUUUUUUAUUUAGACACUAAUUUAGAGUAUUAAAUAUAGACUAUUUAGAGAACUAAUUACAUAAAUGAAAGCUAAUUUGGGAGACAAAUUUUUUAAGUCUAAUUAAUUCAUAAUUAGAGAAUGUUUUACUGUAGCAUUAUAUUCUAAUCAUGGAUUAAUUAGGCUUAAUAGAUUCGUCUCGCGAAUUAGUCCAAAAUUAUGGAUGGGUUUUAUUAAUAGUCUAUGUUAAUAUUUAUAAUUAGUGUCCAAACAUUUGAUGUGAUAGGAACUUAAAAGUUUAUAGUCCCAUCUAAACAGGGUUAGACUAUAGAUUUUGCAGGGGGCCAGUGCUGGAUACAACGGAGGAAACAAACAAAGGGAAGAGAUGGCAGGAGGUAGUAGUAGCAAGGAUCCUCUGUAACAACCAUAUCUACAACGAUCGUUGCAGAUUCGACUAUAAUUUGACUGGCCCCAGCAGGCAAUGGAUGCUCCGAGUGGAGGAGCAGGGAGUUGCAAUCAUGACUAAGAGAAAGCUAAUAGGAUUUGUCAAGUUUGAAGAUUUUCGAAAGAGAUGUCAAGUAUAUAUGAAAGGCAAUACUGCAAAAAUCUAAAAAUGUGCCAAAUUAAGGUGGUACAUUCUCUCAUACAAUUUAUGCAAUAUCUGAUCAAAUAAAGCUCGAACUCUAAGUAGCCGAUGUAUUAGAAGAUUGGAACCCUUGAUGGAUUUCCCUUUCGAUAUAAUUUGGUUAACAGAAUUUAGGUCGAAUGUCCAUAAUCUCCUAACCUUAGAGCAUCUGUAGUGUGAACAAAAAAUCGAUUUUACGACAGGAGAACCAAAUCAUGCACAUUGUAGCUGUCGAACCGUAGGUGUCAAACAACAAAUCGAACUCCACAUUGGAGUCGAACUGAAAGAGUAAAUUAAUAUACUGUGCAUGCAUGCAGGUACGGUUCCAGUGAUUGGCUCAUUCCCUUUUUACAGAUCCCACAAAACAAUUUUAACAUUAUAGCUAUCAAACUGAAAUUUUGUUUGGCUCUUCUAUUAGAUUGAUCAAACCAAACACUACAGAUGCCCCCAGUGCCUUUGCCAACUGUUAGAUAAGUGUAGAAUUUUGCUUUCACUUUUGAAAUGGAAGUACACUAAUAUAUUUGGGAAAUACAAAGCAUAACUUUUAAAAAGGCCAAAUGCGUUUUACACUAAACUUAGCUGGUGCUCUGCUCCGCUCACAGAAGGUGGGUACGCAGAAGAUCAUUGCGGCAGGGAAGUAGUAGUAGGUCAUGGUCAACCUUAACCAUACCCUACCAUGACAGCAGCAGCCCAGGCCCAUCAAUCGCCCACAGCCCCUGCAGGCCCGGGCCCACUCGAGCAGAGGGGCACUGUGAAAAAGGCCCAGUCGGCCCCACCACGUCAUGGGGCGCCAUGCACGCACCGGUCAGACGACGCGGUUGUCGGCCUGGCCGGGGUGCCCAGCCACGUGGGCAGCCCGCGCGCUACCGACAGCGGCCGUGACCCGCGGGGCCCGGCGGCGCGCGCUCUCGCGCGCGCGCGACGUCGUCGAGACCGCGACGCCGACCGAUGGCGAGCGCGCCCGCGCCCCCGCCCCGCGCGCGCGCCGCGCCAGCCACCAUGCGACGACGUCGUACACGCACAGCGCGCCGCGGGCGCGAGCGCGCGCGCUCUGCAGCGUCGCCGCCGCCGAACGCCAUGCCGAUCGAUGCCGCCGGGCGCGCACGCGCGCGCGCGUCACCAUUGUGAUCAUGGCGCGCGCGACGUGACGGCGACACAAGCCAAUCCAUCGCUAGCGACUCGCUUAGUACUAUUAAUUACUCCACUAACUAGCGGCAUGUACAAGAAGCGGUAGGAGAAAUAUCGUGUUUCUGUCUAAUCUUUUCUGUGGUUGUACGCUUGUUUAAUCCUCCUUUUCGUAGGAGUUAAUGACGAUAGGGCUCGAUCAGAGAAUAAAAAUUGGGUUGGUGCGCUGAUCACUUUCGCGGCGAGUGUUGCUGACUUGCAGCAACGCGCGCCACUUGCCGCCGUUCGGUUGGCCUCCGCGGCGGGGGAUGAUAAUAAUGGAUAAUGCUUUAUGCGAGAUACGGCUCUGUUGGUUUUGCAUUUCUUUUUCGUUAGGGUGGUGAGUGCACCGGAGCCAAUAAACAGGUUUAGGUGGAGGACUCGUGUUUUUUUUUAAAGCUCAGCCAUACGCCCAUACGAUAAUUAUUUCAUUUGUUCUUUUAGAUGUGCCUACUAGUUCGUGCUAGUAAUCUAUAGAGCACUUCAGGACUAGAUAGCGAGAAAUCUGUUUUAAGAGAUCAACACGACACCCCUUUGCAUGCGACCUUGGGCGAGUGGCUAGCUAAGCUUGGACUGGUUCCUAAGAUUGCCACUAAAAACAUGUGUCAAAUGGUUGACUGAAUAUAUAUGUAAGGUGUCAGACUUGUCUCAAGAUAUAAUGGUGAUGAGAUCCUUUUGGGACGCACCUGAUCGAUUCUAUGAAUGGACUACAACUCUUUUGAAGUAGCAGAUCAUACUAGUGAGCAAACGCUUAAUAAUGUCACUCAUUCCCUCCGUCUCAGAAAAUACAAUCUAAGAUAGGAACUGUUAUAUAUCCUCGGACAACCAAUCAAGACAAGCACUUAAUCCAGAUUCGUUGUUCUUGAAUGCGUCACAUUCUAUUCUAAGUUAGGUUUUUUUUAUGGAGAAAGUACUUUAGAUUAUAAACAAAACGUAUAUAAUGAUUGAGACAGCUAUGUAAUAUCAUUUAUGUACACAGCCACAUCAACUAAGAACAAAUAAAAAUGGCAUGUACAAGAGACAAUAUGAUAUCUAAUGUCACUCCUCUCAACUGUUUCCUUGUACCCUAUAUUAUCUGAGAUGCCUCUUUGCAAAGAUACAUCUCCUUUCUCUUCUUUCUUUAUCCAUCGACACUUCAUUAAUUAAUUGCAAUGAGUCAUAUGGGGUGGGGGGUGGGGGGGGGAUGGAGGAACUAAGACCAAUUAAGGACUAAAAAUAUCUAGCAGUAGCUGGUCUAGAGCUGAUUACUGGUUACCAAACGAUGAAUUCAGAUUUUAAAAAUUCGACUAUUAUGGAUAACCUAUUCGAUUUUUAUAUUACUGCAAUGUUUUCCCUCCAACUCGUAAUUCAUAAAUAGUAGGGCUGGCCAGCCAGUUGGCAAUUGGGAGUCCAACUCAGAAGACAAUAUUGUGCAUAAUUCAGUUGGCAAUUGUCCGGUUAAUUUUAUUAGUAGGACAAAUUCGUUAUGCCAGUGGCACCUAGUUCGGUAACAAAUUUUGGUGUUAUUGUAGAGGUUGGAUAUAGCGUUUUCAUAUCAAACACUCAAAAGUAGUUUAGAGGUUUUCCCCUGUGUGGAUAUUAUGGGUACCCCAUACCCAUACGGCAUGGUUAUCCGACCAGUCAUAGGGGAUAACUUAUAUCUAUAGAAUAUGUAAUAGAUCAUGACUCGGGUAUUACGUUUCCUUAUAUAUUACGGAACAGCCUAAAGUCCUGGUUUGAUAAUAUUGUAAAGUAGAUUUAGGAAACCGAUACCGUAUUGGUUAAGGUUUCUAUCUUGUAAUCCUGCCCCCCACCCUAUAUAAGGUGGGCAGGAGGCCCUCUAGGGGGCAUGAGACAACCUGAUCGUCAGAUCUAUAAUACACCCGGCGGAUUCAAAUCCCCAAACAGGAGUAGGGUAUUACCUCUCAUUGAGAGGGCCCGAACCUGUCUAAAUCCUUUGUCUCCACAUCCAUCCACUUUUAGGUCUCGUGCGCUACCCCGUUUUAUUAUUGCCGAAAUCAUGUUUCGACAGUUGGCGCGCCAGGUAGGGGUUGCGUCGAGUUUCCUAUCAACGAGCGCGAUGGAAUCAAUUUCAUGAGUCGCCGACUUCGCUUUCGCUUUGGGAGUUUUCACUUCCUUUCCGUCGACCACUUCUUCAAGCUCCUCUUCUCUGACUUGAUCCAAAUCAGUCAGGGGGAAACUCAAUCUGAUUUUUAUCAUUAUUUAUCAUAUUGAUUUUUAAUCUCAGAUUAAUUUCUUGCUAUUUUUUGUUGUUGUUCGCAUAUAACUACGCGGCACUAUUGAGGCGAUUGAUGCUGGUCAUGGACUCGAGGCGUCUCAGCUUUCCGGUCGAUCGGCCGCGAGUCCACUCCGCCGGCUUGUCCUCGCCACCGCCAUUGCUGAUAGCAACAACGACUUCACCGCCGGCCUGCCUCCGUCGCCGCCGACUGGUGUCAUCGCCUAUACGGUUGGUCGGUCACACCACCGUUCAUGGGCGUCCAUGUCUUCACCGACCGGCUGGCCUUCGCCGCCGCCGACUGGUGUUUCCGCCUACACGGCUGGCCUAUUAUGCCGCCGCUGUUGGGCGUCUACGACUUCACCGCCGGCCUGCCUCCGUCGCCGCCGAUUGGUGCCUCCGCCUACACGGCUGGCCUAUUAUGCCGCCGCUGUUGGGCGUCUACGACUUCACCGCCGGCCUGCCUCCGUCGCCGCCGAGUGGUGCCUCCGCCUACACGGCUGGCCUAUUAUGCCGCCGCUGUUGGGCGUCUACGACUUCACCGCCGGCCUGCCUCCGUCGCCGCCGAUUGGUGCCUCCGCCUACACGGCUGGCCUAUUAUGCCGCCGCUGUUGGGCGUCUACGACUUCACCGCCGGCCUGCCUCCGUCGCCGCCGAGUGGUGCCUCCGCCUACACGGCUGGCCUAUUAUGCCGCCGCUGUUGGGCGUCUACGACUUCACCGCCGGCCUGCCUCCGUCGCCGCCGAUUGGUGCCUCCGCCUACACGGCUGGCCUAUUAUGCCGCCGCUGUUGGGCGUCUACGACUUCACCACCGGCCUGCCUCCGUCGCCGCCGACUGGUGUCCCCGCCUAUACGGUCGGUUGGUCACACCACCGUUGAUGGGCAUCGUCAUCUACACCGCCGGCCUGCCUCCGUCGCCGCCGACUGGUGUCCCCGCCUAUACGGUCGGUUGGUCACACCACCGUUGAUGGGCAUCGUCAUCUACACCGCCGGCCUGCCUCCGUCGCCGCCGAGUGGUGCCUCCGCCUACACGGCUGGCCUAUUAUGCCGCCGCUGUUGGGCGUCUACGACUUCACCGCCGGCCUGCCUCCGUCGCCGCCGAGUGGUGCCUCCGCCUACACGGCUGGCCUAUUAUGCCGCUGCUGUUGGGCGUCUACGACUUCACCGCCGGCCCGCCUCCGUCGCCGCCGAGUGGUGCCUCCGCCUACACGGCUGGCCUAUUAUGUCGCCGCUGUUGGGCGUCUACGACUUCACCGCCGGCCCGCCUCCGUCGCCGCCGAUUGGUGCCUCCGCCUACACGGCUGGCCUAUUAUGCCGCCGCUGUUGGGCGUCUACGACUUCACCGCCGGCCUGCCUCCGUCGCCGCCGAUUGGUGCCUCCGCCUACACGGCUGGCCUAUUAUGCCGCCGCUGUUGGGCGUCUACGACUUCACCACCGGCCUGCCUCCGUCGCCGCCGACUGGUGUCCCCGCCUAUACGGUCGGUUGGUCACACCACCGUUGAUGGGCAUCGUCAUCUACACCGCCGGCCUGCCUCCGUCGCCGCCGACUGGUGUCCCCGCCUAUACGGUCGGUUGGUCACACCACCGUUGAUGGGCAUCGUCAUCUACACCGCCGGCCUGCCUCCGUCGCCGCCGAGUGGUGCCUCCGCCUACACGGCUGACCUAUUAUGCCGCCGCUGUUGGGCGUCUACGACUUCACCGCCGGCCUGCCUCCGUCGCCGCCGAGUGGUGCCUCCGCCUACACGGCUGGCCUAUUAUGCCGCUGCUGUUGGGCGUCUACGACUUCACCGCCGGCCCGCCUCCGUCGCCGCCGAGUGGUGCCUCCGCCUACACGGCUGGCCUAUUAUGCCGCCGCUGUUGGGCGUCUACGACUUCACCGCCGGCCCGCCUCCGUCGCCGCCGAUUGGUGCCUCCGCCUACACGGCUGGCCUAUUAUGCCGCCGCUGUUGGGCGUCUACGACUUCACCGCCGGCCUGCCUCCGUCGCCGCCGAGUGGUGCCUCCGCCUACACGGCUGGCCUAUUAUGCCGCCGCUGUUGGGCGUCUACGACUUCACCGCCGGCCUGCCUCCGUCGCCGCCGAGUGGUGUCCCCGCCUAUACGGUCGGUUGGUCACACCACCGUUGAUGGGCAUCGUCAUCUUCACCGCCGGCCUGCCUCCGUCGCCGCCGAUUGGUGCCUCCGCCUACACGGCUGGCCUAUUAUGCCGCCGUUGUUGGAUGUCUACAUCCUCACCGUUGGCUCACCUUCGUUGCCGUCGACUGGUGUUUCCGCUUACACGGCUGACCUAUUAUACCGCCAUUAGUGGGCAUCUUCGCUUUCACCGUCGACCGCCUUCGUCGCCGCCGACUGGUGUCUUCAUUAUUAUUGAUGGACGACUUUGUUCCCACAUUGGCCACUUCUGCCAUCACCAAGGGGAAUAUUACAAAGCUAAGUCAUCAUUUAUUUUAUUCUUUAUAUGAUAUUUUUCCUUUUCCUCUGCCUCACUACACCAAUUGGUCUUCCAUUGAGUAGUGAGUCGGGGGCUACAGAUGUUAUAUCAUAUUUUUUAUAAUAUUUAUCUUGAUUGCUUGCGACAUAAUCUGAGUACAAAAGUACCUAUCGAGUUAUGGAGUUCUAUCUUCCUAUGCUUUCCGUUUGGUUUGCCAAUGGAUGGUUGCCUUUGGGCCGAUUCCUAACACCCGGGGGCUCGUUGGAUGGACCGAGUAACGCAAGGUGCUAAGUAUUACUCGGAAGAAAUCAAAAGCAUAGAGAUAAUAUAAUUUAUUUUCUGCUCUUAAUAAUUGCAAAAGUACCUGAGUAGUAAAUUCUGAUCCGUGAAACUUUGUUCCAUUAAUGACGAACUCAUGUCACUCAUAUGCAUGUUUGGGAAAUGCCUAGGCCGACUCCCGAUGCUUGGGGGCUAUGACUAGUCGGACAGAGUGUUUAAACGUACAGAGUCAUCUGCUCGGGGAAAUCAAAAUUGACAAGAGGAGAAAUACAUAUUUAUAAAUAUUUUAAAAUACUUGAUUUUUUCUCGAGUAUUAUAUUUAUAUCAGAUACUACUCAUCCUAUAUGUUUGUUCUGCAGGAUCCAGAUCCAGAUAUGCAUAAAAGGGAUUCAUGGCUUUAAGCUUAUCUCUUACGCUCCAGGAAUGGAUCAGUCAGAACACCACCACCGGCUCGCCUCGACCGCCGCCGACUGGUGUUUCCGCCUGCACGGCUGGCUUAUUAUGCCGCCGUUGUUGGGCGUCUACGUCUUCACCGACCGGCUUGCCUUCGCCGCCGCCGACUGGUGUUUCCGCCUGCACGGCUGGCCUUUAUGCCGCCGUUGUUGGGCGUCUACGUCUUCACCGACCGGCUUGCCUUCGCCGCCGCCGACUGGUGUUUCCGCCUGCACGGCUGGCCUUUAUGCCGCCGUUGUUGGGUGUCUACGUCUUCACCGACCGGCUUGCCUUUGCCGCCGCCGACUGGUGUUUCUGCCUGCACGGCUGGCCUUUAUGCCGCCGUUGUUGGGCGUCUACGUCUUCACCGACCGGCCGCCUCGUCCGCCGCCGACUGGUGUUUCCGCCUGCACGGCUGGCCUAUUAUGCUGCCGUUGUUGGGCGUCUACGUCUUCACCGACCGGCUUGCCUUCGCCGCCGCCGACUGGUGCUUCCGCCUGCACGGCUGGCCUUUAUGCCGCCGUUGUUGGGUGUCUACGUCUUCACCGACCGGCUUGCCUUUGCCGCCGCCGACUGGUGUUUCUGCCUGCACGGCUGGCCUUUAUGCCGCCGUUGUUGGGCGUCUACGUCUUCACCGACCGGCCGCCUCGUCCGCCGCCGACUGGUGUUUCCGCCUGCACGGCUGGCCUAUUAUGCUGCCGUUGUUGGGCGUCUACGUCUUCACCGACCGGCUUGCCUUCGCCGCCGCCGACUGGUGUUUCCGCCUGCACGGCUGGCCUUUAUGCCGCCGUUGUUGGGCGUUUACGUCUUCACCGACCGGCUUGCCUUCGCCGCCGCCGACUGGUGUUUCCGCCUGCACGGCUGACUUAUUAUGCCGCCGUUGUUGGGCGUCUACGUCUUCACCGACCGGCUGCCUCGACCGCCGCCGACUGGUGUUUCCGCCUGCACGGCUGACUUAUUAUGCCGCCGUUGUUGGGCGUCUACGUCUUCACCGACCGGCUGCCUCGACCGCCGCCGACUGGUGUUUCCGCCUGCACGGCUGACUUAUUAUGCUGCCGUUGUUGGGCGUCUACGUCUUCACCGACCGGUCGCCGCAUCCGCCGCUGACUGGUGUCACCGCCUGCACGGCUGGCCUGUUAUAACGCCAACUGAUGCUAUCUUCUUCACGGCUGGCUACAUCGCUGUCACUACUAAUAGGCAUCAGUAUCUUCAACACAAGCUGCCUACGUUUGCCAUGGCUGCCGACUGGUUUCUUCACUUCCAUGGCUGCAUGAUUCUGCCAGUGUUGAUUGGCCUUAUCUUCUUCACCGCCGGUCGUCUCGUCUGCUGCUGACUAGUGCCCUCACCUCUACGUCUGGUUUAUACAGCUACCACUACUGAUGGACAUCAUCGUCUUCCGUUGCCGACUGGUUAUGCCGCCGCCGACUAGUGCUUUUAUCUUCACAACUGCGCGUCUUCGCUACCAGUUUGCUUCUGUUGCCGCCGACUCAUGUUCACUUCAUCACGGCGAUGCAACUUUGUCAUCAUAGUGGAGCGACUUCAUCUUUAUUAUCUUCGGCACUGGCAAACUCUAUUGCUGCUACUUCGCAAGUUUUACUACUUCACCAACCACGACGUCUUUGUGAACCUCGACAUCUCGGCAUGCAAUGCCAUGAUAUUUUACUACAACAAGUGACUCUCCAAUAUUCAGGAUUUCUACUUGGACACCUUCAACACAUAUCUUCAAUCAAGCAAUGACUACUCGACGACAAGAAGCUAUAAUUCUCGACUCUAUGUUCAGUUGUUUCCCAACUAACCAAAGAGUCGGGGGCUACACAAAUAUAAGGCUCAAAAUUUGACAAAUUUUAUGUCAAGCUGAAGAAAUCAAUUAAUCAGCCAAUGAGUCAACUCCAGGAGUCAUUAUCUUCAUCUUUGCUUCGGAACAGACAUUCUACUUCAACAACUUCAAAUAUUUCGGUUUAGACGAGUUGGGCAACAACAUCAACUCUCCUCCAAUUAUUUGUCUUCACGGUUGGCCUACUACGCAACUGCCGAUAGAGGAUCUCAUCGUUAUCAUCGGCUGCUACAUCGCUAUUGACUGGAUCACCGACAUCGUCAUCUUCAUCAACAUCUUGUCAAGCCUCAUCAACAUAGCCUACUCUGCUGCCGUUGAUGGGAAACUUCGUCAUCAUAGUCGGCUAUCUCUGUUGCCGCUAAUCAUCAUUACCGUCGGAUGCGUUUGUCGCCGCCGAUUAUUUUCUUCAUCUUCAUGAUUGGUGGAUUUCGCCAUCACCGUUGAUGCGCGUCUACGUCUUCAUCGUCGGUUUGCUUUUGUCACCACCGACUGAUCUUUCGUUGUUGUUGGGCGCCUACAUCUUCACUGCUAGCUGACCUGACUGUUGCCGACUGGUUUCUUCGCUUCCAUGGUUAUGCAACUUCAUUACAUUUGAUUGGUGGCAUCUUUACUACCACUGACAUCUUCCGUUACUUCUGAUGAGCAAUUUCGUCUUCAUGUUGGUCAUUUCAUCUCCAUGCCGACUGCGUCAGCUAUUGCCAAUAGACAAUUUUGACUAUGACAGAAGGACAAGCUAUAUGCUCAGGGGCUCAUCAGCUCAAGCGUGAGGAUUAUAUCUCCAAUUUGGACUUGUUCCGGAUACAUUCCACAUGGAUUCAUAGUCAUGAGUCUAUUUUCUAUGCUCAAAGACUGGACCAAUUAUUAUUCCCCGUAAGGGCUAUCAACCGAAUACUUGCGCCAGUCGGGAUUCAAUUAUUAUAUUUAUUUUGGAGUAUCCCAUAAGGGAUAAUCAUUCAGAUCAGAAGCUAUUCAUAUGAGCUACACUUGGUCUAUAUUACCCAGAAGAUUUAUUACUCGGGAGCAUGUUACAUGCGUCAUCCUUUAAAGGGUGUCGAAGGCAUAUUUUUUGGCCUAGGCCUAAUAUGUCUGCAGCCCAUAUUUUCAGGUGUGGCCUGUCACGUUCUUUUAGGGACUUAGGCACUUUUUGCUUAGGCCAAAGUGCGCGUGAUCAAGUGCCCAAUACCUUAAAAUCCUUUUAUACCGCAGUUACUUAACUUUUUAGGAGUUGGUACAAUGCAUCUUAAAAGGUGUCAAACAGUAAAGCUUUAUAUAGCUGUCCCGCUGACUUUUUUAUAUAUAAGUCAAGGUGCUGUUUGGGUUUUUAAGCAAUUGAUUAGAUACAAUAUCAUUGCUUUUCGCCACGUAAGUGUGCAUUUUUAUUGACCAAUGUUAUGGCUUAGGCUGAUUAUAUAUUGUGGUCAUUUUCUAGGCGGUUGGUAAAUCCUUUAUGAGUUUAUUUACUCAGAUUUUACACCACAUAUGCCAUAUAUUUCCAGGUGUGGUGAAACCAUGUGUCUUCUAGGGACUUAAGCACAUCUGUUAAAGCAGUGUGCGCAUGGCGUAUGCCCAAUACUUUGGAAAUUUCUUUAUUCACAAUAUACAAGCUUCUUUAUAGCUAUUUUGCUAUAUCACUCAUCAUAUUUUACAAAGCAGUUGGUAUAUCACUCGGAUCAUGUUAUUUGGAGGAUUCACACCGCAUAUGCUAUAUAUUGAUAUCAAGUCACUUGGUUGAUUACGAUUAUCAAAACCACUCGGUUGGUUGGAUUAUUUAUUCCUUGACUAUAUGCUUGGUUUGUUCAAUUAACCACAUUGUCGGGGGCUACACCUAUUAGGUGCAUCUAGUCGGUGCACCUGACUUUAUUUUCCAGCCCUCCACAGUCUUCAGAUUUGGUAAAAGUACUCGGGAGACCAUGACAAAGAUGAUUGAAGCACUCGGCUUUGGAGUAAUCUGGUUCGAGAGAAGAUUAUCUUUUCGACUGCGAAGGUCUCAGGGGCUACUGUGGAUAUUAUGGGUACCCCAUACCCAUACGGCAUGGUUAUCCGACCAGUCAUAGGGGAUAACUUAUAUCUAUAGAAUAUGUAAUAGAUCAUGACUCGGGUAUUACGUUUCCUUAUAUAUUACGGAACAGCCUAAAGUCCUGGUUUGAUAAUAUUGUAAAGUAGAUUUAGGAAACCGAUACCGUAUUGGUUAAGGUUUCUAUCUUGUAAUCCUGCCCCCCACCCUAUAUAAGGUGGGCAGGAGGCCCUCUAGGGGGCAUGAGACAACCUGAUCGUCAGAUCUAUAAUACACCCGGCGGAUUCAAAUCCCCAAACAGGAGUAGGGUAUUACCUCUCAUUGAGAGGGCCCGAACCUGUCUAAAUCCUUUGUCUCCACAUCCAUCCACUUUUAGGUCUCGUGCGCUACCCCGUUUUAUUAUUGCCGAAAUCAUGUUUCGACACCCUGGUUCUUCUAAAUGUCCUUUUUCCCCAUUACCGCUAUGAUCCGGUGUAACUGCACAACAGUUUUAAAAUUAAACAUUUACCAAUAUUGUGUCUGAAAGAAGUGCGCGAGACUUAACAUGGAUUUGAAUCAGAUGUGAUAGUGUGACUGCAAUUUAUGCAAUCUAUGACCGCUUAUUAGAUUGGGUCCAAUGGUCAAUAUGCACCCUGGUAGUGUAGAUCACUGUGGCAAAAAUUGUUUACUUUUGUGUUGGCACUGUAGCCAAUAAUCUGGUUCAUUCAUCAACAAAAUGGAUAUAGUCGCAAUUGCGUGCCAUAGCUUAACUUGUAGGCGGCUCUAUUAAUUCAAAUUGUGCCUUAACGUAGCAUAGAGGUGGACAAAAAGCGCAAAGCUCAUGGCUUAGAUCAGCUUGUAGCGAUCUCGACUCAGAUAGGCUCGAACUCGUAAUCUUAAUGAGUCAGGCCAGGUUAGAUUUUUAACUCAUAACCUUAACGAGCUAACUCGCGAGCUCCUCGUUUAGCUUGUUAGUACAAGAUAUCACCACAUCUUUAUAUACUUAGUACUUCUUAACUAGUGCUUAGAUUUUUAAUUACAUCAAAAUUAUUCGUAUUUAGUGAGUUCUUCAUUAGUUUGUGUUUAUUAUUAUGUUAAUAUAUGAUAAAUUUGAAAUUAUCGAUAUGAUAUAAAUGAGAUAGAGCUUGUUAACGAGCCUAAUGAGCUUAACAGCUCACGACCCGAACCGAGCUAGUCUUUUAGCUCAAUGUUAAUGAGCCGAGAUGACUCGUACUAAGAUAACGAGUUUUAACGAAUUGAGCCUUAACGAGUCUAGCUGGUUCGUUAUCCAGCCCUAUUUAGUGGUGGCUAACGAGCCAACUCGGCUCGACUUGUAAAAACUCGUUAAGUUAGCGAGCUAGCUCGGGUUGACUUGUUAACAUAAUGAGUUAAAAAUGGAAAGCGACUCGACUUGUUAAAAUAACAAGUUAAAAAUGAAAGCAACUCGACUUGUUAAAAAGCCCAAGUCGACUCAUUAAACUCGUUACAUCGAAAUACAUGGUUUAAAAUUCAUAUACAUGGGGCAAAGCGAAGUUUGUCCCUCGCGUCGACCUCGCGCGGCGGCUCGGGGGCGAAACCCUAGCCGCCACCGCCCCUCCUCCUCCCUCCUCCCUGCUUCGCCGCCGCCGGAGCUCGUCGCCGGCAAAGCCGGGCGACGCGCUGGGAUGGCGGCGGCGGGGUAAUCUCCCUCGACUCCAUCUCGCCCCGGCGCGGGUGUGGCGACGAUGGCGGCGGGACGGCGAGGUCGCGGCGGCGGGACGGCGAGGUCGCGGCGAUGGCGUGGUGGUGGGGCUCCCCGCGGCGAUGGCAGCGCGGCGGUGGGGCUCUGCGCGGCUCCGUUGAGGGCGUCGCCAGAUCUGGUAGCCCCGCCAGAUCUGGCCGGGGUACGACGGCGGCGCGGCGGCGGGUCUCGGCGUGGCCGGCGACGGUCUCGGUCGACGCCGGCGCCCUCGGACGUAGCAGGUGGCCAGCAGCUUCGGCGCGGUUUCAUCGGCGACGACAGCACCGGGUCGGCGGCGGUGCUCCGGCGCCGGCUGCCGCGUGGUCCUGGCCAGGGGCUGCCGGCCUGCUGCGGCUUUUGCCGGCGACGGGGAAGGCGCCUCCAUCUCCCUCCCUCCUGGUCCUCCAGAUCCGGUUCUCCCCUUCUUCAGUGGUGUUUCUUCCGGUGCUCUCUGACGGUGCGGCGUCCGCUCCCCUCUUCUUAGGUGCUCCUCCCUUCUUAGGCUAGGCUGCUUCCAGUCGAUGCCGGGGAGUUCCGUGGUUCGGUAGGGGUGGCGUGCGGAGUUGUUUCGGCAUCCUGUUCGCUGGUCGUCGGCCGCGCCGUUGUUUCCCUGCAGCUGGGUUCCUGGGUGUGAGGUGGUCUCUGGUCGAGCUGCAGGGUUGGCUGUUGAGGUGGAGUUGGAGCUGCUUGUCUUGCAAGCUCGGCAACGAUGACCCUCAACGAACGUCCCGGCAACGCGACGAGGGUUUUGAGGUGGAGCAGUUCGAGAGAGCCUUAGGUGAAAACCUUGCCUAGUGUCGUAGGCUCUCCAGACCUUCCAUUAUAUUUGAGAGAUGAAGUGAAUAAUUCAAGUCAUCAAACAAGCAUAAUGAAACAUCCGACGCCUCGAGAGAGGAAUUUUGGAGACAUUGCUGGGCCCUUAGCCUGCCAGUCAACUUCAGCCUGAGAUGUGCCCGUCAAACCACUCAAAGGCGGCGACCAGAUGUGUUACACAUUCAGGAGACUUGACAAAAAUGGCUAAAGAUCUACAACCUCUCAAAUAUUCCUAACUCAUACUCAUGUGAAUCUAGUUCCCAGGAUGUGCACUAGAUUCACACUUUCAUCUUAAGCAUGAUUAUACAUAGCAAACACAACUAAGAUGAAAGAAACUUAAGACUUACAACAACUUAAUAAUUACAUAGGCCAACCGGCCAAAUAGACUUAUUAGAGAACAGCGGAAGCUUGACUACCCAAUCACAAGCACACCGACUAGGGGUUUACCCUAUUAAGUUCUCAUCCUAGAAGAAGCAAUCGGAACCCGCAUCACUCAAAGACUAAGACUAAACCUGCAAACAAAAGGUUAUAUCAACAGCAAGAGUCAGUACAUUAAACAAGUUAAUGUACUGGCAAGCACAAGUCAAUCCUACUAUACUACAUGUAAGGCAUAUAUUCAAAGGAAGGCAAUAUGUAGUUCAAUUUCAGCAUAUAGCAAGUUUUGUUUUGCAAUUCUUUUGUAAAGGAGGUGAUGCUUCAAUUAACAAAGACAAGUUUUAAGUUUCAUUAUUAACUUCUUCAUAAUUCCAUCAUAAACAAUCUCUUAUUGCCAUACUUAACAAUAAGUCAUAAUGUAUCACCACAUACACAACUCAACACAUUUAUCAAUUUCAAACCAAUGUCACAUGAUCACAUUUUUAAAACAUAGUCUAUACUCAUGACACAUCACCAAAGCGCUCAUGACCGUGAGCACGGCUAAUCGAUUAGUUUAAAGAACUCUGCAGAGUUUGUACAGCUUUACCCACAUGAUAUGAACUCUCUAGUUUGUUUUGAGUUUGCAAGACUCCACCACACUCUUCAUGUUGAAUGUGAUCUAGAGGUCAUAACGAAGCCUUUACACUACUUAGAGCCUAGCCUUGCACCAGCACGAUACGUGUUCCUCCAUCCUAGGCAUACUUGGAAUAUACCUGGAACCGUUAAGUGGCGGGCCCACGCCUUAAACUUAACGCCGUGGUAGCGGACACGACGGGAACCCACCACGUGGCACAAUACCGUUGUAUUGGACACGCUUAGUCACCUAAACUACCACGUCGGGGUAAAUAGGAAGCUCCUCUGAAUUAUACGAACUCAUACACACCGGCCUACCAGAAUGCAAGGCUAGUCCUAAAUAGAUUAAUCAGCUUAGGCCAUCCCAUACUAGCACAUGUGGAUGUACGAAUAACUUUAAAUGGGUGACACAAGUUCGGUCCUUAUGGACUUGGGCAAACACUCCCCCUAUCGGUAUGCAACUAACACUAUAUGCACACCACUUGCUGCCCAAGUGUAAAAUCACAUUUUACACAUUUUAGUUCGCAAAUACCCAUCAUAUUCAUUUUAUUCCAGCAAAGGUUCAAGUAUCAAAACCACAUUUUAAUUAUAGAUGGAAUGAGCAUUUGCAUAUUUCUAAGCAUGGCUAAGCAAGUAAUUGCACAUAGAGCAUAUAUAAACCCAUAUGAGCACAAAGAGUGUACUCUAACCAUUUCUAGGGUUCAAACAGCAAGAGGAUCAAUUAUUCAAGGUGGGUUAUGCAGCAAAUAGGUCAUAACUACCUUAACCCAGUUUCAAAUACCGAUAUAGUCUAAGUUCACAUGCAACUUUGCAAACAAAUAUUUUCAUUCCUCAAAUCAUGGGAUCCAAUGUGUUCAAAGGAUGGGAGGAGAAAACUUGCCUUGAUCAGAGAAUUGUUAGCACCUAAUCCACUUCUUCACCGAUUAUGCAAUUAUCUAGAUAAAGGACACGACAUGCAAUUAAACACCGAAAGAGCUGAAAAUCCAAAAUGCUCUAAAAUGCAUGAUUUAUGCACAGUGGGUUGGAAAUGAUCUAAAAUGAAUUUAGGUGAAAUAAUUCCUAUUUUAUUUUAUUCCAUUUGGGAGUUAUGAAUUUUAGAAGUUUUAUCGGUUUACAAUAGUAUAGUCUUAGGUAGUGUUAUGAAAUACUUUUGUAAAAUGAUUUUUAUUAGAUUAGACUUCACAGGGGUGUGGAGAUGUGUUUUCUAAGACUAACACAUUUGGUUUCACAAUUUUUGGAAUUAUAAUGAAUUCUUUAUGCAUUUUACAAGUUAUAACGUGUUUUAGACAUAUAGUGUUUUAUAUGUUCAUGACUUUUGAGUUAUAGGUUCAGAACAUGCUACUUCCUGUUUAAGUUGAAUAAAAGGAAUAAUUUGGUUAACUAAAACAUUUUUAUCUCACAUGUUUAUGGUCUUUACUACUAUGGUUCAUAUUUUAUAAAGUAGAGAUGCUUUAAUCUAAACUAGCAAUAUAUUAUAUUAACCUAGAAAUUGUUAUAUGAGCUAAGUUCUUCUAAUUUUAGUGGAUGGAAAUGGAACUAUGGCUUCACUGGUCAAUCAAGUUUUUAUUUAGGUUUAAUUAGACCUAAAGUGUAUAUAUAUACUUAUACAUGUUUAUGUAUUACUUAAACAACACUAUGUGUUUAAAUUCUUAUUUCACUAAGUUAAGGUUUUGAUCAAUGUUCUCUACAAAAGGUGACAAAUUUUAUUUUACUAUGUUGAAGAUAACUAUUUGCUGGUUCUAUAGAAACUUUGUUCAUUUCAUUUGGACUAAAAAUAAAUUUUCUACAAGUUUUACAAAUUAAUGGCUGCUCUAUGUUAGUAAAUCCUUAUAUGAAUAUUUAGAGACUUUUACUACACAGCAAGUAUAUAAUCUUAUUUCAUAACAUGGAAAUACAUGUUUUAGUGAUCCUACAUAACUUAAGUUUAUUCAAAUUGAAGCUAAAUUGGGUUCUACAUGAAUUUCUAAAGUUUAGCUUAUCUAAAACUAAUCAUUAUAGAGAUAAUAGUUUUAGAGGCAUUUGAUGCAAAGUAAGUAAUUACUUUUAUUUCACUUAAUCAGAGACUGUAUGAUGAUGAAUCUGUAGAAUUUGAUUUUGUUUCAAAAUGAGUUGAAAUGAAUUUUCUAUGUAUUUUAUAAGUUUGUACAUGUUUUAUGUAUAACCUAUCUUAGAUAAAUUUUAGAGACAUUAUUUGUACAGUGAGUGUCAAGUUUUAUAUUCCUGGAAUAAAGUUCAUAACUUCAAGAAUCUACAGCAACUGGAAUAACUUCAAAAUGAGCUAUAUUUGAUUUUAUAUAGAUUUUACAACUUUGUGCAUUUUUCUGCUAAACAUAUAUUUGUUUGGGCAUUUUCCUAAUUUUUCUUCAGAUUUUAAAGGAUGGGUCCACAUGGCUGUGAGGGACCAAUAUGCACAAAGGCCCUUGAGGUUUCUAGGAAUCAACCCGCAGUCCUAGGCCCAUAUGUCAGUGUGUUUCUACAAUUGUAAACAGAUCCCUGCACUUAAUCUAAUUCACGGAAGUCAUCCCUCUGCUCUAGGCAGAGCAGAGCUAGCCAUGGCUGAGCUCGAUCUGGAGCUCGCCGGCAGCAAACGGUGGCUCGUUUGAGGUUGAGGUCAAAAGAUAAAAUGAAGAGCAAGCUCUCGCGAUUCCAUUCCUCUAGUUUUCUUGGUUAGAGGACAUCGGAGUAGCGCCGAUGGCGAGUGUGAGCGGCGGUGGUUUUGGGGUGAAAGUGCAUGUGUGCAUGGAAGUCGAUUACGAAUGAAAAGGAUGCAUGCAUGUGGUCUUCUAGACUUCAGGAUGCUCACCGUGGGUCGAGCUAGGGUUGUCGAGGUCUUGGCGGCAGCGGUGACUUGUGGAACGGCUCGGCGACGGCGCUCCUCCUCGGGUGAACGACGACGGCUCGAACGGGACAAUGAGCUGCUUCAAGCAAGCAUGCACGAGGGUUGUGAGGUCAAGGAGAUGGUGUAUGUGCAAGGAAUCGAACAAUGGCUCACCGAGGCAGCGGUAAUCGACGAUGACGGCAGAGGCGAUCCUAGAUUGGCGCCGGUGAAGAAAAGGAUGUGUUCUCCGUGUUCUUGAUGUUUCCGGCUGGGGUUCUUGAGGCGUUUUGAAGAGGAGGUUGAGGUGAUGACAAUGGCGCAGCGGCUUUCUCUGAGGUGGAUGAGAAUGGCCGGACGACAACGAUGGUUGAAGCGGCGGCGCUCCGGUGCGUGCUCCAGGGCAUCGUCGGCGUGGUCGCGUUCCGGUGGCUGUGAUACACAAAACGGGAGGUGGUCAAAAGAGAAAUGGUUCGGCACUGUGUGGAGAGAAGGGAACGCGGAAAACCUGGAGAUGACCUUUACCCAAUCAGCGAUGGCGAUGGUCGUCGUCUCCACGGCCGGCGGCAAGGUUUGGGGCGAUGGAGAGGCAGAGAACCUCCUCCCUCGGUUUCUUCGGCUCUGAGUGGUGAAUGGAGAAUGGCGACGCGUCUAGGAGGAGUAGAGAGCGAGAAAAAGGAAACCGAGAUCGACGACACGUUGCGGCCACGCGUCGGCUCGCUCAAUCUCUCCCUCUCUCGGCUGGAGCAGUGGAGGAAGUGAUGGACAGAGCUGAACCUAGCCUAAGGCACUGACAAGUGGGGCCAACUCGAUGGAAACUAGGCCAGGGAGAGAGAUAUGGGUAGAAGACUGGUAAACUGGAUUUUUAGAUUAAUUUUCGGAAUUAUUUUCUCCUCUAACUUUGUAACUACAUAAUUCAAUGUGUGGACCAAAUUAAUUAGUGUUGAUUUUACUGGAGGUAAAUGAUUACACCUAGAUUCCAUUUUCUUUGGUUGCACUCAAAAAUAAUGGGUGGACUGCUCACAGAAAUUAAACAAAGAUGGGCUAUUAGAAAGCUAGAUUGAAUUUUUAGGAGGCUUAAACAGAGAAGGAAAAUUCUAGAAAAAUUACAUUUAUUCAUGAUAACUAAUCUAGUAUUUGAAUAAAUUAUUUUCCAUGUUCACUGAUGUGCAGUUAAAUGUACUUUUGGAUGAAAUAUGGUUUUAGCCGAUUAAAAUUUAAUUUGAUUUCUUUUAGUUGUCUGCUUCGACCGAUUAAUUUGAGAUAUCAACUUGAGUGUUAACACGUUACCAAAUUACGGAGGAUAAGUUUGUGCUAAUCAUUGUCCACAUAAAUUUUUCCAUGAUUUUAUCUUGCACAAAAUAUUUUAGAGAAUUAAGUUGACCUUUGUUUGUAUAUGUGUUCCCACUUCAUAAUUGCAUCUAAUAUUAUUAUAGGGAUUACAUUAAACUUCUUUUAGACUGAGAAGAUGAUAUUUGAGUUUAAUAUUAAGUCCACAUGUUAUUACCCAAGAUUAACUAUAGGUUUGUUUAGUGAAGUAAUUCUUUUAGAUUAUGCUCAUGGGAUCUAUUAUGGAAUGCAAGACCAAAACUUCAAAUGCACAAAGAACUCGAGCCUAGGCAUGCAUUAUGUACAUGUAUGCUUGGUGACAUUUCUAGUCUAAUGUUGGGAAUGAAAAUGUUUUAUUUUGUUCUCAAAUUUUAAUCAUGCAAUGGUUUAAGUUGAUCAUCACCUAAAUUAAAACGGAAAUUUUUGGCUCUCAAAAUUGGAGAAAUUAACCUCUAACUAUUUUGAUAAGAAAUUUUAAGUCCUAAAAUUUCGGGUAUGUUACACCUAGUCUAUCCUAGGUUGAUGAUAUCGACGCUUGUGGGCGCCGUUUCCUCCUUGGAGGUGUCGUCAUGUUGGUUCUCUCUUCCUUCAGGUGAAAACCGGGUUCCUUUCGGAACGGGCGUUGACAGCAUCCUUAAUGUUGUUUCCUUGUUGAAGGCUUCGCUCAGAAGGUAUUUGCUCCACUAGAGGAUGUUUGGUGGUUCUGGAGACCUUGUCAUUAUGUUGUCGAAGCUGCUUGCCUUUUGGUAAGCUCGGUAACGACGACUUCUGUGAGGUCUCAUUAGUUGUUUCUUUUCUUUUCUGUAUUGGUUUUUGCCGGUUUCCCGUUUAAUUAACCGUGCUUGUUUGGUUUUCGGGCCCGGUUUCCCUUAUUAACUGGGCCAAUUCUCUUCUUCUAUAAAUUCCGGCAGGAGAAACUCCUGCCGUCGGUUCCUCGAAAAAAAAAUUCAUAUACAUAUAUAAAUCAUGAUUUGUGAGCCUAUGACCAAAGAUUAUGAUUGUCGUGCUAUGUAUCAUGACUAACAAUACAAGGAAUAAUUACGAGUUUAUUACGACCUUUACACUGGCAAAAUGUGGACAAUUAACUUAUAUCUUAAUACAUCAUGCGCUCAACGAGCUACCUCGAGUUGUCUCAUUAAACAAAUGAGUAAAAGUUCAAACUCAACUCAACUCAUUAACUGCCAAGUCGAGUUGAGUCGAGAAGAGUUUUACACAAAUUAAAUUGGGGCAAUAGCGCUUUUGACCCUGUUCUAGAACCUACCAAUUUGACCAUACUUUUUCAACUUUGCUCAUUUGACCCUCGUUUUUAAAACUGAAGAUCAGGUCUGACCCCCUUCUGUUAAAUCAACGUAACGGUGUGCCCUUCUUAUUCACACGUUUGUGCCGCCUACCUCCUUGUUUGGAACAAACAGGAGAAGACCGCGUCGCCAUCCUCUUCGAAGCAAGAAGGAGCAUCGCCACCACACAUCGUCCUCCCCGUCCAGAUCGAGGAACAGCGCCGCCACCGUCGCCGUCCUCCCGUCACGACGCGGCGCCGCCACGGAUUUACUCCCUCCGUCGCCGCCGCCGCCGCUACCGUCUUCCACGAGCUGGCGUGACCGCUCCCUCUCUCCACGAGCUGACGCCGGCACGGAUCCGCUUCCUCCGUGUCCCUCCGCCGUCGCUGCUGCCUUCCUCCACGAGCCGGCGCGUCCGCUCAUCCGCCACUGCCGCAACUCGCCCCUCCAUGCGCCGCCGCCGCACAGGAUAUAUGAGAGAGAGAAACGGUAGUGAAUGGGUAGGUUAGAUGUGGAUUGGUUUCCUUGAGGGUAGUUUGGUCAUUACAGUAUUUUUUUCUAAAAAAAAUGGAACCUUAACAGUGCGGUGGAAACAGGGUUAGACGGGGUGUUCAUUUUUGAAAAGCGGGUUCAAAUAGCAAACUAGAAAAAAAAAAGCUAGUUUAGUAGUUAGUCUUUCAAAUGAGGUCAAAUAAGUAAUUAUCCCAAUUAAAUUAGCUUACGAGUUUCGAGAUUUUUGACCAACCCCUAUUCACACAUAUCCAUCCAGCAUCAUAGACCCGGUUAAGCCCCUCCUAUUUGGGCAGGCCUACAUCCCGAAAAGGUGCUCCAUGGAAUGCCAAAACGCACCCGUCCCGGUUCCCAUUCCCAUUCAUAGCUAUCUACCACCUUUUUCGAUCGUUACGCAAUGCUCGCGCAAUAACGAAAUCUACCGCGUGCCAUACCGCCACGCAACUAGCUAGAUGCCACUCACUCGAGGUUAGUUAGGCAUGGGCAUCACAUAGCAAACUGGCCAUCCCAUAGCUUUCCUAGCUCCCACGAGACGACCCUGCACCCUGCAUGCGGCAGCACGGCGCACACGCUCCUUUCUUGAUCGUGCGCGUGGAGCCCAGACGUGACCGGCCGGAACGGACUCCGGCUUGGUUCGCCCUUGCACAGCACUGCACAAGCACAACCCGGUCGAUCAAUCGAUCGAUCAGUGAGUGCCGAAUAUUCCGCACCUACACGUGUUCACCGUUAUGCGAUGCACAAGUCUAGCUAGUGCACUUGAGGAAUAAUUUGGAUGCAUGUAUGCUGCUGCUGCGCUUUCGAAUGUCAGGAAAAAAAAACACAUGGGUGAUGAUCGAGUGAACAAUGUGUCUCAUCAAUCAGCUGGCCCUAAACGAACGAACCAUACUCUGAUUGCGUAGCAAGUACCGUGGGUGAUUCGAUUCGUGGAUUUUUCGUUCAAUACAAAGAGCGCUAACUGGUAACCUGGUGCGCUUAGAUAGGAGUAAUCAGAUACCACUGGUUAUCUGGUGCUUAGAUACCACAGGUUGGUCGACAAAUGUCCAGACCGUGUACACACCUGCACGCACCAAUGUGGCAAUGUGCAAAACACCCGGCCUCAACCUGUCGGCAAAUGCCCUCGAUCGGCAUCAAUUCCCUACCACCACGUACACCCCCGGGAAACGGAGAGUGACCGUCGAGCCGCUGGGAGGAGGAAACAACAACCGGACGAGAAGAAAGAACCAGAGCUCAAGCACCCAAACAAACAAAAAGUUCCCGGUUGAAAAUAACCUGCAGUAGCUUAGCUACUAGUAGCACUGUGAGCACUAGCUUUGUCCUGUUCCAAUCCAUGUCGUAGUACCGCUGGUGAUGCUGGUAGGACCGGCUAGAUGCAGGCCGGAUGCACCUACCUUCCUCCCCGUAAACAAACACGUACGACGUGCCAGCCCGGGACCCGAUUCGAUCGACCGGAUCAGGCAAAAAAAAUCAUACCAGCACGAAAAGCAAGCCAACCCCGCGAAAGCGGCCGCCCGGCAACCGCCGCUCCGUUCGCCUGCGGCCGCAGCAGCAGCCGCAGCGACCGUACGCUAGGAAAAAAAUUUUCCGAACGGCGCCAAACGCGCGAAGCUUCCCUCCGACCUCCCCCGCCCCGUCUCGCCCUCCGAUUUGGCGCAUGCCGUGCAACGCACCGGCCGCGUGCGCGUCGCGUCGGGGACGAGACGAGACGUCAUCUCGCCUCGGGUCUAGCUAGCCGGUGCAACGGCUGUUUCGCCCGUGUCCCCUCCCGCGCGUUGGCUUUCGUUCGGGCCAUCUGAUGAUGGGGAUCACGCUGUCACGCAGCACGCGCCGUGCGUGGCGCGGACGUGCCAGAAAAAUGCUCUCGCGUGCGUGCAUCAACGCGCGUUUCGGGUGGUGUGUGCCCGUGUGGAGUACGUAUACAACCUUUUUCCUGGUUCGCGUCAGUGCUUGGGAAGAGAUAACUGUUUUGUGUUACAUCAGGUGAAUUCAGGGUUUUUUUAUGGCAGGCAGCACGUUCACGUUAAUCGGGGAUAGACUAUCACCUAUUGGAAUUGUCAUAUGCGGUGCAUCGGUGUGAAUUAAUAUCUCGGUUCGUAAUCGUGAUUGGCUGGUGCGUUCGUGCUUACUUUAGAGCUCGUCGUGCCGGGACAAGAUGUUUCACUUCACGGUCUUCACGUCCGUGGGUGAUGACGUAUAGAUGAAAGCCUAAGAAAUUUAGCCUUUUAUUGGUCUUUUGUUUAAUCAACGAGGUAGCUGUCGAGCUUUAGGGGUGCCACGUGUACGUCCAACCCAGAGAAAUUUAGCCGUGGAUGUAGAGCCGCUGGUGAAAUGAUCGAUGUUUACUGGAGUUACGACUAGGUCAUUUGUUUGGAAAAGUAACCACUAACCAGUCAAGGUCACUGGCCAUCUGGCUCCACCUGGACAGAUUGGACGCACGCACUUGAAGUUUUGAAUAGUUCAUGACGUCUUUUUUAGUGCUUUCUUCUCUAAAUCUAAGAUGAGCAUAAUAUAUACUGUAAAAUUUGGUCAAAUCACGUGUAGGUGCACCAGAUGAUGUAGGAGUAAUUAUGUAAUGCACCGUGCGUAAUCGGUUACGGAACUGGGUAGUAGGUUUACCGAAUUGCACCAAUCCAUUGUUGGACUAGAUGAUGCAAUCGCCUUGUGAGCUUAUUUACGAACAAUAUGAUCUUAUAUUUUCUCCGUUCAAGUAUAUAAGGGAUAUUGGCCUAAUCCCUUAUCUAAAUAUAUAAGCAAUUUUACAAUCCCAAGACAAUGUUUAUCUUCUAUCCAUCAAUGAACUCAUGCACUAGUUUAAUCCUCACUUAACAACUUUGGUACUACUCCCUCCAUCUACUUUUGAUAGUUAUAUUUUCAAAUCUGAAAAAUUUAUUUUUGAUAGGUAUAUUUCAAUCAAACAACCUAUCAUCUUAAUGGCUUUCUUGGAUUUAAUACGUGACUCUCAAUUCUUUCACAUAAGAUUGGCUCUAUGGGCAUCGAGAAAUGUAAAUAUUAAUAAAUCGCUUGUUUACGAGGAAUGACUAGUAGCAUAUUUAAAUAGAUGAUAAGUAGAAUUAUCUAUCAUUGGUCUGUCUGCCAAGAUAACAUAUGACUAUCAAAAGUAGAUGAAGGGAGUAUUAGUUUAUUUUUUCAACCUUUACCUUAUGUACUGGUUUAUUUCCUCAACCAUCAUCUUUUAUACUAUGAUUUAACCCUCUUUUAACUUCCUUAAUUAUUCUCAAAAUGGCAUAAUACCAUGUAUUUAAAGACAGAGAGUACUUUGAUCGCAGAUCAUUCAGAAAGAAGGUCUAUUUUUGAGAUGAUUCAGGCAGAAAGUUUCUUUUUUUUGAGAGAGAGGAAGGCAGAAAGUUUCGACUUUCGAUCAUCUGGUAGCAAACCCAGCAAAACUUCAGCUUACAAGGUGAGCGUGAACCCGACAGGUCGUCGACCCUUCGGCUGGAUGGAGCAGCAGCUAAUCGCGGUUACACCUUUGGGCCCUUUCCUCGGUUGGGCCACUGGAAGGCCGUAGUGCUGCUCAUUGUAGCCAUUGGGCCAGUGUCACAUGGGCUUACAAUGAAAAGCCCAUGUUCUCCGAAUGAAAAAAACGUACAGAAGCAACGCCGUCUUUUCAGCUCGGAUGUCUGAAAACUCCUAAAACCCCAAAGCAGCCAGACCAGUACACACACCAUUUUGCUUGUCAAUGGCCGCCGCCGCCGCCGAUCCCCUCGUCGCCGGCGCCACCGUCUCCUCCGACUCCGACUCCGACUCCGACGAUCUCCACCUCCUCCUCCCGAAUCUCCUCCCUUCCGCCGCCACCGCCGCAUCAGACGCGCAGCUCCACCACUUCCACCUCCCCGCGCUCCCGUCCCCUAUCACCGUCCGCACCCUCCCUUCCCUCGGCCUCACCUUCCAGCUCUGGCCAUCGGCCUCCACCCUCCUCCGCGUGCUCCCCGCCUCGCCGCUCCUCCUCUCGCGCGCGCCCACCCCGGAGAGCCCGCUGGGCAUCCUCGAGCUCGGCUCCGGCACCGGCGCCGCGGGCCUCGCCCUGGCCGCGGCGCUGCCCGCCCACGCCGUCCUCUCGGAUCUCCCCGCGGCGCUCCCCAACCUCCGCCACAACGCGUCCCUCAACGCGCCCCUCCUCGACGCCCGCGGCGGCUCCGUCUCCGUCGUCCCGCUCCCGUGGGGCGACGCCGCCGCGAUGGAGGCCGUCGCUGCUCCGCCGCCGGCUUCUCGGUUCGACCUCGUCGUGGCGUCGGACGUGGUGUACUACGAGGCGUUGGUUGACCCCUUGAUUGAGACGAUGCGGUUCUUCGUCAAGGGGGAGGUGGUGUUCGUGAUGGCGCACAUGAGAAGGUGGAAGCGCACGGACAAGAAGUUCUUCGCCAAGGCGAGGAAGCUGUUCGACGUCGAGGUGGUACACGAGGACCCGCCGCUCGAAGGGUGGCGCCAUGGCCCGGUGGUCUACCUCUUUACCGAGAAGAAGCGGCGUGACAAGAAGUGAAGAAGCUCUUCCAAAAGGUAAUGACUGCCUGCUCGAUUGUGUUCGUCAUGUGUUCUUUCUGUUUGUUGUGAAAGAUCAUACUGUUAGAAUUCAAACAGAGAAAAAAAACUGAGGGCCAAAACUUGGUUGUGUGGUUGCAUAUGGAUUUGGAUGUGUCAGGUGCUAUCCUUUGUUUUAUUUAUGGAUUCUAGUUAAUUCUCAUGGAGUCACAAUGAAGUUUAGGAUUUCACUAUCUUAGAAUAACCAAUCUAAUAAUAGACGAUAUGAUUAUGAGGUGGUAGUAGCAGUACAGGACUUUAUGAUUGGCAAGGGACUGCCGAAAUUUGUAGUUUGAACAAGACAAAGUUUUUGGUUCUCAAGAACACAAGUCUAGCAUGUCUUCGUACUAGCACUUCAAAUGGUGAUGGACGGUCUCUAGAGAAAAGAUCAAUGGCACAAUUCCUCUGCAUGCAAGGAAGGAAUGACAUAAAACAUUAUGUUACUUAACAUGGAAAGUUUUUUGUUCUUUUGUGUUACUUUUAUGGAAUUGAAGUGGAGGCCCAAGAAUUAUGUGUUCCAUUGCUGCUAUUUUCCUUCAAAUUGUUCAUACAUUUAGUAGUAAGUUCCUUUUGUUAUGGGAAUAAAACUGUAGAAAUCCAUUUACACGAGGAACUGACCUUUUUCUUGUUAACAUGCAAAGCUAUCAAUAUAUUGAAAGCGAGAAAAUCAGUACAUUACAAAUUAACCCCAAGAGAAUGCAGAUACACAGGCUUACACCAUGACAUUUAGCUAUGAAACAAUAAUUGAAUCAGGGAUGUUCACAGCAUUUAGCUAGAGUCAAAUACACGUCUGUUUGCAGUUAAACUUGAGUGCCUCUCAAAAACAGUCAGCACUGCACAAAGGCAAACAUGAUAACACAAUAGGAAUACACGGCAAACCUAGUAACCAACCUCUGGCAACCGAACAGAGGGAGGGGCACAAGAAUCAUUGGUUGCACUGGACGAGCUCGUAUUUCCAUAACUGUUCGGCCUUUCCAGCUCCUUCAGUGUCCCAUUAGAUGACUGUGAAAAUCUGCAGAGAGAAAUUGGUGGUGCAAAGUACAUUGCCACUGGCAUCUUUGGUGGAAGGUCUGGUAAUGGUGCUUCAAACUUCAGUACGCUUAUGACCUGGCGAAUUGAAGGCCGGAUAUUAUAAUCUGGGUGUGCACACCAAAGUCCAACAACCAUCAAGGAAAUAACUUCCCGCUCUUCAAAUUCACCAUCAAGCCUUCCAUCAAUUGCAUUAAGUAUCUCAUUUCUUCCAUAAAGAUCCCAAACCCAUUGAACCAAACUGAUCCUGUCAUUAUCUUCCUUUGGCACAACGGGCCUCCUUCCACAAGCUAUCUCCAGAGCAAGAAUGCCAAAGCUGUAGACAUCAGUCUCUUUGCUUGCUUUCCCAGUAGUGACACACUCUGGAGCCAUGUAACCCAUGGUCCCAGCUAUCACUGUAGUUUGUGAGCCUCGGUCAUGGUCUACAAGCCGUGCGAGCCCAAAGUCCCCAAGCUUAGCGUUGAAUCCAGAAUCAAGCAUCACAUUGCUUGGCUUGACAUCACGAUGCACGACACAUUGUUCCCACUCCUCGUGGAGAUACAGGAGGGCGGAUGCAACACCUAUGGUUAUCUUGAACCGCAAUGGCCAUGCUAACAGGUUUCCACCAUCAUAGAGGUGUUUGUCCAAGCUCCUGUUUGGCAUAAACUCGUAGACUAACAAGAACUCUCCAUGCUCAUGACACCAGCCCACAAGUUGCACAAGAUUCCGAUGCCUUAGUCUGCUGAUGAUCUUGACCUCAGAGAUGUACUCCUUCCUCCCCUGUGUUGACCCUUUUGCAACUCGUUUUAUGGCAAUUUCAAUGUUUUGAUCCUUCAAGAAACCCUGGUAUACUGCACCGAAACCCCCUUCUCCAAGCUUUCUCUCUGCAGCAAAAUUAUCCGUCGCCACUACGAGUUCAUUGUAUUGGAAUCUCCUUGGCCCCUUGCCUUUCUCAAACUCACUGUCAAUGGACUCAUCACAGUCUAGUUUCUCUUUUUCCUUCUCUCUUGACCUUGUAGUCCUUCUAAUCCUUCUAAAACAUAAAAAGAAGCAAACCAAGCCAAUUGAGCAGACCACAACACUACCGCUCGUAGACAAGCUUAUGACCAAUAUACCUUUUGUUUUCUCAGUCUUCAUCAGGUGCACAUCUGUAGAAUCAAAUUCCCAGUAAAGAAUCUGGUGCAGCUCUACAAAUUUACCUGUGGAAGCAGAGAAUCCGAUGGACACUUUGUCAGGGAGAUAUUUGCUGAGAUCAACCGAAUAAGAUAGGCUGGAGUUGCCACUGAAUUGUGGGUUGUCCUGGUACGACAAGAAGACACUCAAGUUCCUUGAAUUUGCCUGGUAAGUUACCCAAGCAUUGGCUAUCCGGCCAUCGUUGAUACUACUUCGCCAUGUCACGUUGGCUACAGAUACAAUUGAGUGGAUGUUGAUGCCUACAUGGUUGCCAUCUGGAUCCCAAGUGUUUUUGUGGCUGUCAAACUCAACAGCCACAAUCUGGUUGAGUGGAUCGCUCUGAUCAUUACUAUUGCUGAAGAGGCCAAGAUAACCAUCCAUGGAGUUAUUGGGGACCACAGAAGGGUAUGAUGAGAGGAAGAAGGCUAGGCCCUCACCGUACGAACUGUCGUUCGUGGGUGCAUAUAUCUUGAACGUGAAGCGGGUUGUGAAGCUGGCUAACUGACCGGUGGUGCUAUCCCAGAGAGGCACUGGAUCGGUGUAGAUUGCUCGGCCUACGCUUUGAGUGAUCUUUCCAUUCAACUCAUCCUUGGUGAGCUUGACCGCCUUGUUGUAGAAGGCAUCCUCCUGGAGCUGAAUUGUGGCUGAUCCAUUAUGAUUUGAUUCAGUGAAGUUCAACUUGAAGGACAGAGGAUUGACAUGGGCAAUUUUCAGGGAUAGGGAAAAGUAGAGAGCCAAGAGGCAAGUAUAUUUGGUUCUUGAUCGCAUGGUUGGAAUCCUGGAGGCUGGAGAGAGAGCAGGAGGGAGAGAUGGAAGGAAGGAAAUGAAAAGACACUACUUUUGCAGACCUGAUAACCUGUAUAACCAUUAACUUGGUCAAUCUCCUUGAUUGUCUCAGCAAUACUUGGUGCUAUUAAAGGGUAGUAUCAUACUGCCGGCCUGUCAAUAGGCCCUGAAAGGACAGAUGUAAGCCACAGGAGAAGCAGCUCAAAUUUGGAACUUAACUAAGCUUUCCAAAAAGCUAGAUGAAGCUUGGUUUGUAUCGUCUUUGCCGGCCAAGAUUAUGAAGUCAAGUAUGUCUCGCCCAUAAUAUGAUUAUGGUGGUUGCCGGCAGAAAAGGAGGUUAUCUCCUCUCAGCAAAUGGAACAUGUAUUUUCUAAGGCAGAAUUGGACUGAGUUCAGACAUGCACAGAAUCUGCCAAAAGGAAAGCUCUUAUCGAUCUUAUAUGCUUAACAAACUGGGUCAUGAUGUAAUUUUUGUCUUUCAUGCGGCAUACAACAAUUUCAUGCAGCACAGGAGAGUUUAUUAAUACAUAUAGCACAAUGAUUUACCUUGUCCUUAGGGAUCAGUUCGAUGACAACUUGACAAGCAGUAAAUAUUUCUUGACUGUAAUCUCUAUUCUGGAGUUGGCACAAAUCUAUUGAGUUAUGGCAACCAAGAUCAGACGGCAGAAGUGAAGUAUAUGGCACUAUGAUAUAUCUUGCUUGUGCACUGAAAAAAGGGUUCAAACAUGGAAAAUUAACAAAGCGACCACAGCUUAUGUAUUUCGCAUAGUGUGUAGUACACAAGGAUCAGCAUCAUAAUCUCAGUAACUAGAAGAAAAUAUACACCAACUGUUCUUUUUACUAGGAGAAUAUACAUCGAUUGUUCUAUUCAUGCAGGGCUACUUAUAUACACAAAUGAUUAACUCAAAACCUGCAAGGAAUAUUCGUAAAGUACAUUAUUGAGUGGAUCUGUCAUACUCAACAUGAGUUUCAAGUUUGCUGCCAUGAAUCGAUCGUUCAUUUCGCCGUGUCGCUGGUGUUUGUGUCGUCCGUUGGCCACGCUACAGUUUCCAUUAACCUCUGACGCAUUAUCUCCAGAUUCUCAUUCGAAAUCUUCUCGUACAUUUUUGCAUGGUCACAUUUCUGCAUUGAUGAAGAGGUAACUAAUUAAAUAAUUUAUGCAUCAAAGAUGUCUCAAAUUACUCUGGAAUAUCUCACUCUUUUUUAUUACCUUGAUCCAUUUGCUGUACAAGUGGAGUCGUGUGAUCAUCACUCUCUCUGCCAAAUCUUGCCUCUCCUGGUGCAUACGAAGUCAAAUUAAUUAGAGAAUGAACCUUGGCACAAUGCUGAACAUCAUAUAUAUUUUUCUUCAUUGCUUAGUAACAAGAUGCAAAAAGAUACCUUUGCGAGUGCGAUGAGGAAAUGUUUGCCCUCCUUUGGAUCGUUAACCACGACGUAGCUGACAAAUCGUAAGUGUUCGUAUUUUAGACGCUAAGGAUGCAGAUUGGAACUGACACCAACAUUAACCUAUUCUACUUAGAUUUCAUUUCAACAUAGCACAAUAUAUCAAUGUGAGAUUUUCUUGCAAUGGGGUGACUUACUUAUACAGCCAAGUAUAAGCAGGUGGAUUCAUUUCAUACAACUGGUGGAGCACCGUGCUUGUGGCCUUGUAAGUGAAGUAAUUCAUGAUUUCCUGCAAAAUGGAGAGAACAAUCUUCAGAGUUCCAUGCAAUCUAAACCCAAUUAACCUUGCAGUUAGAGAAAAUUAACCAUUAUAUUGCUGUCGUUUACAGAUAGCGUUCCGAUUAUCCCCUGCCGGUUCAAAAAAAAAGAAAAUCGAAAUCAGUAGUGUACACGCACCGUGUGCACGUCUUCGAACCCCUCCUCGUACUGCCCGGCGAACUCGUCCACGAUGACGAGGCCGCGGCGGCCGGGCCUCCUCCCCCUCCGCCGCGCCGCCCGCGCCACCGUGCGCCGCCGCCUCACCCCGACGACGACGCCGCGGGACCACGGCAAUGGCGCCGCGCGGCACGCGGAGGAGGAUGAGGACGAGGAGGGAAGGCAGACGACCGCGGCGGCCAUCCGCGCGACGGCAGCCAUCGGCGGCGCCGCGAAGGAGAGCUAGAGAUGUUUUUUUCCCUCCCGACGGCUCGACGCCGGCUGCGACGAUGCGAGCCGCGGCGGGGUUCUGGAUAGGCAGCAGCGGUGGAUUUUUUUUGCUGAGGCUUUGGCUGAUUCUGUCCGCGAAAACAGCGCGUUUCAUGGGCUUCCUGAGGGCAAACGGGAGACCCCACGUUCGCGCCGAUAUUUCGUCCGGCAGCUCGCUGAUUGGUGGCGGAAUGGCGACGAGAGAUGAUUCUAUUUGCCUCUCUGUAUUUUCGCGAUUCCCUUGAUUCUUUUUUUUUUUGGCUUCAGAAGUACAUUUCUCUUUCAGCCUUUUCCUUUUUUUUUUGAGAAUAUUCACUUUUAGCUUUUUGUGAGAAUGUAAUUUGUGGAAUGCAUGACUGCCACCCUAAAAUAUCUUUUCUGAUAGUGAACACCAAAGUAAGGGCACUUGCGUAUGUUUAUCAUAGUGAAAGAAUUCAAGUUCUACAUUUGAUAUUAAUGUUUAUAAGUACAUUAUUUGAUAUUAAUGUUUAUAAGUACAUUAUUUGAUAUUAAUGUUUAUAAGUACAUUUUACUACAAGACAUCGCAAAUUCGUGAUUUUAGUUAUGGGACACCACAUGAAAUCACUUUUGGGGUAAGACACUAUGUAAUCUUGGUUAUUUGCUAACGGGCACGGCUCCCAUUUAUUUAGCGUUUUAGUGUUGACUAUGCAAGAGCUGUCCACUUUUUGAUGCGCUGUGACCAAAUUGCCCCUGCCCAUCCUCAAAUUGACUCACCUAUCGGCUGGCGCCGCUCUUCGUCGUGCAGUUCAUCCAUCUCGCUUCAAUCCUCGAGCUUCGCCUCCACUCACUCCUCACCUCAGACACUGUCACUCCGCCGUCACCGCAUCCUCCCCACCAGCCUGCUCUCCUCCCUCCCGACACCAUAGGCGCCACCCGCACCCACGUUGGUCGAGGCGCUUCCUUCCCCUCCACCACCGCAAACCUCAGUAUUAGGAGCAGGAGACCAGCCUCUACCAUGGUGUUGCUCGCACCCACAUCAGUCAUGGCGCUUCCUCCCCUCCACUACCGCCGUUGCGGCGGUAGAACCAGCAUGACGAGAAGGGCCUCCACCACGGCGCCACAUGCACCCACAUUGGUCGCGACACUUCCUCCUCCUCUACUGCCACAAGACAAGCGCCGUCGCGAGCCUAGCAGGAGCCCAACCCACCGCCGUCGCCCAAGCCCCCUUCCGCAGAGGAGUUGGGCUAGGGUCCACCUACCUCGUGGAGGUCAUGUCGGCGUGGCUCGUCAGCUUCUACCUAGGAGCCUAGCAAGGGAGCUGAGGGGAGCCGGACCAAGCCGCCACAGCGGAGGUGGAGGAGGCGAGGAGGGAGGGCCAGGGUGGUUGCUGAUGGCGAGCAGAGGUGGCACUGUGGCUGGAGUGUGAGAAGGACUGACCUAGGGAUAUUUUUGACGUUUCAUGUUGUUUAUCUCUCCUAUUUAGCCGGAAAUUAAUAUUUUAAUGACUAUGGUGUCCAUAAGAAAAAAAACCACAUUUUGAGAGUGCCUUCCCCUAAAGAUCGACUUUUGACGUGCCCUAGAGUUAAAAACCACGAAGUUACAGUGUCCUACAGCAAAAUUUGCCAUGUUUAUAUGAGCAUCUCAUUUGUACUAUGUUUUGAAAAAAAUCUUGUUCUAACUGAGACUUUAGCUUAGACCCUGUCACGUAGAAUGUUUUGAUACUAAUUUAGAGUAUUAAACAUAGCUUACUUACAAAACUAAUUGCAUAAACGAGAGCUAAUAUGUGAGACAAAUUUUUUAAGCAUAAUUAAUCUAUAAUUAAAGAAUUUUUACGGUAGCAUCAUAUAGGAUAAUCAUGGAUUAAUUAGGCUCAAUAAAUUUGUCUCGCGAAAUAGUCCAGAGUUAUGAAAUAGGUUUUAUCAUUAGUCUAUGUUUAAUACUUCUAAUUAGUAUCAAACAUCCGAUGUGCCAGGGACUAAAAUUUUUUAACCCCAUCCAAACUCCCCCUUAAGAAGCCCAAAUCCGAACACAACGCUUUGUAGCUGACUAGCUUAGACCUGAGGGCCUGUUUGAUAUAGCUCCAACUCCUAAAUAUAAGUCCAGGAGUUUAGUCUGGAGUAGAGUUGUGGAGCUGCCUAAACCCACCUCCACAACUCUAGUAUAUUUUGUGAGAGAGCUCCACCCAACUCCAUUCCUAAUUUUGGUGGAGCUGAAACUGUUUGGCUGAGCUCCAGCUUCAGAAGGGAUGGAGCUGGAGCUGAAGCUGUACCAAACGGGCCUGACUCUGAGAGGAAAGGCCUGACUCCACGGUCCACGCGCACCGCAUGGCGUACGCGCGAAAUGGUUCACGGACUCGCGGUCAUGCACACCCGCGAAAACCUGCGCUAAGCAAAAGCACCGGAAAAGCAACGGCACGAGCCCGUGCCCCGUGAGGCAAUGAACCAAAUUGGCGGCCGCGUCAACCACGCCACCGGGACGCGCGCGACGGCAAGAAAAAGAAGUCGCGAAGUCGCGGAUUCUGCAGGCCCCCACGAGACCACGGUUUCCUACGGCCGAUCUCGCGGGGACGCAGCCGGAGACGACGCGGUCGGUCGCGUCGCACCCCACGCCCCGGCCGGUUAGUGGACCGAUUCCCGCACCGGCACACCGCGCGCGCACCGCGUCUUCUUCUCUAUCGCGACAAGUCUGGCUUGGUCAUCGCGUGAGUCGAUCGCCUCGUUGCUUUCCGUGGCCGCGUCCGUCGCCGCCUCGCGCACCAGCGAAUCCGGACGUCGACCGCUGCCUGCGGAUGUUGUGGACAGCUCACAGUUGGUGUUCCUCUGAAUGCACAGGCGCCGUGGUUCCUCUCACUUGGUGUGCAAUUUACCGUGAAAUCCCAGUGAGAUAUAACCUACGUCUUCGUAACGGUCUCCCGUCUUAACUCCGAGUCUCUGACUAACCGUGAACCUGAUGAUGCAGUUGCUAGCCUCAUCGCGUGCGACGAAAUAUCAAAUGAUGUCGUCCGUGUUUAGAUGACUUCUUUUGUACUCCUGCACUGUCUGUCGAUGUCAUGGCAGUAGGUGCCUCCUUUCACCGACUCCACCUGCUCCAGAACAAAGCAGGUACCAACUGUUACAAGGAAAAAAAAAUCUGUAUUUUCCAAUACUGUCUAUUUUUAUUAUCUUGCUUUGAAUACUAACCGGGUAUUUAUUUUGGAUUAUAGAAAAGAAGUACACACCAUUAUGCACACACUUCAAAUAUUCGUAAGCCAGUAGAAAACGGAAUUGUGCAGGUGGCAAGCAUUCUCUUUUCUAAAAAAAAAAUCAAUAUCAUAAAUCACAUUCAUUUUUCUAAAAUAUUUAAUUUAUUAUUAAAAUUAAAUCAAGUAGAUAAUAAUACAUGGUAAUAAUUCAAUGAAUAACCCAUGCCAAAUAGAGUCAACAACAUUGUUCACGUUUUCGACAAAAACAAAAUGAAAGCCACCAAAUUAUAAGGUUUCGACGUUGAACACAAGCAGAUUCUAAGUAACUUUUCAAAUGAUUUUCAAGAAUUUAAAUUUGAAAUAAUAAAUUUGAUUGGAAUUUAUCAAGGUUCAUGAAAACCGUCAUAAGAUCGGGAUCCAAUGCUCAAUUGAAAAUGUGAGACCCUGCCAACAACGGCUGUGUUUAGAUCCAAAGUUUGAAUUCAAACUUCAGUCUUUUUUCAUCAUAUCAACAUGUCAUACAUGUAUAACUUUUCAGUCGCAUCAUUUUUAAUUUUUUAAAAAAAUUUAACUUUACGCUGAACUAAAGACAGCCAACGAAUCAAAGAGGGUUAUAGCCAUCCCGGCCGUUUUCGGCCCGGGUCAAAACGUUAUGUAUGCUACUCGAUUUCGUGCCCCCACACCCUUGACGAGCGAGCCUUGCCCUCUUCUCUUCCCUUCUCUCCUACCGGCGGCAACUACCGGGAAGCCGCCGCCGACCGCCGGAGCGGAGUCGUCGCGGCGGCGAGGGCGAAUCGGUAACCCCCCCCCCUCCGGAGUUCCGGGAUGGGGACGCCGGAGUUCCCCAACCUGGGCAAGCACUGCAGCGUCGGCGACUGCAACCAGAUCGACUUCCUGCCCUUCACCUGCGACCGCUGCGACCACGUACGUCUUUCCCGUCUCCUCCCCUGGCCGUUUUCGUGUCUCGGUGCCUCGUUGCCGAAAUCGGAUUUGCUGCUGCGGUAGUUUUUAAGGAAAUUUGUUCUUCUGUAGAUUGUGGAACCAAAGAACUGAUUCUUCCUGGAAUUUUUGCUUGAUAUACGGUUUCUUGAAGUAGAUCUUGGAAAGCACCUAGUUUAGGGAAAAUCUCGUCUGGGCUUUAGCCUUUAGGACAGUGAUCCAUCACAAUCGAGGAGAUGGAGAAGGGAAAUUCAUGCCAAUGCCUAGGCAGCACGAAUGGAGAUCUUUUUUUGACCGUUUGGUGGAUGAGAGUUGAUGUGUCUAUCGUUGACCGAGAACAUGAUGACCCUUUCGGUGAUGCUCUUGCAGUUUUGCGCCCUUUUGGAUAAUUAGUUUCAUCUACUAAUUGAAUGCUAUGUAGCCAAUCACAUAAUUGGUCAGAAUUGUUGCUUCAAUAAGAAUGAAAUUGAUCUCAGACAAAAUCUGAAACUGGGCUUAAGAAUGCAAUGGGUAUGGUUUCAAAUUUGGAACGGGGAAAAGGAGGAUUUAGUUGACAAGGAGUCCUUCAUUGUUAGCUUGUUGCCUAUGGUUGAAUGCACAUAAUGAUAGGAAAAAAAGAACUGAAAAACAGUAGUGGAAGUGUGGUAUUUAUUCACAAUGCCAUUCAUAUCUGUAUUUUGUGCCAGAAACAUGCCCUCUAGUCAUUGUACUGUUUCUUUGUUGCCCUCUAGUUUCUUUCGUUGACAUCACAGCAUGCAGCUCCACUGGAAUCAUGACACUCUGGAAUUACACACCAUAUAGGAGUAUGCGUUAUUGCAGUGUUCAAGCAUAACUCAUCCUGAGUAGCACUCCAAGGUCUUGAGUUCAAAUCUCCAUAGGAGCAAAUUUCAGAUUGGGUUAUUUGAGGGCUAAGUUCCCUGUUUGAUAGGCUAAGUUCCUAAUUUAAAAGGCUGCAUAUAUCCGGUUGGAUGUAGAGGCCGGAUAAAAAAUACCCUUCUCUAAAAAAAAAAGCAUAACUCAUAGACAUUUUGGGUUCAAAAUUUUUCCAUAAUUUAUUAUUUUUGAAUCCUUUCCACUUCAUGGCUUCCCGAAUGUAAAGUAACAUUGCAUCAACAUCCAAUUGGCAGCACUGACAUGGUUAUUUGAUCAUUGUUUAGGUCUUUUGCCUUCAGCACCGAAGUUAUACAUCGCAUCAGUGUCCAAAUGCAAAUCAGAAGGAUGUGACUGUCCUCAUCUGCCCACUCUGUGCUAAAGGAGUUCGCCUGAACCCGAACGAAGAUCCAAACAUCACCUGGGACACCCAUGUCAAUAGUGACUGUGAUCCAUCAAAUUACCAGAAAGUAACAAAGAAAAAGAAAUGCCCAGUGCCUGGGUGCAGAGAGACACUGACAUUUUCAAACACAAUUAGAUGCAAAGAUUGCACCAAAGAACACUGCCUGAAGCAUAGAUUUGGACCUGAUCACAAGUGUCCAGGGCCAAGAAAACCGGAAUCUACAUUCCCCUUCGGAAAUAUGCUUAGGAGAAGUCAGAAAGCAGAAUCAUGUUCAAAUUCAAACAGCAGUAGCACUAGUUCAUCCUGGUGGAGCUCUAGUCUUCUUACCGCAGCAACGAGUUUCAAAUCAUCUGCUGAAGCUGGGAUGCAGAAAUUGAGCACAGCAACUACCCAAGCCAUCCAGAAGGCUAAGGAUGGGAUCUCGACAAGCAGCAGUAACAGCGGUGAUCUCGUGGAGCAAUGUGUUCAGUGCCCAGCAAGAUUUUCCACCGUGGGGGCCUUAAUCGAGCAUUGCGAAAAGUCCCAUCAGAGCAACUCGCAAUCAAGUCGUAGCAGAGUGACGGUCGAUGUCUGCCCGAAAUGCAGCAAGGCAUUUCGAGAUCCAGUGUUGCUUGUGGAGCAUGUUGAGAGGGACCAUGGAGGAACGUCAAGAGCGUAGAUCUGCUUAUGUUUACUGUACCUGUGUAACCUGUAAUUUGCUUCUCAUUGGUCAAUGGUCAUCACACUCAAUAGGAUUUGGUUGGAUUGUGCUCUAUUAUUACGGUUGGGUUCAAAAUGUGCCCAUGAAAGAAGGUAUAGUUUGUUGGCUGUUUCAAGGCAAGCCAUUGUGAAUUGAACCUCAUUCUAGACACCAGGAAAUCAAAUUUCUGAUUAGUUAAAACAAUGCGUCGUUUAGAUGGCUAUGCUGUUGCAAGUUACAAAUAUUGCCUUCUACCAGUUUGUUAAUGGUGAAAUGGAAUUCAUAACCUCACCGUGCAUGCACAGGAAUCCACUGUAGUUACAUUACCUGUCACCAUUGACAACCCUUGCAACAGGGAACAUCAUCCUUUGGUCUGCUGAAUAAAGGCGAAGGAUUAUUUUCACAUGGUUUGCAUCCCAGAUGCUAAUUGAACACUGAGAGAAACGUGAGUUUCCCAAUGGUUAAAACCACGUAAGAAAUUUCGAAUUUGUCCCUAAAUUGGACGUCUUUUAGCCGUCUAAAAUCCUUUUUGUUCAACGGAUUUGGUCGAGAUAUAAGCCGAAAAACAAAUAGUGAAACGCGUUCCUGAAGCCCAUCAAAGCAAACCUGCCUCGAACACCUUGGAUCCUGUGACCCGGCAUCGUUACGACGCUCUAGGAAUUGCGAAGACGAAUGGCCAUGAUGUUGUGGUGACGAACGGCUGCUGUUGCUGUAAAAUCAAAUUGUUUUUUAUUCUUAUUCUGCGAUGAACAAUUGGCAUCUGAGAUUAUUGAUUUUGACAUUUGAAGAUUAUUGGCGAAGUGGUUUUGGAAAUAAUUGAUUUUCAGAUGAUGAACAAGGUUUGUUGUUUUGUCGUGUCCGGUCAGACCGGCCAGGUGCUCUGUGUCGACUCUGUGUCGACUUCGGGUUGUUUGUUUAGAAAUCCGUGGAUGUUUCGUGUUUAUGGCUUCUAGAUGGAUCCUAUGUGUAUGUAAUACUGUUGUUUGCUAACAAUGAGUCAAGUUGAAAAUAGCUUGGUCUUGGAAUAUGGUUUCCUUGUUUGAUUCAUGUGUAGGUGACCUGAUGCCUCAGAAGAGUAUAGUCGGUGAUGGAUCGGGAGUCGACUUGGAGAUAAGGCGACGUCCGGACGAUCGGAUAUCAUGCGGGAUACUUAGGCUAAAGAUCAAUGCACGUGGUUGGUGAAUAUUCCAUAUGACAUACGAUGGAGAUAUUGUGUGCGUAUGGGAUGCGGAGGCCAUUCCAGGGCUGUCGAACCGGGCGGAUCUAUACCGGUCAGACCGGCGGCACAAGCACGAUCAAACUGGCAGAUCAACCUCGAUUAGACCGAUCUAUAUCGAAAUUGAGGGUAACUUUUAAUUCCGCUAAAAAUUUUGGUUUUUGGGUACACCAACCAUUCACCCCCUAUGGUUGACUUAAUUCUUUCUACGGAGUUGCUAGAAAUAUGGCGUCAUAUGCUACAGUCGAUUUUUUUUCAGCCACUUACACAGUAGUUACACCUCAUUUACAUCCUACUUACAUAUGUAAUUACUAUGUAAUUUUUGAAUUUACAUAUGUAAUUUUAGUACUUACACAUGUAAUUUUGAGACUUACAUUGUAAAUACAUUAAAAUUAGAUAUGUAAUUUAGGGACUUACAAUGUAAAUACAUGCCGACUAUUUUUUUUUGAUGAAAAUAUAGUGCCAUAAAUAUAGCUACACCCUUCUUUCUAUUCGAUCCUACAGUUGUGAGGGUGACGCGCGCCGAUACUGGCGGCAAGCUAGCAAAUCAGAAGUCCGGCGAUGGCAUCCAAGCGGGAAAUCAAUGUCCAAAAUCCGGCAACAAGGACAAUAGAAAGGUCUUGGUUAGUGUGCUUGACUAGGUUGCCGUUGAUUUGUGUUUUGACUUUUGAAAAGACUACUGUUACUAGGUUAUUCCCCAUAGUGUGUGCAGUCGCAGCGAGGAAGAUUGGCCAUUUCUUUGCGUGGCUCAGUCAUUAGUUAGUGGAUCUCAGGAAGAAAGGGGAGUGUUCUGUACAGGGUGAAAUUACAUCAACUACUGAAAAAAAAAAUCCACCUCUCUGAAUACGCCCGCCAUCUUCCAUCUCCUUGAUGUCCCCAAACAUCCGAAGUGGCGUUCGCGCUUUCUGAUUGAAGAUCAUUUCGUUCCUUUCGUUCCACACCGCUCAGGUUACCAGCGUCAAGUUACAUUUGUUUUGGACCUCUAAUUGUUUCUUGAAUUCUCUUCUCCUAGUCAGAUAUCGCUGCCGCCAUUAAUUUGUUCCCCCCUUUGGGAAAAAAAAAUAUUUUGAGCUUGUGCCAAGUUAGUCAUGGGUGCCAAGAGGAGCUCAAUGAUCCCCGCACUCUUGCUCCUCGCUUCCUUGUCCAUCUUCAAGCUACCUUGCUUCUCCAGAUCACUCUCUUUCAGCUACGAUUUCUCCAAGCCCACCACUUUCAAUCGUUCCGACAUCGCAAUAGAUGGAUCCGCGAGUCUCAAUGGUCUCAUCGAGCUCACGCAGAACGCUGACCCGAAACGUGAAGGCAUAUACGACACGGUGGGCCGAGGGUCCUACGGCCAUCCGGUGCCGCUCUGGGACGAGGCCACCGGCGAGGUGACGAGUUUUACGACGCGCUUCUCGUUCGUCAUCAAGUUUAACUAGUCAGACAAGGCCAAGUACGCACCCAGCGACGGGCUUGCCUUCUUCCUGUCACCCUAUCCGUCAAAGAUGUCUCCACUCGACGGCGGUGGAUUGCUCGGCGUCUUCACCAACAGCACUGGCAUGAAUCCGUCCGCCGCCGCCCCGAUCGUCGCGGUGGAGUUCGACACGUUCCAAAAUGAGUGGGACCAGAGCAGCGACCACAUCGGCAUCGACGUCAACUCCAUCAACUCGACCGCGGUGAAGUUGCUGUCUGACCGCAGCCUCUCCAACGUCACCGAGCCGAUGGUUGCGUCGGUGAGCUACAACAACAGCACAAGGAUGCUGGCCGUCAUGCUGCAGAUGGCCCCCCAAGAUGGCGGCAAGAGGUACGAGCUCAACAGCACGGUUGACCUCAAGAGCUUGCUCCCCGCGCAGGUGGCCAUCGGAUUCUCGGCGGCGAGCGGGUGGUCCGAGGAGCGGCACCAAGUACUCACCUGGUCUUUCAAUUCGACAUUGGUGGCGUCUGAAGAACGGAGAGAAAACGCAACGCGAGGUAGGCCGGCCGCUGCGGUGCUUGCAGGUGUCGUUGUAGCAUCCGUCGUCGUCGUCGGGGCCUCGAUCUGUUUGUUUGUAAUGAUCAGGCGGCGUAGGAUAUCUCGCCGGCGGACGAGAGAAGAGUACGAGAUGGGCGGCUCCGACGACUUCGACAUGAACGAUGAGUUCGAGCAAGGCACCGGUCCGAGGCGAUUUCUGUACAGCCAACUGGCCACCGCGACGAACGACUUCUCCGAGGACGGGAAGCUCGGGGAGGGUGGCUUCGGGUCGGUGUACAGGGGCGUCUUGAGCGAACCGGCCGGCGUCCACGUCGCCGUCAAGAGGAUCUCCAAGACCUCCAAGCAGGGGAGGAAGGAGUACGCCUCCGAGGUGAGCAUCAUCAGCCGCCUCCGGCACCGGAACCUGGUGCAGCUCGUCGGCUGGUGCCACGGCCGCGGCGACUUCCUCCUCGUCUACGAGCUGGUGCCCAACGGUAGCCUCGACGCGCACCUCUACGGCGGCGGCGCGACGCUGCCGUGGCCGACCAGGUACGAGAUCGCGCUCGGGCUCGGCUCGGCGCUGCUCUACCUGCACUCCGGCUACGAGAAGUGCGUGGUGCACAGGGACAUCAAGCCCAGCAACAUCAUGCUCGACUCCGCCUUCGCCGCCAAGCUCGGCGACUUCGGGCUGGCGAAGCUCGUCGACCACGGCGACGCCUCGCAGACGACGGCGGUCCUGGCGGGGACGAUGGGGUACAUGGACCCGGAGUACGCGGCCUCCGGCAAGGCGAGCACCGCGUCCGACGUCUACAGCUUCGGCAUCGUGCUGCUGGAGAUGUGCUGCGGGAGGAGGCCCGUGCUGCUCCAAGAACAAUCCAUCAGGUCCCGCCUCCUCGAGUGGGUCUGGGACCUCCACGGCCGCGGCGCCAUCCUCGAGGCGGCCGACGAGCGGCUGCGCGGCGGCGAGCUCGAGCUCGACGCGAAGCAGGUGGAGUGCGUGAUGGUCGUGGGGCUCUGGUGCGCGCACCCGGACCGCGGCGUGCGGCCGUCCAUCAAGCAGGCGCUCGCCGCGCUCCAGUUCGAGGCUCCGCUGCCGGCUCUUCCUCCGACGAUGCCCGUGCCGACGUACUCCUCCUUGCCGAGCCUUGCAUUGUACUGCGACGCGGCGGCAGCUAGCUCGUCGUCAUCCAGUGCAGGGUUUUCUUCUUCCACGAGUGGCGAGCGUUCGUCGACGAGCUCCUCUGCAGCAACCGCCGAGUCGUCGUGGCUACUUAAGCACAACAACAGGGGCAGUGAAAAAAUAGUAUUAGGCAACAAUUGAUUAGAUCAUAUCUUUAGUUUGAUGCCACCUUGAUGUUGCUUAGCUCUUCGUUGUUUAUGUGUAUUGUUCUUCCUUGGGCCGCCGUGUCAUUUGUGAUAUGUACCUCAAUUCAUAUCUCCUUUUCUAUAUAUGCGUUUUCAACUUUCCUAGUAUAGCCUGCUAUCUUUGAUCUUAAUUGAAUGUCACAAGCCGAGUCACUGUUUCGCGAAACGACAUAUUUGCAAACGAAAAGUAAUUUGUGAAUAAAACUUUUAUAUACGUGUUCUUUGCGAUCUAAAAGUAAAGGCUAAAAAAUAAUUUCGAUGAAAAAAAUUUCUCAAAAUCAGUUUCAAAUUUAAGGUUGAAAAUUCAAAUUUUGACUAAUAAUUAUAAGCAUAAGCGAAAAGACGAGGAGCAUAAGCAUAAGCAAAAAUUCAAAUUUUGGCGGGACAAAGGAUUGCGAUCUCGUGAAGGUGAGCUAACUCCAAAAAUCCGUCCUCGGUUCGGAUUGUAGGUUGCAACUCAUUUGCAUGAAGCAGGAAUCGCUAGUAAUCACCGGUUAGCCAUACGACGGUGAAUCCGUUCGACACAACGCCCGUCACACUAUAGAAGUUGACUAUGUUUGAACUCAUUAACCUUAACCAUAAGAAGGAAGAUGCCUAAGGCUAGGCCUUUGACUAGAGUGAAGUUGUAACAAGGUAGGGCAUGUCUGGGGGAGCUUCUGGCAGCUGUAGUUUCUCUCAGAAUCAGAAGCUCUACCUAACAAUUCAGUUUUUUUGUCCAAUUUCUGAGAACCUAUAAUUGUAGAAUCUAGAAAAAUAAACUAGAAGCUAGAAGCUGAAAAACUCCAGACUCUCAGAAGCUGGAAAACUUCAGACUCUAAGAAGCUGGCUAUGAACCAGCUGCUUAUAAUUUUAAGCUCCCCAAACAGGCUCAUAGUCGUACUGGAAGUUGCAGCUGGAUCACCUCCUUUUUCAUGAGCUAAUACUUACGUAUUUUGGUUUGACAUUAAUUGCUUCAUGCCCAAAAGGAAGGCAGCUACGUUUGAGCUAAAUUUGGAUAUGGAAGUCUUUUUUCGUUUAGGGCAAAGUACGACCAAGCUCAUGAGCUUAUUAUCCUAUAUCGGAACAAUUACUAGUUGAUAUUGAUAGGAUCUCCUUUUUAAUGGCCCCACACCCUCCUGUGUGGUGUGUGCGGUGUGGCAGAUGGGGAUAUCAAAAGGAAAGGGAUAGAGUUUUUCUCGUUUUUGGUAUAGCAUACCUUCUUUUGGGAGGCCUGCAGCCCCACACAAUGAGCUCCCUCAUAAUUGCGUCGUUGUGCCUAGGUAAGGAAUUUUGAAUUUUUUUUCUCUGAAUUGGACAUCUUUAAGCAGUAUAAAAUCUUUUCUGUUCAAAAGAGCCGAAACAAAAACUGUUCGAGAUAUGAGCCGAAAACCAAAAGUGAACCCGUUCAUGAAGCCCAUCAAACGCAUGCAGCUUAACCUCGCCUGAUUCAGCAGCCCAGUUGAAGGUCUUCAAAUCGUAGGAUUUGAACCCUCGUGAUGAAUCCACAAGGUGAUCUCCCGUGUGUGUUAGACUGUUAGUCACCCUUGGUGCCAGCAAAAGGAAAAUGAAAAGGUCAUUGUACAAGGGCCCAAAAAAUAUAAGAACAGUUGAAGCAGAGAAGUAUGAACAUAUAUCCACAAAAAGUUCCUUUAAGAAUGAUAUAGAUGAUCGUGAUUAGAACCCACAAAGUGAUCGCCAGGAGAAUUGAAAGGUCUAGGCUUGACUAGUGUAUCGAAAGAAAACUGUGGAAAUAUAGAUGUAUCAACAUAUGCCCACAAUAAGAACGAUCGAAAUUACGUGUAAAGAUUAUUCUUUCGAAAUUUGCAAGCAUAAAAAAAAAAAAGACCUAUAGCUUCAUCUGACCAACACCUCCCUUGAAUGAACCGUAUAAAGGUCUCGACCUCCUGAAGCUGAAUAUAUCGGUUAUUUGAUACGAGUGCGGCUGUGGCUCAUCGUGAACUAUCUUUUCGUACUCGGAGGAAUGGAGACCGCCGUAAACUUGAAUGCUAAGAAUUUUCUUUUGUGGUGCAUUAACUUUGACAUGAUUAUUGAAGAACUCAAUCAACUCCUCUUUAUUGAGAUCCCUCAGUGCAGCAACCUGCAGCAAGAGAACUCCAGGUAUAAAAAAAAAUGACACCAUAGGGACAAAAUUACAGAAAUAGAGCAUACCUCCGCCUCUUUUCUAUCAAAUUUCAGAGUUCCUUCCGAAAUUUCUUUCCAGAAGAACGCUGAUUCCUCUCUUAUAUUCUUGUAUUUCUCCAGCUUCAUGUCAAUGAGAGCAUUCACGUUGCUCUGCAGGUAACAGAAGUGACUGUUUACUCUGUAUAAUGUCAAGUAUACAACCAUACAAUAGAGCUACAGCAACCUUCGGCCGACCCGGCAAAAGAGCUACAGCAAGCUAUAACAGAAGCCAACAAAUACUGACAGCAAUCAUCUUACCUUGAACUCUUCAUCAGGCAUUUGGUAUAGAGUCCCUUCAAACAUAUUAAGAAAAGCUUCCACUCUGUCAUCCAGGUUUGAUGGAUCCUGUUUAAGUAACUUCUUAGAACAGGAGAUAAAAAUGAUCCAGCAGUUGAAAUUGCAUUGGAAAAUAUAUUUACCUUCACGGUUGACUGAAUUAUGAAUUGCAAUCCCCGAACACCUGAAUCAUUUCUGGGUAAACAAGAUAGUGUGAACAAAGAUUUAGAGGAGUUGCAUGAGCAUGACUACUAAGUCCCAUUACCACAUACCAAUGCAAAAAAGUGCUGCACAUCCUUUUGCAAUAAAGAACACAAUUAAAAUAAAGGCAACAUCGUACCUUUGUGUAAGCACUGUUAUGUAGCCAAGUUGCUCAACUGAACGCAAUUGGUGAAAAGCUGGUUGCUUAGCAACAAGAGCAAGCAAUUGAAGUAGAACAUUUUGUUUGAGAUCAUCCUGAUGAAUCUGUGCAGUGGAAACAUUGUUAUAGCAUUGAAAUGUGUAUUGCAGGUAUCUUCCAGGAAAAACUAGAUAUGGUUGAUGAGAGGCUAGAGUAAGAAAAAAAACUGGAUGUUCAGGUAUUCUUCUGUAAAUGCAAAAGAGGUCCACAGAGAAAACAUCAAAGAAGUGCAAAGGCAUACCUGAAUAUAAUGCAGGAUGGAAGAAUUUUUUUCAUCCUGGUGAUUUAGGCACAAUGCUGGAUAAUAAUACCUCCAACCCCUUUCAAGUUUUACAAUUCGCUUUGUAAGAUGCUGUGAUGGGGGUAAUGCUUUGCAGAAACUGAUGGGUGCAUUGAAUAAGGUGUCUUCAACAUGCUGUAUAACACUUUUUGCUUCACCCGGUUCCAUGUUCCCUAAUAUAGUAAUAUCGAUCACAUACAGAAUUAAGAACAUAAAAUAAGUACACCCUUCUUAAUGAGAAAGAAUCAAAAUAAUGAAGUUAGUUAUUAAACAAACCAGCAAAAUAGCAUUCAAUAAAUGUCUUGCCCAGAAGACGAGGCAAAAAAAUCUGUAGAUCGCUUGCUUCAAUAUGAGAAACUGCAGCAAGUUUUUCAUCCCAUGCCCAAGUUUGUUCCUCUAAUAUCAAUGAACAAUAGUAAAAUGCCUGCUCAUAUGGUUGUCGAAAUUUGAAAUUCUCGUAGUCCUUUAUUAUAGUUUCCUGAUGACAGCAACAAAAUAUGAACACACGCAGCUCAUGUAAUGUAAAAUGCAUAGAAUGCUAAGUUAAUAUUGCAUAAUCAGGAAGAUAGAAGGUACGCUAGACAUCCUAGGCAGACACUCUUUUGUCCUUCAAGACAUCCUAGGCAGAUAGAAAGUACGCCAUAUUUAAUCCAAUUAGAAUUCUAUAGAUAGAAAUGCAUAUAUUAGGAAAUAUCACAACUGUUGUUUAUAGCUUUUUAGUCCCGUUUCUGCACUGUUUUUUCCUAAAUGAAAGUAGCUCAUGCUUCUGACAAGGAAUCUCCUGACUGUUUUAUACAUGUCCAAAUGACAACCAAAACAAAAAUUCUAGCAGGUCUGCAGAAGAUAUUUUAACAAAGAACCACAUGUAAACUGAGCAUGGCCGUUACCUUUAUAACAGCAAAACGGUCAACCUUCACUUCAAACUCAGCAAUUUUUCCAAUGACAGUAUCCAGAAGGGUUCUCAUUUUGUCAUUAUAACCGACCAUAGUUAUCUGUAAGGAAAUCAUAAAUAUUGGACGGUUAGAAAAUAAGAAGAUUUCAUAAGGAAAAGUCUCAUAACACGCCAUGAAUUAUGACUCGUUUAGAAGGAACAGUUGAGUGAUAGAUCGCAAUUUACAAACAUACAUAACAAAGUUUUACAAACAUGCAACACACCAACAGUGUCAGCCACUCAGCCUGCUACCACACAGUAUACAUGAAAAAGUAACAGGGAUUAGGUAAUAUUGACCAUUUAAUCUAAUAUAGAAUAUAAUGCCAUUUGUAUAUGCACAUAUGAAAAAAGAAAACAAAUGGAGAAAAAGCUGCUGUAAGACUGUAACUUAUGAAAGCACAUAGCCAUGUACAUCUUCUAAUUACAGUACUAAUGAUGUCUUUAUUGCAAACUAGUCCAGUUAAGAAAAUGUACAUCUGAACCAAUAUGUGGAAAAUAGUUCCAAGUGUCAAGACUGAUGAUAGCCUACUUCUUGCUUCUAUAUGCAACAGGAAUCAGGAUUUUAAUAUUAAAGAUUAAAUGAGAAUCGAAUGGCAAGCAUCUGCUUAUUAGUAACACAUAUUACCAUUUUUUUCAUACUUGCGCAAAUACAGUAUGUGUUUAAUUAGGAGAAACAAAAAAGUUUGAGUAUAGAAGCGCUAUCGGUAUUGAUACAUAUUGACUGAAGAGCUUGGUGUCAUGGUGUGCAUCAUGCAUGGGUUAUGCGCAUCAGAUGGAACACAUUGUAUGAAUAUAUGAUGCAGGAAGGCCUGCACCAUAGUACGAUUGUCACAUGACAACCAUAUCAGCAGCAUGCAACAAGUACCAACAUAGAUGGGUAUAAGAGUGUUCGUACUGGUUUAGGUGAAAACAUGGCUAAAGGCAACUAACAUGAUGAAUAAAGUAGGUGGUAUAAAAUUAUUGUGUAGUUGGCAAUGGGCAUGUGGUAUGUGCCACACCACACAAGUUUAAUGUCAGUGGAAAACCUUUUAUUUGGUAACUUCCAAGCUGCGAUGCAAUAACCCUCGGGCAUUUGACCAAGAAUAUUUUUCAAAAAUAUAUGCACUUUGUGAUCCCCAGGCAUAUUUCCCCAAAAUACCCCUUCUGACUGUACCUAUCUCCGUAUGUUUCAGUGCUCUGUUGAUUGUGAGAUAUUAUUAAAGGGUACUUUCAUUACAUUCUAAAUAAAUUGUUUUUUCGUUUUGAGAGGGUAAGCCAGUAGAUUGUAAUUACUUGGAUAUAUGCAAUUUAGUCAAAAGUAAUAAAUAUUCAAAGUGGAGGGGAGUUAACUUAUAUCAAUGCAACAGUUCAAUUUCCACAACAACCAGGAAUUCCUUCUGAACCCGCAGGAAUAUCAUAGAAUUUUCACAUAAAACAGGAAUCGGGGAAAAUUCCGUAUCCCAAACAGAGCCUAAGAGAAGUAUGAACAGCAGGACCCUCUUUACUAAAAAUAAAAAGAAGAUUCAGCAAGGACAAUUAUUUUCAAUAAUCCAGUAUAAUUAAUGCUCACAAGGAGUCAAGUUAUUCAAUCUUUUCUGAUAUAAUUAGUGUGAUGUUUCCAUCAACACUGCAUCAUCUGGAUUAGCAAUGAAGAUAAACAAUCAAUUAUGUCAUGCAAACUGUACAGCUAACCUGAAAUCCAGUGUCACUUGGCCUAAUAAAGUAGUAAAGACCAGCAAUUUGAGCAUCAUAAGCUGAAAGCAAAACAAAGUUGGUGGAUUAUUGCAACAGAUAAAUGAACCAAAGGCAAACUAACCAGAGGAUGACCAUGUCCUUAGUCCCUCUAUUUUCUAGGAUUGAUAACUGUAUGUGGAGAACGAGUUCUUGUUUCGGCCAACAAAAAGAAUUUUCCAACUUCUCCAUUAGUAUAUGUCAAUUUUAUGAUAGAACAUUGUAUGAAGAGAAGUUUGAAAUAUACUAAACAAUUUCAUGAACCUGUGCCAUAAGAAUCAUAAAAUAUUGAGAUAUCUCAUGUAUUACUACAUACCAAAAUCAUUCAAAUAAUCCAUUAUCAACCUCGUGAACAUAUCAGUAAGAACUGUCGAUUCAGGAGAGCUAUUGGACAGUGGACAGUGGAAAUCCAUCUUGACGUAGGCCUUGGGUGUGAAGAACAUUGUAUCAGGCUUAUACCAUACUCUUGAAAACAUUGUUUUCCUAAGCAUACAAGGAAAACUUCCCUGGAUAAACCGAAAAUAUCAAUAAAGUUUCACAAAAUAAAAUUAUGAGCAUUUUUUUUUAAUAAAAAAUACCUUUUCCUCAACAUUUUUCAAUGAAAGAUCACUUGGAAUGAAGAUAUUAGGUUUUGGAAUGUGCAAAUCUUCCAUGGGAGCCAUAUUUACCCAUUUCUGUACAAAUUAUGUUAGAAAUGUGUACAAUUCCAAAUAUAUUAAAUUGGAGAAUAUGAUAGGAACAGUAACAUCCAAAUGUACACCUGUAUGAUGGAAGGAGUGACUGCUUCAACUGAAUAUGAUGUACCAUACCAAGGCUCUGUUAAGUUUGUUUGCCCUUCAAACUUUUUUGAUUCCCAGAAUAUUCUGAAGGAGAUGAAGAAGAUAACCCAGAAGUAUUAACACCCGUAAGUAAAAGUCACAAUGAAAAUAAAAUCUAAACAAACAGAUCAAGUGUGUGAAAGGAAAAAAUAAAGCAAAUGGCCAUAAGAGGAUCAACGAUGAGUGAGGAGCCUGUUGCUGCUUUUUGGAAGUUAACAAUAAAAAAAAUGCAAAGGGACAAGUAAUGAAAUUUCUUCCGCUUUCUCUGAGAAAAAAAGCUCAAAUUUAUGAAAAGUAGUGAAAGUUCUCUUGGCUGUGCCAUCCUUCUAGAAGAGCACUAUAGUGUUUUAUAAUUGAUUAGGCCAAGAGGAGUGUGAAGCGACAGCUAAAUGCAAAGACCGAUCAUUUUCCAAACUACAUGCAGUAGUUGAAGAGUCACAAUAAUAAGCAUAUGCAUACAUUAUACUGUUAUUGCUGAAAUGAACAACCAACUCAAAUUGGCUAGUCCCCAAUUCUGUAUGAUAACAUUAAAUGCAUGAGAUUACUGUCGUGAAUAGAAUACACAUUGUUGUAUCUUUGCAGUCUCAUACUGAUCCGAAAUUUUCCAUUCGAAAUUGUGGGAUACAAGAUGUGCUGGAAGUGCUCCUGAAAAAUCCUAGGAAUCAUGUCUAACCUAAGUGUACGGGAAGAAGCAUAUGAAGAUUUUACAAUGUGGUACAUGAACCAUUCAAGGCAUCAAAGAUAUGUAGCACAAAUGAAUUAAUAUAGAUAUGAGUUUCCUAAGAAAGUAACUUUUGAAAUACUCCAAAAAAGAGAGUAUAAUACAUAAAAUAUAACUUUUCAACAAACAUGUGCUGAAUAUUAAAACAUAAAAAACUAUGACUAAACCUUAAAACAGAACAGGAAAACCCAACAAGGCCAUAUGGCCUGGAUGUACUCAAAACCUACCUAACAUUAUCUGGAGUCAAGUCAUUUAAUAUAUUCUGAAUAGCAUCUGGAGAAAACUUUGAUGGCACAGAUGAUGCAAUCAGCCAAUCUUCCGGCGGAAAGAUCUAUAAUAGAGAGAGAUCAUGAGAUGGUGAUACUGAGCAGAAUUAAUUUGCAAUUUAUGAACAAACAUUUUGGCAUAAUUUAUUAGGAGGAACUGAUCAUUUCAUUGUUCAAUGAAAUAUCAUGAGCUGGCCUUCUUGUUAAUUUCAUUUUGUGUAACGAAACAAAGUAGCCUACAAACAUAAGUUAAGAAAAGCUAAACAGUUUUUAGAUAUGCCACUCCACUUCCUCCCAGUCAUACGCAUGUGAAUCUAUGGGGAAUGCAGAUCCGCUCAUGUAGAAAGCUUCAAUUUUGUGAAUUUGGCGAUAUUCUGUUCAAAUUUGACUAAAAUUUGUUCAAAAUUUUGGUAUAUCAGCACCCUCCAAUAGAAACGUCCAAACCUAAAGAUUAAACCCUGGGGGGGGGGUGCAUAUGCAAAAAUUUCAGUCUUUUGGGCCUCUGAAAACUCGGAUAUUUUGGUCAAACUACAACAGGAAGCAUGAAAGGAUCAUAACCUACACAGAAGCCUAGAGCCUCAUUAGUGGAACUAUGCCCCACUGCAUCCUUGCUGACAGGAUCACGUUUUCUCUCAGGGAAGUGUUAUGGUAGAUGUGACUAUCACCUCCAAAUUUAUCGAUAUCAUUCACUCAUAAAUUAAGAGGCAACCCAUAUAAUAUGUCACAUUUAGUACACAAGCCCAGCAAAAAACAUUUAGUACACAAAUACAUUGUAAUAUAUCUAAUACUCUCACACCCUUCUUGAAAUUUGUGUGGAGGUUGCCUCUUGAUUUAGGGGUAGCUCAUCAUCUCUCUCCUCACUUAUCUCCACCAUCUCAUCACUUAAUCCAAUGUGGCACUCUUAGGGGCAGCAUAUGGAGCAUUAUAGUACUUGCCCUCAGCGACUUCUCCCUCCUCACCGUGAUCCAACUUACCGCUAGUCGCUAGAGAGUACAAGUAUCUAAUGGCUAUGACUAGAGAUUGCCAAGCUGAUCCAGGCAUUACCACAUUGGUCUCUUACCCCUAGAAGCCACAUUAAUCACCUUGACACAUAAGACAGUCGUGCAACAUGGAGUCAGUGACAAAUUGCAGAAAGAAGGGAGUUAUCUGGUGGCAUAUAGUUCAUAUUCUCACUUCAUUUGUGAGGGAUCCCACCUAAUCACAUCCCUAUGAAUUCAACCGAGUCUUAUCCAACAACUCAUAGGAGUAUCAAGUUACAAGGUUUUAAAGUAGCACAGCAAUAUAGUUUUGCACUAGAUUCUCUCAUACAAACAUGUCACUGACAAAAUAUAAUAAUAAGGUGCAGAUUGAUAGUAGAAUUAAUGACUGGUCAUUCUUGACUUUUGCAUGAGCACUUUCAUGCCUUAUCAAAAGUCACAUCUGUCUAAUCAGAAAAUAGUUAGGUAGUAAGAUUUUAAAAAGUCACUUUCUUUUAUAAGCAAAGAGAAGUCUGCUUUCUGCCCUCGAUUCAAACUUUUAUGAGAAACAGAGAUGGAAUACUGUUUCUCGUAAAAAAAAAAGAUGGAAUACUGUGAUACCACCACCUAUCAGGCCCGACGAGCGGUCCACUGUAUAGGAAAAUGGGCAACAAUGGGACUCCUAACUCUUUCUUGAACAUGCAGGAACAGUCAAUUGCAAUUAAAACAGAUGCUAUUAUUGCUAACUUCCUUUUAAAAUGAUGACAAGACAUGAUAAAGAUUAUUAGUUGGCAAUUAUGGACAUGCAAUACAGAUGCCCAAAGCAAUGACUAAAAUAUACCUGCAUGUUUGAGGAAAUAUUGACAACAUAAUGGAUAGGAGGACUCUUGUCUCGGUAGUGGAAUCCCAUCUCAGAAAUAGCUACAAGCUUGACAAUCAAAACAGAGUGAGGUAGUUAGCUGUGUGCAAUGCUAAAUGGACUUCAUGUGCAUCAUUACAAUUUACAAUGUCGCAAAAACACAUAGACACUGUCAUUAUCGUUCACCAGUUAGACAAUUAUACAAAUUCCAAGCAUUACUAUAGUAGUUGGACAAAAUAGAAUUUGAAGGAAGCACGCAAAAACAAUGUGACCCUUUGACAAGCAUUACUGUAGUAGUUGGACAAAAUAGACCCUUUGAAGGAACCUAAUGCAUGCAGCGUACACAAAAACAAUGUGAGCAACUUGAUGAUAUGGUCACAUACUCAUGUUUCAUGAUUCAUCUUGAAAAGGUAAAGUAUAAUUAAAUUUAAAUAUUAAAUAGUAGCUCCCUAAAAUGCCAUUUAUAGAGGGAUAUUGGGUGAUAAGAAAAGGUACUGGUCAAAUUACGACAAAUUAGACCAAAGAUCUUAUGUACAAUCCUGACCAAAACAAUAAUCCAAUUUAAUGACUUCAUUAAUGGCCUGAUUGUUUAAAUUUCGAAGUAGCGGUAUCAGCCCAAGAAAAAUUUGCAAAGCUUAAACGGAUGUCACGUACAGCUUACAGUUGAUUUUGGUCAUUAUAAAAAAAAAAUCUAUUCCCAAAAGGUACACAAAUCCAAAACCAAAAUUCACCUCAUCAAAAAUCCACUGACGAGUUCCAGAGGUCUGGAGCAAUGCUAUGUAUCGGAAUAACAGUCCAAUAAUGUCCUCCAUGUGCUCUAUCAUCAAUGAUAUGAAAUAGGUAAAUAUUAUAUACACUGUAAAUCUUCAGUACUUAAAAGUAAAAUUUGAUCUUCCAUCAAAAAAUAGUAAAGUUUGAUCAUAUACUAUCCACUUAGAUUGAAAUUAAGGAUUUACCCUCCUGACUCUCAUGUGAGUGACCUUGAUUACCCCACGUCUUUUUUUUAUGCAAGAGAUUACCCCACAUGUCAUUGGCACAGGAGGGUAAAUCCUCAAAAAAUUGUUGUUAAAAAGGCCCUUCUUGAAUGAAACUCACCAUAGCCUACAUCUGUGAGCUGUAUAACAACAUUGAAGAAUGAAAACUCAUAACUCCAGUCACCUUCCCAUGCAUACAAACUCAUAGCCCAUCCUGAGGAAUUUAACAAAGACAAAGUUAAAAACAACAAGCACUAUGAAAGAUAUAUACACACACCCAUACAUAGAGAGAAAGGGAGGUGAUCAGGUGAGGAUGAUACGUGGGUUAUGUCCACCCAUUAAGCACAGUCAAGUCACUAUUUAUCUUCUUUAUUUUGUUGUUGUUUAUUAUUGAUUGUUAUGGUGGCAUUAUCACUAUUUUCCUACGUAGACUCCACAUAGGUCACCGAGAGACACCACGGUUUAGGCACAGAGGGGACAUGUGGACACUUUCGAAAGUUGAGGGACCAAAAUCAGACCAAGGCCAUAGUUUAAGGGACUAAAUGUGGACCUUUUCCUUUUCUUUAUUGUGUAUUGUUUGCCUGUUCCAUUGAAACUUUACUUUGAUUUUUCCUUGACAAACCUAAUGUCAUUUUUACAUAACAAAGUCAAUAGCUUCUUGUAUCAGUAGCCAAUUUUUUUGAGGUUUGGCUGCACAUAAUCUAAAAAUGAAACCUAUUUGAGGAAGGAGGUCGCAGUGAAUUAUUAGCACACCACCUAAAGAGGAUAUUGCUGUUAUACCUAAAUAUCCUCGAAUGAAACAUUAAAUAAAAGCAAAGGAAUAAGAUUUCAUCUCCAGAUUUUUCCUAUAUAACAGUACGGAAGAACCAUACAGAGAUAAAAGAGUUGAAAACACCACACGAAAGCAUAUACAUAGAAAACACAAAAGCAUCUGGAUAUGUGCACUACAAAAUGGCAUCUCAAUUGGAAAAGCAAAGUAAGACUAAUUAUAUGCAUUUGGAUAGUAAUUAUAUCAGACCAAGAACCAGCUCAACACGUCACCUCGAAAGAUGGAUAUAAACUCCAAAUCAGUGAAUCACAUAACACAAUCUAAAGUAGCAUUCUUGAAUUAAAUGGCGCUAUCAUGUCUAAAUGCUUCAUCAAAGUGCGAGUACAAUCCUGUAUUAAGCUGACAAUAAGGUCAGAUAUUCACAUUAACAGAAAUACGUAAUAUCUUGAAGCAAGAAGCAUAGAACCAGAGGAUUUUGUAUUCAUGUUACACCAAAUAGCCUAUGGACUGACCAAACAGCCCCAAACCCGUCCACCAGAAAAGAAGCUGAACUUCUCAUAUAUAGCUUACCUAAAUUUUUUAGCACGUAAAAUAGAGACCCCUCUCCUUCAUGGCCAACUAGACGACUCACAUACUUGCAAGGCCCUUCCUUAUAGUGCUGAAUAUUUGGGGUGAUUGGCCACUGUAUUCUCAAAGUGUGGCCUUCUUUUAUGGGAACCGCUUUAACAAUGAUCUGCAGGUCAUUAACUACCAUAUUAAAACAUGUUAAAGUAUCCUUACAUUUCAAAAGAAGUGCCAGAUCCAGUGGUGCACUUGACUUAUCAACCUAUUUUUAGCAAAUGGAAAAUAUAAACCUGGAGAUGUUCACUUGAACAUGGAUGACCAUGAAAGGAAAAACUUUCCCUUCCAGUAUUCCUGACAUCAGAGAACUUAUUUUCAACAAGAUUUUGAAGGUUGUCAAGACUCUCUGCAUACACAAGUUACACAACAGAUAAAAGAAAAAAAAAUAAUUUGAAGAAUUUGUACACAAAUGAAAAAUAUAAUGGUGUAAUUCAGUUUGAUGAAAACCUUUGCCAUACACAACAAGUUGCAUCAAAUUAGCUGAGUAAUGUGAAUUAUAAAAUUUAAUAAGCUCUUCCAGUGUGUCCAAUCCUUCCUUAUUUGGAUUAACCAGCAAAGUGUCCAGGUUUCCUAAAAUAAUAGAUGAUCAGAAUAUUAGUGAAAAAAAUAGUCGACCUUUCUAUCAUGUAAAAAAAUAGCCUCUUAUUUGGCUCAAGUUAAAACUCCCACAGGUUUUGAUUCCAGAGAAAUAAUAUCUAAAAUAAUUUUAAGGUGUAAAUACUCCCUGUCCUGUAUGUUUGUUAGACUUCAACAAAGUAAUCUCCAAUUCACAUAUUUGGCCAGUGACUUUUAGUGGUAGUUUAAUUUUGACUCCACUAUUCUGAAACAACAUUAUUUUUUAAGAACAAGCACGAUACUGACCAACAGAAUAAAGUAGAAUCAGAGGGCAGGCAUCAAUUAUUCUCAAAGUAUAAGAAAUGUCAAAGUACUUCAUGUACAAACUUGUGAAUUCAGUGCUUGUUCGAGCCUAUGUGGUCCUCGCCAAGAGAGGGACUUGAUGGGUUAGAAAAAUAGAGGUGUAUUUGCCAGAUCUAAGAGUUGCACAAUCUUUGCUCAUUCAUCACAACCUUUGCCCAUUCAUAUAACUACCAUGCCUCACCACCAAAUAAAAAAAGGGAUACGAUAGGUGGUGCUGAGAAAGAUCAGCUAGAUGCCGAGUAAUCUUAGUUAGGUUGUGCUGGAAGGCAUGGGCCGACACAAGGGGAGAUGCAAAACAUUUGACUGACAAAGGCACAAUUUUACGUGUUUCUAUGUCCUUCAUAUGCUAUUGUUUCAUUUGUGAAAUCAGUGUUUUUUCAAAUGAUCCUCAUGGUCCACAUGGAUCAAUAUCAAUACAGAAGAACUUCAAGAAAAGAUGUGUGUGAGCCUUGGAUGACAGAAUAAACCACAAAUGAAGAGAAUCCAUCAUGAAGAUUGAGAAUACCAUAAAACAAAUGGACCAUCAGGUUUACAAAUGCAGCCUUUUUCCUUUUGGAAUUUGGAAGGAUAUAUAGUGAGUUUUUUUUUCCCCAUCAUGAGCAAUAUAAGGGCAUUCAACUAGUUAAAAACUUAAACUCAGAAGUUCAUAUGACAUGGAUAUUUUCUGCAACAUUACAAAACGAAUUCUUGACUUCAGCAUGCAAUACUUGUGAGUUGUGGCUAUAAAAUGAAGAUAGAAACAUGGUACCAAGCAUAUAGUUGCAACAUCAGACACUACAAGAAAAUGAAAUGAUGACUAAAACACACACCAGUGCUAAACUUGUGAUAUGGAUGGCUCUCCGAGCAAAAAUGUUUCUGGAGCUGAAACCAAAAGAUUAUAGACAACGAAAUUAUUAUAGCAUGAAAGAGCAUGGUAACAUAAAUGAAUUUGACAGAAACAAUUGUAAUAAAUCAAAAAAAAAUCAUAUUACACCGCUCAAGAAGAAAUGUAAAAUAUAAUUAAAUUAGGUAGAAACAUAGAUUUAGAUGUCAAAACCACUAUCAGAGCUGGGUUGCAUUGCUCUUUAAUUUGGGGGGACGGGAUAUUUUUAGUCGGUUUUAUACUUUUGUUAGUUAAAGUGUGAUUUUUAGAUAAACCCUAUAAAGUAAGGGGUGUAAUAUAGAUUUAUCCCAAAAUCAAAAUAGAAUAUGAGUAUGAUACCAUUCAACUAUAACAGAAAAUAUUCCACUGCGUUGAUGUUUUUCUAAGAUAAAGGUACCUGACUCAUUCGCAAAGGAUCUGACAACAAGUUUUUCUUAUUUUCUGCAGGUGAAGAAAAAAAAGACAGAAAUUAGAAGUUAAUUCUCUCAGCAGAAAUGUCAGUUCCAGAUAAGAGAGAAGCAAUAUAUACCAGAGUCAACAGCAUUAAUUUCCCUUAGAGUUGCAUCGGGUGAGAUCAAUGGCUUUAUAAAAAAUUGUGCAAACCUAAAACAACAGACGAGAAGCAAAAUGAAUCAGAUUCUGCAAAAUAAGAACAAAGGUGAAAAGAAAGAAAGCAGUAGAAGGUACCUAUCCAAAGCAUCAUCCAGGCAACUAUUGUUCACAUCAAAAUAAAAGUUUGUACGUUCACGACAUGUGAAGGCGUUGGUUGAACCACCAUGCUAAAAGAAACAUCCAUAUCACACAAUUGAUGAUUUCAAAGUAGAGAAGAAAACUUAAAUACCAUGAUAUUCUUUAUAUGAAUUUAUGAACAAUUAUGCCCCCUAUUCUUUAACUAUAUCAGAGGCCAGCCAGACGAUUUGGUUUUCCCAAUUAGUAUUGUUAAUAAUUUAAAAGGCUAAACCUCUGCUUGCAAAUCUCCAGUAGCAGCAUAACAUUGGAGGAACCCAUGGUUCAAGGCUUGAAGCACUGAAGGUACAGAGCUUCAUUGGGGCCAAACUUGGCCUACCCAAUGAUUGUACAGUCUAUAUGAUACUUCCUCCGUCCCAAAAUGUAGGUAUUUUUUAGGUUGGCACGGUAUUAAGAAAGUAGGUGAGAAUGAUUGGAGGAAGUGUGUGGUUGGUUGAAAAGAGAAAGUAGGUGAAGAAGAAUGGUUGUGAUUAGUUGAGAGGAGGAGGUAGGUGAAAAAAAUAGCUUCAUUUUGGGACAAGAUACUGUGCUAGAAAUAGCUACAUCUUGGGACGGAGGAAGUAAGUACUUGUAUUUGGGGCAUUUUACUUAUUAAGCUUCAAAUUGGUCCCAUAUGGAUUAAGCCACUCGUGCAUCAUUAGUGUUGAACCACUCUCACUCUGCCACUGUAAGCACUGGUGCACCACCGCAAACUCGCAGCAGUAAAUAUAUGAGUUUACUCACAAGUCACAAGCUGGAUACUAUAGUUACGUGUGCCUAUUAUACUGUUACCAACUGACAACUGGUACUCUAGGGGCAAAAGGGCAGUAACCAUGAUUAAAAAAAUUAAACUAGAUUAGCUCUACAGAUACUGAAUUUCUCUAAUCGCACUCUGCUUAAAGUACUAUAAAUAUAAAACCAAACAAGUGGCAUCUAUUGGCAUAACAGGAAGCAUCCAAGAACCCCCAAAAUGUGGUACAAGUCUCUAGUCAUUGCCAGUAAAUUGAACGUAGACUGGACGUUUUGCAAAGAAUGCAGUAUGCUGAAGUUCAAUUGUCCUUCCAAUUGUUCUGAAGCAUUUAGAUUAAGUUUUGAGAUCAAUUUUAGUUCGAUCUAACAAAUUAUUGACCACGACAAAUCAAGAUCACUUACAAAUGUCCUCUUCAAAUUAACAGAACAGAUAAGAAAUUGGCCAUACAUACCUCUGCAAUAUACUUUGAGUAAUCGUCUUCCACAGGGUAUUUCUCGCUAGCAUAGAAAAGCAUAUGCUCUAUAAAAGAAGAACCAAGCAUAAGUGAAUCAAACAAUACAGAGACACAUACAUGUUAAUUACUGCAAAACACAUGCCAUGAAGCUCUCUACAUGCGAUAGUACAAUCCAACCAAGAUAAAAAAACAAUUCAAUGAGGUUUGAACAGUGCCUGGUGAUGCAUUAAAACUCUUUAAAGGUACACACUAGAAAAUAUAUAAAAGAGCAACAUACAAAACAAGGCAAAUUAAACAUACACUAAGCACAUCGAUAGCAUGACACACAGUGACACAAGAAAGUUGUGCUUACUUUAUCUGUCCAAGGAAAAAUAGUUACAAUGACUAGUGAGUAAAUUAAUUUUCUAAUUGAAUAACAGUGUCUCCUUAGAUUUUUACAAUCACCUUAAGUAUCCAAAUAAUAUGUUCGAAGCACUCUGGUGUCGAAAUGAACCUCCUAUUAAUAUAUGCCAUCCAUUUCAAUACAGAGGCAAUAUAGCAUGUAUAUGUAUUACAAUAUUAGUAUAAUAGUUUCAAUCACGAAUAAAAUUUCUGAAACAUCUGAUCCUUCAAUGAACCCGUGAGUUUCAGAUAAGUAAGCCAUUUUAAGGCCCAACUGUAUUUUUCUCUUAAUGCCCUUUCACAUGUGGGCUUUGACAUCUUUGCAGAUUAAUCAAGUAAAUGAUUAGCUCAUAUACCUUUGAAGGUAUGGGCCAUUGUCGCUUAUUAGCUGGAUAUUCUGACAGCACCUAUCAGGAGAUAUUGAUACUGAAUUGAUACAUUGAGUUGCACAUGUGAAUCAAUCAUCUGUAUAUUUUCCUGGCCAUGCUAUACUUGUUUUAAUCUUCUCAUCCAGAGAUACUCAGCAUGAUGCUGGAAAUUCAUUUUCAGAUGUUUUGCAUAUAUUUGUGCACAUAUUUUACUUAUCCAAAAAAAUAUAUGAAAAAGUAUAUUUUCCUUGCAUAUUUUCUAUGUGACAGGGGCUGUGAGAAAAAUAUGCAUACCUAAAUUUCGACCUUCUUCAUCUUUAUUACAUUAUCAAUUCAACAAUUAAACAACUAAAAAGGGACAUGUACAUAUUGUAACAGAACCAAGCCACAACCUCAAACAGCUUGGUGUAAAAAGCCAGCAAAAUUGUAGUGGUAGGCUAAUAGCAGGCCUGACACUGCAACGGAAAUGCAUGGAGAUGAUAGAGAUCAAUUGCAUAGGCAUCAAGGCCCGAACGCACUGAGAUUAUCAUUACUAACAUCAUGUACAGUGAGAGCCACUUAAACGGAAGCAGCUAACUACAACGGAAAUCAUACUAGCAUCCGUUCAAGCCAACAAAAAAAGAAAAUCAUAGCAUCCACGAUUACUAAUUUCUCAGAGGUUUUACGCAACAAGUCAAAACAGGAAGCUCACCAAGGAAAUGUGCAAGGCCAGGGAGCCUCUCGGGAUCGCAGAAGUAGCCCACCGAGACAUUCAUCGACGCCGCCGCCUGCAAACAAACAAAGCCGGGAUUCACCCAUUCAAGCCAAAAACCCAGGAGGCAGGCACCAAAACCCCCGGCACAUCCCCGAUCGAAGGAGCCAGCGAAAGCACGGAGACCUUGUCGGUGUCGGGGUCGCUGACGAGGAGGCACUCGAGGGCGUUGGGGAGCACGACGCGGCGGUACCCGCGCUUGUCGUUGCGGGGCCUGGUGAUCUCCGCGUCGCCCUCCGCCGCCGCCGCCGCCGAGGGUGCGGCCGCGACCGCGCCGUCGGACGACGGCUCGGCGGGGGCGUCGGUCGUCGUCUCGCGCGCUGGCCUCGAACCCGCCAUUGCGGCCGCCGCGGAUUCGCCGCCGCUGGCGGUGGGUGGUGUUGGAGUUGGAGUGGACUGCGUCCGCGAAGACGCGAAGUUGGCUUGGCAGUUGGAACGGCGAGUAACAAGUUGUCCCCGGAGACAACGCGAGAGAGGGUGGCACGGCAGCAGUGGGUGGACCUGCAGCGCGGGUUGGUGGACUUGGUAGUUGGGCACGUCAGGAGUGGGCAAAUGGGCUGGGCCGGAAUGCCGGAUUUGUGCACGGCGGCGUGCACCGGGACAUCUUUCUGUUUGAAGUCCGGCGUGUACCGGGACAUCUUACUGUUUGAAGUUCGAAGUCAAGUAAACGUCUACUCGAACGUUCGGAAUUUUUACGGAAUGGGAAGAAAACUACUCCCUCCGUUUCAUAAUAUAAGCCAUUCUAACAUUUUUCACAUUCAUAUGGAUGUUAUAUGCGUAGAUUCACUAACAUCCAUAUAAAUGUGAAAAAUGCUAAAAUUACUUAUAUUAUGAAACAGAGAGAGUAGCUAGGUGUGCCAUAGCAGAUGCAGCAUACAAAAGAGGCAGCGAGUAGAAAACUGAAACGCAGCGAGGAAUGUGACACACAUGCAGAGUUUUCAAGCAAAAUAUAAGCGUCGCCUGCUUCGGCAGCUUUGCUAUACUCUCCAUGUGUAGAUUGCAGUGGGAGCUGAAUGUAACUUUCUCGCGGCACAUGGUUCCAUUUUUCAGGAAGAGAUAACGUCCAAAGAAACAACAGCGAGCUCACUGAAACGGAAAUAAAAUUUGGAGCUAAACUAAGGAUCUGUAGGUGGAACCGUGGAACUGUGGAAGCACCUCUGCUCUGGUGGUUACGUCGUAGGGUCUGAGCCCACGUAAUGAGAAACCACAAGGUGAUCUCCAGUCGUCAGUCACCCUUGGUGCCAGCAAAAAGGAGAACGAAAGGUCGUGGCGAUAGAAAAUGGUGGAAUGGAAAUGCAGAAGUAUCAACAUCUGUCCACAAAAAAGUUUCUUUAAUAAUGAUCAAAAUUACACGUAAAAGGAUUAUUCUUUUGGAAUUUGCAAGAAUAUCAAAAGGGUUGACUUAUAGCUUCAUCUGACCAACACCUCCCUUGUAUGAACCAUAUAAAGGUCUCGACCUCCUGAAGUUGAAUAUAUCUGUUAUUUGAUAGGAAUUUGGUCGUGGCUCAUCGUGGACUAUCUUUUCGUACUCCGAGGAAUGGAGACCGCCGUAAACUUGAAUACUGAGUAUCUUCUUUUGUGGUGCAUUAACUUUGACAUGAUUGUUGAAGAACUCUAUCAACUCCUCUUUCUUAAGAUCCCUCAGUGCAGCAACCUGCAGUUACAGAACUCCAGGUUUUGAAAACUGAUACUACAUCAGAGGGAUAAUGUAAAUAUAUUGAGCAUACCUCCACUUCUUUUCGAUCAAAUUUCAGAGUUCCUUCCGAAAUCUCUCCCCAGAAGAAAGCUGAUUCCUCUCUUAUAUUCUUGUAUUUCUCCAACUUCAUGUCAAUGAGAGCGUUCACGUUACUCUGCAGAUAACAGAAGCCACUGUUUAGUCCGCAUGAUGUUUACAAGUACAAAACCAUGCAAUUUAGCUACGGCAAGCUGUAAUAGAAGCCAAUGAUUAACAGUGAGUCAGUGACAUCAUCUGUCCAACCUUGAAUUCUGUAUCAGGCAUUUGGUAUAGAGUUCCUUCAAACAUCGUAAGGAAAGCUUCAACUCUAGCAUCCAAGUUGGCUGGAUCCUGUCAAAUCAAUAUAUUAGAAUAGGAGAAUGAUUGUUUCAGCGGGUUUGAAACUGCAUUGAGAAAUAUAUCUACCUUCACGGUUGACUGGAUUAUAAAUUGCAAACCACGGACACCUGAAUCAUUUCUGGGUAAACAGGAUCAGUGUCAAUGAUUUUACAGGAAUUGCAUAGUCUACAUAUAGAACACCAUUCUUGCCAACCAAGGCAAAAAGACCACUGUACAUCCUAUCAAUUACGUGAAGGUUGUACGUACUUUUGUCUAAGCAGUGUUAUGUAGCCAAGUUGCUCAACUGAACGUAAUUGGUGAAAAGCUGGUUGCUUAGCAACAAGAGCAAGCAACUGGAGUAUAACAUUUUUUUUGAGAUCAUCCUGAUGAAUCUGCGCAAUGGAAACAUUGUUACAGGAUAGUAAUGUCUAUUAGAUGUAUCUUUCCAGGGAAAAACUAUAAUAAUUCAAGCUAGAAAAGAAGCUAGAGUAAGAGCAAGGAAAAACUGUAAAUGCACAGAAACAACACCCAAGAAGUGAGGCACACCUGAAUAUAAUGCAGAAGGCAAGAAUUUUCAUCCUGGUGAUUUAGGCAUAAUGCUGGAUAAUAAUACCUCAAACCCCUUUCAAGCUUUACAAUUCGCUUUGUAAGAUGCUGUGAUGAGGGUAAUGCUUUGCACAGACUGACAGGUGCAUUGAAUAAGAUGUCUUCAACAUGCUGCAUAACACCUUUUACCGCACCCGGUUCCAUGUUCCCUAAUAUCGAUUAUCAAUUACAUAAUGAAUUAAUAACAUCAACAAUGCAGAGCAUUCUCUAAAGAAGAGAGUAGUGUGGCUACAAAAGUCAUUAGCAGCAUUACACGGUAAUUUUAUGAAAUGACACAUAUUCAUGUUAGUUACUCCCUCCGCUUCAUAUUAUAAGUCACUUUGGGUUUGUCCUAAGUCAAACCUCAACAAGUUUGACCAAGUUUAUAGAAAAAUAUAGCAAUAUUUCCAACACAAUAAAUAUGCUAUAAAAAUAUUAUCGAAUGAUGGAUUUAAUAAGGGAGUAUUAAACAAACCAGCAAAGUAGCUCUCAAUAAAUGUUUUCCCCAGCAGAUGAGGCAAAAACUUCUCGAGAUCGCUAGCUUCAAUUUGAGAUACUGCAGCAAGUUCUUCAUCCCAUGCCCACGUUUGCUCCUCUAAUAUCAAUGAACAAUAGUAGAAAGCUUGCUGAUAUGGUUGCCGAAAUUUGAAAUUCUCAUACUCCUUUGUUAUAGUUUCCUGAUGACAGCAAUAAAAGAUUCACACCCUCAGUUCAUGUCGAAUGCAUAGAAAUAUAGCUUAAUAUUGCAUCAUCAGGAAGGACCACAAAAUAUUGUAGAACAUAAUAUAUACUCCCUAUGUCCACAAAUACAAGGGAUUUUAGAGUACUAGCUGUCUAAUCAAUCACCUCUCAUUCAAAUUUCUUCCCAUCUUACUCCCACCCACCCCACCCAACCCUCAUUGAACAUGAGCAUCCUAGUCUUUUAUCUUCAUCCUUGAUCUCUCCAAAAACAGAGGGAGUAUGCUCUUUCACCUCUCCAAGAUAGCAUAGCCAUAUAGAAACUAUGAUAUGUUUAAUCCAGGUAGAAUUAUAUAGAUGCUUAAAUAUCCAUAUGCACCUGGAAACAGCUCUCCUGCUGUAUAUAGCUGUUCAGUCCCAUUUUUGCAUGGGAAGAUAGUAAUGACAAAAAUGUUGCAUGUGUAUGCCACUAAAUGUUUUGCAGAUUUGCUCAGAUUCCUUUGAAUUACUUUACCUCCAGGGAAAACAAUUUCAGAAGAUAGUGAGGCAAAUGUCUUCUUUUAUAGGUUUUUACCUGUGUGCCAUUAAAAAACAUGACCCCUGCCUCUGUGCCACUAAAAAGUUCGAGCCUCCCUCUAUGCCAUCGUCGAACUUUAUCGUGCCCUCCACACCAUUCCGUCGCUAUUCUGUUAGGGUCUUAACCGUUUGGCAGCACUGACAUGUGGGCCCGGACAGGAAAAAUGUCGCUCUGGCCCUUUCAGUCGCGGGCCCCACCUCUCAUACUCUCACCUCUCUCUUUCCCCUCUUCCCCUUUUCCUCUUUCUCUCUUGAGUAGCGAUGGCCGGCAGCCGGCGGCGGGCACGGCGCCCACCCGCAGGACGACUCGCGCAACCUCGUCCACCUUCCUCGCCGGCCACCAACCUACCACGCGGGUGGGGCCCACAUGUCCGAGGAGGACGACGACUAGCCGCCGCUGCUGCCGGUGCAGAAGCGGCCGCGCGACGCGCGCCGGACCAGGUGCUCGACAACGUCCUGGAGACGGUGCUGCACCCUCGCCGUCGCCUCUGCACCCUCGCCACGCCCGCCGCGCACCCGCCGGCGAGCUCGCACUCCUCGGCCCCGCCGGAGAGGCCGGCAGUCGAGGCGACGACGAGGUGGCGCGGCGAGGUCGGCGAGUAGGGGGGUCGUCGUCGGGGAUGUGCCGGCUCCUCGCCGCCGAGGAGGCCGUGGCGUCCGCAGCCGCCGCCGCCACCGUCGUCCCGGCGCUCUUCAUCGGUGGCGCCCUCCGUCCUGGCUCUCUCUCUCUCUCUCUUUUCUCUCAACCCUAAGGGCAGCAAAGUCAUUUGGCUACGCUGUUUGACACCGUUAGGACUAAAAACGGACGGAAUGGUGUGGAGGGCGCAAUAAAGUUCGACGAUGGCAUAGAGGAAGUCUUGAACUUUUUAGUGGCACAGAGGCAGGGGCCAUCUUUUUUAAUGGCACAUAGGUAAAAACCUCCUUCUUUUAUCUUUGUUAGAUUCAAACAGUUCACUGGAGACAUCAGGGAAAUGAAAAAAUGUAUAGACUGUACAUGUAUAUUUUGAUUUCUGAUCAACAAUAAGUAUUGUCUACACAAUACUUACUCCCUUCAGUAAAGAAAAAGGUAAAUUGUGAUUCUCGGAGUCAAGACAAUGCCCACUUUGACCACUAGAUUAUAACAUCAUAUGCCCUGAGAAAAGUACAUUGACCACUGAUAUCAUGCAAGUACUUUUCAUACAAAUUGACCAAUCAAGGCAAGAGAUGUCAUUUUACACGUUUACGCCAAUCUUAAUAAGAAUACACACCAUUAUCUAAAGCAGACAUGCCCAAUUGUCCACCCAUGAAUGCAAACUACCGCUUUUUCCUAAACAGAGGUAACUUGUGGCUAACAAGGAACCUCCUGAAUGUUUAUACUCAUCCAAAUAGCCAAAUAUCAGGCCUGAAAAGAUAUUUGGUAACAACAAAUUACAAGUAAACUUUAGUGUGGCCAUUACCUUUAUCACAGAAAAACGGUCAGCCUUAACUUCAAACUCAGCAAUUUUCCCAAUAACAGUCUCCAAAAGAGUUCUCAUUUUGUCAUUGUAGCCAACCAUGGUUAUCUGUAAGGCAAUCAUAAAUAUUGGAGUAUUAGAAAAGAAGAGGAUUUUAGUAAGACACGUAACAUGCCAUGGGGUCUAACUUCUGGAGAAGGAAUAAUAUCAACAUCACAAAACAUGCAUGAUGAAAAAUCAGGGUUAUGCAAUAUUGACCAUUUAAUCUAAUAGAGAGUAUAGUACCAUUUGUAAUCCACAAAUAAGAAAAAAAGAAAACAAAUGGAGAUAAAAGGCCCUGUUCUAUUCUUCAACUUUCUCGUUUUCUGUUAGCACGUUUUUCAAAUUGUUAAAUGGUAUGUUAUUUUAAAAAAUUUUCUAUAAAGAAGUUGUUUAAAAAAGCAAAUAAAUCCUUUUUUCAGAUUUAUAAUAGUUAAUACUUAAUUAAUCAUGUGCUAAUGAGGUUUCUCGUUUUGCGUGCCAUAAAAAUCUAUCUCCAAAACUGGAGAUCGAACGGGGCCAGAUGUAGCAACUUAUGAAAAGAUUAGAUCAUGUACAUCUUAUAAAUUAAGAUCAUGUAGUAAUGAAGUAUUUACAAACCACUCUCAGUACUUAACUACAUCUAGUUAAAAAA
rnacentral:lncRNA from 1 species